rnacentral:lncRNA from 1 species
AAAUGGACGAGGAGAAACUUAAAGUAUACGUGCAGGAGGCACUCCGCAAGGACGUGGCUUAUCACCGUCGUUCAGGGCUGCCAUCAUCCUGGUCGGCAUUUUACAAGUACAUGGCUGAGAGCAAUCAGUCGGCAUUUUACAAGUACCUGGCUGAGAGCAAUCGUUCAGGAAUGUCGACAUCCUCGGCAGCGGAAAACUAAAGGAGUUGAGUGAGCUCUGCUCGAUUGGUUUUUGUAGUUUCUUUUUUUUUUUUCCUCAAGUGAUCUGGCAUGUAUCAAUUAGUUUGUAAAGUUAUUGUAUUGUCUCAAGUCCGGUAAGAUGCGCGAACGUAUAGCAUGGAUCACAAACUCAUUUCAUAGAUUAUUUUUUUGUAUAAUUAUAUAAUUUAUAGGCUUUGCUUAAAAAAUUAAAAAAGAAAAAAAGAAUUGUAUUACAAUUGGUAUGAGGCAUGCUUGUGUGUGUCAUAUCAGUUGCUGAACAAACUUUGCCUUUUAGUUUUGUAGGCACUACCAUCUCAAAUUCUUUGUUAUCAUGAAUGAGUAUUUUUUUUCUUUUUUUUCUUUUUUAACAAAUCAUAAAUGAGAUUAAGAUAAUCUUUUUUUAAAAAAGAAAAAAAAUGGAGAUUUCUUUUAUUUUUCCUUAAAAAACUGAAGACAAAUUUAGAAGGAAGUGAGAGACGGAGAAUUAAAGCAAUUUUAUUCACAAAUGUAAUGUAUUUGGUGCAGCAAUACAAACUAAUAAAUUAUAAUUUAUGAGACUAGUUUACAGAAUCUUAUAUAUAAAAUUAUAUCCUCUGAAUAAAAAUCUUCUCACCUCUUUUGACUUCUCAUCUAGUUUACAGAAUCUUAUAUAUAUAACACAUUUUUAUAAAACAAAACAGAAAAAAAAAUUAUAUAUAAUUGUCACAAGGACUAUUUCAUUUGCACAUAGUACGCAAUUGGUCACUAAAGUUAUUUGAGGAGAAAAUUUACAUGAGAUGGGUACAUCAUAUUAUCAGUAUUUUAGUUUAAAUUUGAACAUACUAGAAUGGUCUCUCAUAAAUUUUUCUCCAAUUUGAGAGAUGGUGGGGGAGUGGGGUUAAAGUGCAUCUACAUAGGAUUAAUUAUAAUUAAAUUUAUUUUUUAAAACUAUUUUAACUAGAAGCAGUGGUAAUUCUUUUUAUUAUUGUUAUUCAAAUUAUAUCAAAAUCUCGUGACUCGUGAUCAAAUUAAGUAGUUCAUUAAACUUUUUUAGGUGACGUAUGGUAUGGAGUUUUUAUAAAUCUAUAAAUAUAGUAAAAUAUUUAAUUUUGCUUGUCGUAAACUUUUAAUUUGCAUGGGUUAAAAAAGAAAAAAAGAAAUUCACUUAUUACUUAAUUAACAAUUAUAGAAAGAAUAAAUAGAAAAUUAUAGUUGCGUGAGAAAACCCUCGUGAAAAGGGCUCCGGAUUUCCUUUCCAUGGCUUCGUGCGUUUCCUUUUGCCCUUUCGAGCACGAAUUCGAAUCCAGUACUUUAUAAUAAAGAUAUAAUAUUAAAAAAUAAGAAAAAGAAUCCCAAUUUUUACUGGUAUAUAACGCAUAGCCUGCAUUAUGAAACACUCUUUUACUAUUCUUUUCUUUUCUUUUCUCUUUUGCUGUAAUUUUUUAUGAAACACUCUGUUUCAGUACUGUUUCUGGUUUUGUUUCGGUUUAAUAUUAUUGGUUCGGUUCGGUUCUGCUCUGUUCUACGUCGUAUGUAUAUAUGUAUAUAUUUUUGGCCUCGAAUUGCUUUCAUCACCGGUUUUGUUAUUCAUUUAUCGUGAAUUUUAGAUGACUUGUUCGGCCAUGUUACAUUCAGCUACCAUCUUCAUGGUGGGUUUGUAAGAUAGUCUCUGACUAACACAUGGCAUUGGUUAUGAAUGAUGGUUUUGUGAGAUACAUCAUACAGACGUUAACUCGUGUUAAUUUGUACUUACAUCAUUCAAAAGAUUAGUGUUUUUCUCUCUUUUUUUUAAAAAAAAAAAAAAUUGAAAUGUCCCUUUUCGCAUUUUAUAGAUGAAAGGAAGAAACAUAAUAUCGCAGAACUAGAAUAAAGGAGCCUAUUGUGGUACCUAUUGUCCGAGGAACCUUCUGUAUAUUCGGUAGGAACUACCAUGGGAAGUCAAAUCUUACCAGAGCCAGGCGGAGUCGUUGCUGAAGGAAUAUAUAUUAGCAGAUCCAUUUGUCCCGUACACUUCAAUUGUUGGUAGCAUUUUUGCUUGCACGAUGGUAUGUUUGUCAUCGUUACUGCGCGGUGGUAUUUACUAGAAAAUAUUUUGAAUGCAUAGUUUUUAUACCCUCUGUUUUCCAUAAGAAUGUGUUCCUUUUCAGGUCUAUGAUCUUGCCCAAUUGAUUAGUGUGCUGUUCACUUUAAAUCUGAUUCCAGUUUCUCCAACAUACAGCGGGUCGAGUGGAGUAACAGGUGAUUGAAAAUUUUCAUUUAGUCCAAUUGUCAUUUCUUUCUCAAUCGGUAAAGUUUAAUCAUUUUCCUUAAAUCGAUAACUUAUGCAGGUCCAUAUCAACUGUCCAUGACAUUUUUAUUACAACGAUGUCUUUGUACUUUGUGUUUUGGUCGGAUCUCAGAGUUUGUGCAUAGCACACUUGUUUCUACUGUUUGUUUGUCCCUUCAUAGACAUUUCGAUAAACUGUUAUUUUUGUUCAUUGGAAGUGAAUAUUUUCAGCAACUAGAACUCCAAAGCAUCUGGAAUGAUCCAUUUUAUCAUUCUCAAUACCUAUAAAAGAAUGUCAUAGAAAACAGUUUCCAAAGCAAGUGGCAUGUGUUUGGAAUUUGUCUUUGCAAGCCACUAAUUNNNNNNNNNNNNNNNNNNNNNNNNNNNNNNNNNNNNNNNNNNNNNNNNNNNNNNNNNNNNNNNNNNNNNNNNNNNNNNNNNNNNNNNNNNNNNNNNNNNNCGGGUUUUUUUUUUCUUUUAAAACAAGGGGAGUUUGGGAACCCCCCCCUUUUUUUUUUUUAAUUUUUUCCCCCCCCCCCCCCCCCCCCCCACCACACCAAAAAAAAAAAAAAAAGAAUUGAGAUACAAAAUAAUUUAUUCCUAUCAUGUAUGAGUGCCAUAAAAGCUUCUUAAUGUUUUGCAGUGUUUUUUGCGCGGUGGCUGUUUCCUUCUGAAUCUAGAAUAGCUAUGGACAUAGCAGAUGCAGAUGCCACCAAUAUUUGCACUGGCCUUUCAGCAUCAAAAUCAAAAGGAUCAAGUGGGAACUUAAUGGAGGUUGAUUUGAAUGAAACACCCUCUAUGCAAGCCAAGAGACUCCAAUUAAGACUGCAUGCUUUGCUUAAAACAGGUAUUUAUAUACCUUAUUAGUUUUUGUAUGUUUAUAAUUACUGAUUUUUGCAUCAAAAGAGAGAGGUUAAUUUUUAGUACAUUUACUGAACUUUCUAUGAUUGCCGUGGAGACAGGUCGACGCUACUUCCCUCGUUGCUCAGAAAUGGUUGAUAAAUUUUAGGAUUGUGAUUGGUCCGAUGCUUCCCUCCUAGAAAAAGGGUACUCCUAAAGAGCAGAGACUCAAAAGGGCACGCUUCAUGGAACUUAAAGAAGACGUGAAGAAGGCAUUUUACAAGGACAUGGCUGAGAAAAAAUGGCUCAGGUUUGUAGUCAUCCUCGUUUCUCCGAAGGAAGGAGUAAAGUGUAAGGGUAGGAAAAGGUGAUGCUUAGCUGCUUGUCUUUGUUAUUCAUUUAUAGGCAACUAAAAGAGAUUUAGUGAGUUGGAUUGUUACUUGUAGAGAGAUACUCUUCGAGCCUAUGUUAUGGCUUAUGUUGUAUAAUAGCAGAGGAACUUCAAGCUUGCGUAGUUGUAUUUUCUCUGGUAUUUGGCAUGUAAUGCACUAAAUGACAAAGAAUUUUCUAAUUUUAGAGGGAAAAGUUAUGUCAGUUAAUUAUUUAUUUAUUUUGUCUGUUUAAUUCAGUUUAUAAUAUAGCUUUUUUUUUCUUUCUAAAAAAAAAAAAUUCUCCAUAUCUUCAUCUGCAAUUUAAGUCAUUCGUUACUUGUUUCAGGAUGGGGAGAGAAAAAAAAAAGAAAAAAAGAAAAGAAGCAUUUGUAAGUAUAUUUUACAGUACUGAUUUUCCUACAUAAAUUGGUUAAGGUGACAUUAAUGUUCUUUUAGGUAGACGGAUGUGCAGAUUUUUCGUCGAAAUUGAAAUUAGAAAUGAAUGGAUAUGCAGAAUUUUUUAAUAGAAUUUUUAUACAAAAAUUUGUAGCUCAUUACUCUCUAAAAGGAAAAAAUAAAUUUUUGAUUGUAAAUAUUAAAUUUUAAAUUUAUAAUAUAAUAACUUUGUGAGUUAAGGUGCACAAUACCCAUAUAUUAAUAAUUAAGAAAAGAAAAAAAAUUAAAAUUUGUAAAUUACCAAUUUUUUCUUGAAAUUUGAUAUUCUAUAUUAACGUAGGUGUUGCAUGGACUGGGUUAGUACAAUUGAAAGAAACUAACUAAAGUAAAACAAAAUAUCAUUAAAAAUAUGGCAAGCUUCUCAUAUUUUUUAAGUGAAAAAGAGACGAAAACUAAAAUUAAUUAUUUUUAUACCCAAAUUCUAGUGCUUGAAGGCCGCUGGAAUUGACCAUUGCAGUUUUGUCAUCCUCAUUAUUCACCGGCCAUCGUGGCCUUCCUCCAUUAAAAAAAUAAAUGACCAUUUUUUUGGACCACGACAUAUUAAAAAUAGUAUUGAUUAGUACUAAUAAAUCUCUUUUUUGAUUAUUUUGCAGUGUGAUAGUCGAGUGAGGGCAGUGCCCAUCGUAGCACUUGAACAUGUGGUAAAUUUCUGCCAGUCUUUGUAAAAUAAUUUUUAAAUUAUGUAUUAACCAGAUAGCUCAAUGAAGAUUAUCGCUCACUAAAUCAUUACUUUAUUUUGUAUAUAUUUAUGGGAAUUGUUGAAAAGAAAAAUGUAAAGUGAGAUUAAUGAACGUUUAUGAAUGUGGAAAUUAACACAACCAGGAUUUAUGAUGAAAUAAUUUUAAGUCAAAUGAGCAUAAAUUUGUAUAAAUAUUUUUUGAAUUGUCAUAUAUAUACAAGUUUGUCACUAAUAGUAAACUUAAUUAUGAAUAUUUUAAUAAUUCAAAAUUUUAUUUAACCAUCGGUGUUUAUAGUGUUUUUCAUAAUACAAAAUUGUAAACAGUCUCAUCCUGAAUAGUAUAAUGCCAAACUUUUUAAAAAAUUUAUUUUAUUAUAAUCGUCUUAGUCAGUUAUAUUUAUUUCCAAAUUGAAGAUAAAAAUAAUACUUCAUAUAUCAUACAUUACUUCAUACAUUACUUAAAAGUUUUUUUUUCAAUCAAAUUAUGAGCAAGUGAAAGGAUGCAAUAAAUUACGACUAAAAUUGUAAAAUUUACCAAUGGCUAUAUACAAAGUCUGAUUCUUAUGAGCUUAAAAGAUGGGCUUUGAAUGAUGUAUGGUUCUCAAAACUCUACUUUUAUUAAUAUGAUUGCCCUGCUUCCUUCAUGACGGGUAAUUUUUAGUUUCUUCCCCUAAAGUUUGGCGUAUCUCCAUUUUAAUAGGAAGUAUUAGCGUAUCUCCCACUUUUCUCCCCUGCCGUUAGGGAUGGCAAUUGUACCCGCAAACCCGCAAACCCGCCCAAACCCACCCGCCAAAACCCGCCCGUUGCGGGUAAUUUUAUCCGUUGCGGGCGGGUUUAGUAUUAUAAAUUAAAACCCGCAUAUGGAUGCGGGUGGGUUUGGUAUUAACCUUAUACCCGGUGGAUACCCGCAUGGAUAUCCACCAAACCCGCAAUAAUUUUUUUCAAAUAUUUUUAAUUUAAUUUAAAUAUAAAAAUAUAUAAAGAAAAUAAUGUAAUUAAUCAAAUUACCAAAUAGUAAAAGGCUCAAAGUUGUGUAUGUGUGUAUAUGGCUCAUCUCUUAUUCUAAAGUCAUAACCUAAAGAAAACUAAAGGCAUUUCCCUUCGAAUUAAUAUUUGAAAAUAUUAAUCUUAAUUAUUAUUUUAGGCAUUGUGUUAGAUGGGUGCUUAUGGUGGUGAAUAAAAUAAAUAUAUUCUCUUUGAUCUUGUUUUAAAUGAUAAUAUGAAAUGUAAUUAUUAUUUUUAGAUAUUAGUUUGUGUUUUUUAAAUAGAUUUGUAUAAUUUAUACUUAAAUUUGAGAAUUUGUGUUGAAUUGAUGUGGAAAUUUUAAUUUUUCAUUUACAUUGUUUAAAUAUAAAAUUGAAUAUGUUAUAUGGAACUUGAGGUUAUUAUUAUAAAUUUAUAUAUUAAAUAUUUGUGAUUUUAAAUACGGAAACCCGCAAAAAAUCCGCCGGAUACCAUUGCGGGUUUGGUAAUUGUUAAAACCCGCUGCGGGUGGGUUUUUUUAAAAAAAUUAAAACCCACUGCGGGUUGCGGGUGGGUUUGGUAAUUUAAAUUUUGUGCGGGUUUGGGUUUGGUAAUGGCAAACCCGCUGCGGGCGGUGCCCAUUGCUAUCCCUACCUGCCGUUUGUAUACCGUUUCAUAUUGUUAAUGGACGAAGCUACAAGUCUUCUCUUUCAUCAAAUCGAUCCAUAACAAAUACGAGUCUGCUUCACCUAACCAAAACACACACAUACUCCAUCUCUAAAUGCUUUGAAGAUAAACAAAUCAACCGUAAUCCUGCAACUUUAGCUCAGAGAAUCGGAUAAGAAAAGAACAGGUGAUGAAUCAAGGGUAAUGGCGCCGAGUGAGUGUCGCCUGCGGUCGGCGUUAGAGGCGACUGUCACUCAAUCGCGUACAAGGUUAGUCUUUGAAAAAACUCUUUGCACGUUAGAAAUCAGUGAUUGGGCAUUAUUUUUUUUAUUUAAAAAUGAAAAUGGGUUUAUUAGUUUGUCGAAGAAUCUGCUCUGUUGCCGGUGUUGUUUGUUGAUUAAAAUGAAAAUGGGUUUGUUGAUGUGUUGAAGAAGUUGCUCUACUGCUGGUGUUUUUUUAUUAAUUAAAAUGAAAAUGGGUUUGUUAAUUUAUUGAAUUGUGACUUUAUUUAUCCAAUUGAUGAGCUUAUGAGCUAAUAGUAUUGUUUGAUCAAGCUUGUGUUCUUAAUAGUGGAGUUGAUAUUCUUAAAAAUGAAUUUAUGAUUAUGAGAAUAUGAAAAUUGAAUGGCAUCGUAGAGGUCUGGAUUAAUCACCAUCGAAUAUGUUUCUAAAUAAAGGAAUAAGCAGCAAUCUGAUUUGAAACUUAAGACUUUAGGGAUAUGUAUGUGCAACUGAAUGAAUCAUCAGUUGCUAUCUUGUAAGUCAAUACUAGCAUAUUACUUAAUGGCAAGUGAAGCUAUUUUAUGUGUAUUGCUGCCUAUCAAAAUGUUUAUGUUUGAAGUUAUCUCCUUUUAGGAAAUUGAAUGCUUCUGUGAGUUCUCUGGUAAGGGCUAUACAACUAGCUCUAAUAGAUUCCUUCAUGUGCAUUAAUUAGCUUAGUAGUUUAUUGACCUAUAUCCAAUGUCUAUUCUCCUUUUCUGUAGCCGUCUAGUUUUAUGAGUGUGUGAAGUGAACUUUUGUUUUAUGUUUCAGGACUUGGGAUUAGAGUGUAUAACAUUCAAUAUCUUUAUAUCAAAGAACUGAUAUAUGUCAAUGUAGUGCGAUCUGGUCUUUAUUAGCUUCUUGAUUUGCCAGGAUGUUUGACAACCAUCUUUGACUAUGAUUGCCAACAUAUAAGCUGCUACAUAGUGUCUCAGGAAUCACAGCAAAUUAUUAUCAUAAUAUGGUGAUUUUGAAUCCAAAACUUGGUAGUGUCAAGAAAAUAGACCCAUGUUUAUUUAUCUUCAUGUUUUGUAUGCGCCUGCAAUAGACUAUUAUAAGUUACUUUUAGUUUUAUCAAGUUUUUUUUUCCUUAAAUUUCAUCGAGUCUUGGAGUCUUUGUAAUAUAGAGUCUAAGUGAAGAAUACUUGGGUGAAAUCUUGUAUUCUCUCUUCCAGUAAUAUAAUCAUCCUUUGUGUUUUUAUCUUUUUAUUUUGGUAUCAGAGCAUACUUUAUUAUAGAAGGACUUGGACUCUAUAUUACAAAGACUCAGUGGUUUCUUUUAACUGAGUUAAUAGUGUUGUUAGGUUAAACUAAGUUUGGCUUCAUAAGAUUCAUAGUAGAGUGUAGAACUGGGUACAAUUUUGGGUUAAGACAAGUCAAAAGUCUUCUCAAGUAAUUGUUCUGCUUACUGAUUUGGUAAUUGCAACAUUGCUAAAUAGUUCAAUUUGUCCUUUUUUUUUGUUGAAUUUAUUGUAUGUCAUAUUACUUCAUUUAAUUAUUUUCUCAGAUCUUGUAGGUGAAAAUUUCAGCUUCAAAGGCCAAGCUAAUCAUCCAGCAAUUCAGUGAAACCAAGACACAGUGGCUCAUAAAUUGUUGUUGGUGAUCGAGCCAUUCGGGUGCUUGCCAGUCCUAGAUGAGAGAACUUUCAACGCGGCGCAUAAAUUGUUGUUGAUCUGUUUUAUAUAUUUUGACCUUUGUGAUUUGUGAAUACAUGGUUUGAUUCCAGUGUUUACAACUNNNNNNNNNNNNNNNNNNNNNNNNNNNNNNNNNNNNNNNNNNNNNNNNNNNNNNNNNNNNNNNNNNNNNNNNNNNNNNNNNNNNNNNNNNNNNNNNNNNNNNNNNNNNNNNNNNNNNNNNNNNNNNNNNNNNNNNNNNNNNNNNNNNNNNNNNNNNNNNNNNNNNNNNNNNNNNNNNNNNNNNNNNNNNNNNNNNNNNNNNNNNNNNNNNNNNNNNNNNNNNNNNNNNNNNNNNNNNNNNNNNNNNNNNNNNNNNNNNNNNNNNNNNNNNNNNNNNNNNNNNNNNNNNNNNNNNNNNNNNNNNNNNNNNNNNNNNNNNNNNNNNNNNNNNNNNNNNNNNNNNNNNNNNNNNNNNNNNNNNNNNNNNNNNNNNNNNNNNNNNNNNNNNNNNNNNNNNNNNNNNNNNNNNNNNNNNNNNNNNNNNNNNNNNNNNNNNNNNNNNNNNNNNNNNNNNNNNNNNNNNNNNNNNNNNNNNNNNNNNNNNNNNNNNNNNNNNNNNNNNNNNNNNNNNNNNNNNNNNNNNNNNNNNNNNNNNNNNNNNNNNNNNNNNNNNNNNNNNNNNNNNNNNNNNNNNNNNNNNNNNNNNNNNNNNNNNNNNNNNNNNNNNNNNNNNNNNNNNNNNNNNNNNNNNNNNNNNNNNNNNNNNNNNNNNNNNNNNNNNNNNNNNNNNNNNNNNNNNNNNNNNNNNNNNNNNNNNNNNNNNNNNNNNNNNNNNNNNNNNNNNNNNNNNNNNNNNNNNNNNNNNNNNNNNNNNNNNNNNNNNNNNNNNNNNNNNNNNNNNNNNNNNNNNNNNNNNNNNNNNNNNNNNNNNNNNNNNNNNNNNNNNNNNNNNNNNNNNNNNNNNNNNNNNNNNNNNNNNNNNNNNNNNNNNNNNNNNNNNNNNNNNNNNNNNNNNNNNNNNNNNNNNNNNNNNNNNNNNNNNNNNNNNNNNNNNNNNNNNNNNNNNNNNNNNNNNNNNNNNNNNNNNNNNNNNNNNNNNNNNNNNNNNNNNNNNNNNNNNNNNNNNNNNNNNNNNNNNNNNNNNNNNNNNNNNNNNNNNNNNNNNNNNNNNNNNNNNNNNNNNNNNNNNNNNNNNNNNNNNNNNNNNNNNNNNNNNNNNNNNNNNNNNNNNNNNNNNNNNNNNNNNNNNNNNNNNNNNNNNNNNNNNNNNNNNNNNNNNNNNNNNNNNNNNNNNNNNNNNNNNNNNNNNNNNNNNNNNNNNNNNNNNNNNNNNNNNNNNNNNNNNNNNNNNNNNNNNNNNNNNNNNNNNNNNNNNNNNNNNNNNNNNNNNNNNNNNNNNNNNNNNNNNNNNNNNNNNNNNNNNNNNNNNNNNNNNNNNNNNNNNNNNNNNNNNNNNNNNNNNNNNNNNNNNNNNNNNNNNNNNNNNNNNNNNNNNNNNNNNNNNNNNNNNNNNNNNNNNNNNNNNNNNNNNNNNNNNNNNNNNNNNNNNNNNNNNNNNNNNNNNNNNNNNNNNNNNNNNNNNNNNNNNNNNNNNNNNNNNNNNNNNNNNNNNNNNNNNNNNNNNNNNNNNNNNNNNNNNNNNNNNNNNNNNNNNNNNNNNNNNNNNNNNNNNNNNNNNNNNNNNNNNNNNNNNNNNNNNNNNNNNNNNNNNNNNNNNNNNNNNNNNNNNNNNNNNNNNNNNNNNNNNNNNNNNNNNNNNNNNNNNNNNNNNNNNNNNNNNNNNNNNNNNNNNNNNNNNNNNNNNNNNNNNNNNNNNNNNNNNNNNNNNNNNNNNNNNNNNNNNNNNNNNNNNNNNNNNNNNNNNNNNNNNNNNNNNNNNNNNNNNNNNNNNNNNNNNNNNNNNNNNNNNNNNNNNNNNNNNNNNNNNNNNNNNNNNNNNNNNNNNNNNNNNNNNNNNNNNNNNNNNNNNNNNNNNNNNNNNNNNNNNNNNNNNNNNNNNNNNNNNNNNNNNNNNNNNNNNNNNNNNNNNNNNNNNNNNNNNNNNNNNNNNNNNNNNNNNNNNNNNNNNNNNNNNNNNNNNNNNNNNNNNNNNNNNNNNNNNNNNNNNNNNNNNNNNNNNNNNNNNNNNNNNNNNNNNNNNNNNNNNNNNNNNNNNNNNNNNNNNNNNNNNNNNNNNNNNNNNNNNNNNNNNNNNNNNNNNNNNNNNNNNNNNNNNNNNNNNNNNNNNNNNNNNNNNNNNNNNNNNNNNNNNNNNNNNNNNNNNNNNNNNNNNNNNNNNNNNNNNNNNNNNNNNNNNNNNNNNNNNNNNNNNNNNNNNNNNNNNNNNNNNNNNNNNNNNNNNNNNNNNNNNNNNNNNNNNNNNNNNNNNNNNNNNNNNNNNNNNNNNNNNNNNNNNNNNNNNNNNNNNNNNNNNNNNNNNNNNNNNNNNNNNNNNNNNNNNNNNNNNNNNNNNNNNNNNNNNNNNNNNNNNNNNNNNNNNNNNNNNNNNNNNNNNNNNNNNNNNNNNNNNNNNNNNNNNNNNNNNNNNNNNNNNNNNNNNNNNNNNNNNNNNNNNNNNNNNNNNNNNNNNNNNNNNNNNNNNNNNNNNNNNNNNNNNNNNNNNNNNNNNNNNNNNNNNNNNNNNNNNNNNNNNNNNNNNNNNNNNNNNNNNNNNNNNNNNNNNNNNNNNNNNNNNNNNNNNNNNNNNNNNNNNNNNNNNNNNNNNNNNNNNNNNNNNNNNUACCCCCCCCCCGGGCGGGGGGUGGGGGGUUUGGAGAUACGCUGAUACUUUCUAUCAUACUGGAGAUACACCUAACCUCAGGGGAAGAAAACUACACCUUUACGACGGGUGAACUUGGGUCAAACUUUCAUAUUUUAAUCAAGUAGGUCGAUCAUGAUUCAAGCUUCAGUCAUAAGCCUUUCGUUAUGAUUGAUAUUAUUCUUUCUUGAUAGUAUCAUGGAAAAUGCAAACGAAAAGGCAGCAUCUUUGAGUUUUGUCUCAUCAUAUCCGACUUGUUGGUCUACUAAUCAAUCGACAGGCCCUUUUGAUCUUGAUAAUUUGAACUUAAGGAGGCAAAGCAGCAAUCCCGAAGAGCCAUUGCUUGAUGCUGAGAUCGUUGUUGACGGCAAAUCAGUGGCAGUUAAUCGCAGCAUAUUGUCUGCACGCAGUCGUUUUUUUCAUUGGCUUUUUCAUUUGAGCAGUGAUGGUUCUGUGAGUGAGGGGAAACCCAAGUAUCUUAUGACUGAUUUGGUGCCUUAUAGGAAGGUUGGAUAUGAAGCUUUUAAUGAUAUCUUGCAUUAUCUUUACACUGGAAUGCGUAAGGCGCCUCCUUCAGAAGUGUUCACGUGUGUUGAUGAUACUUGUGUUCAUCUUGUUUGCCCUCCUGCUAUUAAUUAUGUUAUUGAGUCGAUAUAUGCUUCUGCUGCUUUUAAGAUGACAGAGGUCGUUUCGGUUUAUGAGGUAGUUGCGCUUCCCCGCUACUUGUAUUGCUUAAAUUUAUGCUUAUUGGUAUAGUUUUAACAUAUGUGGGAUUGAAAUCAAUUUCAGUUGUGACUUGCAAAGAGCCAAAGAAUCUGUUGUUUUAUUUUGAAAGAGACAAAGAUGAUGAUGAUGGGCAGUGAACUCUAGGAAUCAAUGCUUGCUGACACUGACACCCAAGAAUGAUAAAAACUAACCAAAAAGGUAUAUAGAUUACAUGAGUCUGAAUUUGAUAAGUGCACCUAUCCUAUCACAAAAAGCUUUUGCGUUGAGUUUCGAACCAAGGAAAAUUGUCACUUCUGUCUGUAGGCUUCAUAGAUUUGUUCAAGCCUUCAAGGAUGUCUAGCUGUUACUUAGGGUCCAACAAUGGUGCUACAUUUCUAGUGGAUGAUAUGUUAUCUACAUCUGUAUAUUGCAACUUUGACAAACUUCGCCUUUCUUUUGUUGAUACACUCGUCUCACUUUUAUUAAAUUGCCUGAUUAUGAAAUGGUCUAUUGGAGACUAGCAUUGGAAGGUUUCUUCUGGAGAAAAUUUUACUUGCCACCAAUUUUCAUUUUGGUCGGUGUCAGUUCAUGCGCUGGCUUGAUUGUGCUGUUAUUUAGGUUGUUUUAUCCAUAUUUUCUCACUAUCUUGAUAGUUAGUUCUCUCAUACUUCCAAUCUCAGCAGUGAAUGCGAAAGAUUCUCUUUUUCCCGUCCAGGUUAUAACCUAGCAAAUCAAUAAUGCUGUAGAAUAACAUCUUGUGUAGGUGAGCUUAUGUCUCUGAACAUUGGUCCACCGGCAUUUAGGUUCGAUAAGCAUGGCAUUGAUUUUCCCCCUCAUUGUUAUUUUCCUGCACAGAUUACCCCCUUUAAGUAUUUGAAUUUUGAAUACAUUAUUCUGAAUCAAAACUCUAUACGUCCGUGUAGCAUUUUAUAUAUGCUUUAUGAUAUUUACCAAUAAUUACCCACUGCGAGGUAUUUGAAUUUUGAAUAUAUUAUUCUGAAUCAAAACUCUAUCUGUCCGUGUAGGAUUGGCUUCUGAAGGUGGUUCGGGAGGCUCUUGUGGAAGAUGUAAUACCAAUUCUCGUAGCUGCCUUGCAGUGCCGACUGUACCCGCUCUGUUCUUUCUGCAUCCAGAGAAUUGCAAGGUCAAAUAUUGACAAUGUUUGUCUCGAGAAAGAGCUUCCUGAUGAAGUUUCAAGUCAAAUCAAAUCACUCCGGGUCAAAUCUAACCAGGAGUCUGAAGCUAACAUAAAAGAAGUGGAUCCUAUGCAUGAAAAGAGAGUCAGAAGAAUCCACAAGGCGUUGGACUCUGAUGAUUUUGAACUGCUGAAUCUUCUUCUGAAUGAAUAUAAAGUCACUUUAGAUGAUGCUUACGCUCUGCACUAUGCUGCUGCCUACUGCAACCCUAAGGUUUUUAAGGAAGUGCACAAUAUGGGCUUGGCUGAUAUCAAUCUUAAGGAUGCAAGAGGACGUACGGUGCUUCAUGUGGCUGCAAGGCGUAAGGAGCCAGAAGUGAUAGUGGUUCUGCUGAGCAAGGGAGCAUGCUCAUCAGAAACUACACCAGAUGGGCAAACAGCUGUAGCAAUCUGUCGGAGAAUGACAAGGCGAAAGGAUUAUAUUGAAGCUACAAAGCAGGGGCAGGAAACUAACAAAGACUGGUUAUGCAUUGAUGUCCUUGAGAGAGAUAUGACAACGAACUCCACGUCUGGGAACUUGGCAAUGUCAUCAGAGGUGAUAGAUGAUGUUUUCCAAAUGAAUCUGGACUAUCUGGAAAAUAGAGGUGAUAUUUCUUUACUGGUAUUAGUUCAUCACCUUCUCAGAGUUUGUGCAUAGCACACUUCUUUUUACUAUUCGAUUGUCCCUUCAUCUUAGCAUCUCAAACACAAAUGGGCUCAGUGCUUGGAGCACACUGUUGGCCAGUCAUGUGAUUUGAUCCCUUUUUUGGAAUAGACAAUUCUGAAUACUGGUCUAGGCUUGGCGGUUUGCACUGAACUGGUUUUUGAUGAGUAAUUGCACAAGACUUUGUCAUCAAAACGUUUUUUUUUGGUUUUUUUUCCCCAAAAGUAAUGAGGUACAAAAAAUUUUUUGCCUAUCCUGGAUGAGUGCCGCAACAGCUUCUUAAUAUUUUGCAGUGGCUUGUGUACGGUUGUUUCCUUCUGAAGCUAGAGUAGCUAUGGAAAUGGCAGGUGCAGAUAUCGCCAUUGGCCUUUCAGCAUUAGGUCGGAAAGGACUAAGUGGGAACUUAAAGGAGGUUGAUUUGAAUGAAACGCCCUCUAAGCAAGCCAAAAGAUGCCAAUUGAGACUGCUCACUCUGCUUAAAACAGGUAUUUACAUACUUUAUUAACUUUUGCGCCUUUCUAUUUACUGAUUAUCUUUAUAAUUAAAUAAUACAUGUAUCCAGGUUUCUCCUUCCAUUUCAUUAGAAGUAAAUUGGAAUCUCUUUAUAGUGCUCUGUUAGGUGUAAUCAGACGUAUCAAAAGAGACAGGGUAAUUGUUAGUACAUUGAUAUCUCAACAAAAUGGUAAAACCUUNNNNNNNNNNNNNNNNNNNNNNNNNNNNNNNNNNNNNNNNNNNNNNNNNNNNNNNNNNNNNNNNNNNNNNNNNNNNNNNNNNNNNNNNNNNNNNNNNNNNAACACUAAAUCUCACUAGAUCAACUCUUUACCUCUGGACUGAAGGUGUGACACCCAAACCCAAUUAGGGCUUAGAACACAUAUCGAAUCUGAGCGAAACUAAAUGCUUGUAAAUCCAAAUCUCCAAAAUAUCAAAAGGUCAUCUACUUUCUCUUUUCAUAGAUUUCACAAAAUUUUGAAAAACUGAUUCUCAAUCAUAAACUAUGCCCAGCUAAUUAAUCAACAUAUCACUAUACAACAAUACUUCCUCAUAAGCAAAUAAAUCUUACAAUCCUUCUUCCAUGAUUUAAAAAAAAAAAAGAAAUAGUUCUAGAAGUCUUCUAAAUACAAACAUAAACAGAAUUCAACUGCUAAAACUGUGCCAAAAUACUAGCUUCAAUCAGUAAUACACACGACUAAUUAUUAAAUCAGUAAUAUACACGACUAAUUAUUAAAAACAUCUAGCUAGAAACCUUAUGAAAGCUCAAUCCUUCCGAAGCAUUCUUCGAAUUAAUAAUUGCUACCAUCUGUGAAAAAUAAUUGACAAGGGGUCAGCUGUUAACUCAAUCAGUAGAAACACUAAUAAUGAACAAAAAGAAUUCUUUGUGCAAUAUUUUCAAAAAAUUCAUUUAACCUUUCAAAUGAAACAGAGUAAUUUUUCAAACACAGUCAGGACUUAUAUAAAAUAUAAACAUUUCCGACAGAAGCUUUUUGGAACGUAAAUUUUGCUUCUUUAAACAGAAAGUUAUACAUUAGUUUGAUUUUAAAGGGAGGUUAUUGGGAAGUUAAAAUUGGCAGUUGUGGUAAAAGAGUAAUAGCAGUUAUAAAAUCUCUUUAAAAACAAAUUCGAAUCAAGUUUCAAAAUUUGGAAGUACUUAAUUCAAUAAACUAAGGAAUAAAUAAAGCAUUCACUGAAACAAAACUAAGUAAAUUCAUUUAAAGCAAAACCGGAUGGGAGCAUUACCUAAGGAUUCUUGACCAUACCAUGUUUACCCGCAGUCAGAUAGCUGGGAUCUUGUUAUUUGGGGACAAGACUUGAUUGUGCCAUGUCUUCCGCAGCCAGAUAUCUUUUACUUCAUUAUUUCCUAGACAUUUGUGGAUAAGAGAACCCUAAGCCUAUAGAGAAUAAAUUAUGUAAUCCAAGACUCUUCAGUCCUUUCAUUUGUGGCUAAUUAGUUAUAAAAUUUGUGAAUUUCAUGCCCCACGCCCCUUGCAAAAUGCAUUUUAUAUCCUUAAAAUGCCAGUGGAUGAACUGAAAUAAUAAAAAAUGGAAAACAGACUUAAUGUUGGUAGCAUUUCUUAAGAAAAACUUGGGAUGUUUAUAAUUUUCUUAGAGCAUUUGCUGAACUUUCCGUGAUCGCAGUCGAGACGGGUCAACGCUAUUUCCCUCAUUGCUCAGAUGUGGUUGAUAAGUUUAGGUAUUGCAACCGCCCUCAUUGCUCAGAAUUGAUUGAUGAGUUUUUGGAUUGUGAUUGGUCCGAUGAUUCCCUCCUAGAAAAGGGUACUCCUGAAGAGCAGAAACUAAAAAGGGCAGGCUUCAUGAAACUUAGAGUAGACAUGCAGGAGGCACUCCGCAAGGACGUGGCUUAUCACCGUUGUUCAGGGCUGCCAUCAUCCUGGUCGGCAUUUUACAAGUACAUGGCUGAGAGCAAUCGUUCAGGUAUGCCGACAUCCUCAGCAGCGAGCAAUUAAGCAUCACCUUUCCCCAAAAGUUAUAUUUGACACCUGGGAAACUAAAAGAGUUUAGUGAGCUUGAUUGGUAUUUGUAGUUUUUUUUCCCUCAAGUGAUCUGGCAGAUUUCAAAUAGUUGNNNNNNNNNNNNNNNNNNNNNNNNNNNNNNNNNNNNNNNNNNNNNNNNNNNNNNNNNNNNNNNNNNNNNNNNNNNNNNNNNNNNNNNNNNNNNNNNNNNNNNNNNNNNNNNNNNNNNNNNNNNNNNNNNNNNNNNNNNNNNCAAAAAACAGUAAAACUGAGAGAUUUCUUUUAUUUUUCCUUAAAAAAUAAGAAAAAUUUAGAAAGUAGUGAGAGAAAUAAAGUAAUUAUAUUCAUAAAUAUAAUGUGUUUGGUGUAGCAACACAAACUAAUAAAUUAUAAUUUAUGAGAUUAGCCUAGAGAAUCAUACAUAUAAAAUUAUAUCCUCUGAGUAAAAAUCUUCACAUCUCUUUUAACUUCUCAUUUAGAUGUCCUUUCUAAAAUCUCUCCAGAGAUAAAUACAUUUUUAUAAAACAAAACAGAAAAAAUAUAUAUAUAUAAUUGUUCAUAAGGACUAUUUGUUCAUAGUACACAAUUGGCCACCAAAGUUAUUUUGGGAGAAAAUUUGCAUGAGAUGGGUACAUCACAUCAUCAGUAUUUUUGUCUCAGUUUGAACAUGCGUCUGUUGUACGAAUCUUACGAGAAUGGUCUCUCAUAAAUUUGAGAGAUGGUGAGGAGUGGGUUAAAGUGCAUUUACAUAGAAUUAAUUAAAAUUAAAAUUUUAGUUUUUUAACUAUUUUUAAUUAAAAGUAGUAGUUAUUCUUUUUAUUAUUGUUAUUCUCAUCAUAUCAACAUCAAGUGACUGGUGAUCAAAUUAAUUAGCUCAUUAAAUUUUUUAAGUGACGUAUGUUAUGGAGUUUCUGUGCAUCUAUUUAAAUAGUAAAAUAUUUAAUUUUGCUUGUCGUAAAAUUUUAAUUUACGUGGGUUAGAAAAAGAAAAAGAAAAAAAUGAAAAAAGAAAUUGACUUAUUAAUUAAUUAACAAUUAUAGAAAGAAUAAAUUGAAAAUUGUAGUUGGGUGAGAAAACUCUCGGGAAUUCCUUUCCCUGGCUUCGUGCGUUUGCUUUUGCCCUUUCGAGCACGAAUUUGAAUCCAAUACUUUAUAAUAAAGAUAUAAUAUUAUUAUAAUACUAAUAAUUAACAUUAAAAUAUUAAAAAAUAAGAAAAAAUUCCAAAUUUUUCUGUUUCUGGUUUUAUUUCAGUUUAAUAUUAUUGGUUCCGUUCUGCUUUGUUCUCGGUUGUCUGCAUAUCUGUAUAUAUUUUUGGCCUCGAAUUGCUUUGAUCACCGGUUUUGUUCUUCAUUUAUCGUGAAUUUUAGAUACCCAUUAAACUUGUUUGGCCAUGUAUGCACUUGAUUGUUACAUUCAGCUGUCAUUUUCAUGGUGGGUUUGUAAGAUAGUCUCUGACUAACAUAUGGCACUGAUUAUGAAUGAUGGUUUUGUGAGACACACCAUACAGACAUUAACUCUGUCAAGAUUGAUAUCUUUUCUAGAUAUUCAAACUUUCAAUAUCAAAUUCAAAAUUCUAGAUAUUCAAAGUUUGAAUAUCAAACUUUGAACUUUGAAUUUUGAAAAAUAAUAAAUAAUUAAAAAAAUACAUGAAUAGUAGCCAAGAUUUUGGCUAUAAAUAGCGGGGCUCAUAUAGAGGGGCUCAUUCCCUCAUUUGCUCAUCCAAUUUUGAGAAGAGUUUUCUUGUAUUUAGAGAGAGUUUAGAGAGCUUGAAAUUAUAAGCUCUUGUUUUAGUGUUUUGAGAGUUUGGGUGUAUUGGGGUUUUGGAAAGUGAGCUAAAAUACUACAAUACUUGUAACUCCUUUUCACUAAUAAAAUAUUUUCCUUCUGUCUUCACCUGUGGACGUAGACUAAAAGUCGAAUCACGUAAUUUCUGGUGUUCUCUUUUAUGCUUGUUCUUUAUUUUCUUCCAAUUUCAUUUUAGCUGCGGCCUGCUGCACCCAUCAAUUUCCUAACAGUGGUAUCAGAGCUAUUGGUUGUAUUUUUGGAGUUGGGUACUAUUCACGUGAAGGUACUAUUCACAUAUACGGUACUGUUCAUGUAUACGAUAUUAUUCACGUAUACGGUACUGUUCACGAUACGGUACUGUUCAUAUAUACGAUAUUAUUCACGUAUACGGUACUGUUCACGAUACGGUACUGUUCAUAUAUAGGCACUGUCCACGAAAAACAGUGGGAGCGAUCCAAGAAUUUUGCGGUGCAAAGCAAGGAAUAGUGGUGUGAGUAAAGCAAUUGUGUGAUUUUGUACAUGUCUAAGAAAGUUCUGUCACAAAGGCGAUAAGAACUUAAGAAGUCUGGGUUUUAAGUGGGACCAUUGUGACCCCUCCAGUCUUUCCUGGGAACUUUCCUAGUGUGCAUAUUCACACAUACUCACAACUAUUCGACGUGAUACACUAGUUUGUGUCUAAUAUUUAUCAACAAAAUGGCGGCAAAGUAUGAAAUUGAGAAGUUCAACGGGAAUAAUUUUUCGUUGUGGAAAAUGAAGAUGAAAGUUGUAUUAAAGAAAAAUAAUUGAUUGACAGCAAUUGGAGGAAGGCCCAUGGAGAUAACUAAUGACAAGUGGAACAAGAUAGAUGGCAACGCCAUUUCUGAUCUACACUUAGCACUUGCGAAUGAAUUAUUAUCUAGUAUGACAGAAAAAAAUACAGCGAAGGGAAUAGAGAUACUCUCACAAAAUUGUAUGAGACCAAGUCACUACACAACAAAAUUUUCUUGAAGAGAAAACUUUAUACUCUUCGAAUGGCGGAAUCUACAAUGGUGACCGAUCACAUCAAUACCUUAAAGACUCUAUUUUUACAACUCACAACGUUGGGUCAUAAUAUAGAGGAGAAUGAACGUCCAGAGCUUCUACUUUAAAGUCUACCAAAUUCGUAUGAUCAACUCAUCAUCAACCUGACGAACAACAAUCCAGCGGACAGUCUAGUUUUCAACGAUGUUGCAGCCUCCGUAUUAAAUGAAGAGAGCAGACGAAAAAAUAAGGAAAACAGACAAGCAAGUUCACAGCAAGCGAAGACGCUAUCGAUGACAAGAGGGAGAUCAACGGAACAUGGCCCCAGUGGGAGUCACAAUCAUGGUAGAUCAAAAUCGAGAAGUAAGAAGAAUGUUAAAUGCUACAACUGUGGCAAGAAAGGGCACGCCAAGAAAGAGUGUUGGAGUAACCAGAAGAGAAAAGAUGGCAAAGAUCCUAAAUCAUCAAAUGCUCAAGGAUGUGUAGCAAGUACCUCGGAUGAUGGCAAAAUUCUCUACAAUAAGAUAACAACUAUUUCAGAAGGUAGAAAAUAACUAUCUGAUGUAUGGCUUAUAGACUUAGGAGGUACCUGACACAUGACCUCUCGAAGAGAAUGGUUCCACACAUAUAAACCUAUCUUAGGAGAAUCUGUAUAUAUGGGUAACGAUCAUGCCUUGGAGAUCGUUGGUAUUGGUACUAUCAAAAUAAAAAUGUUUGAUGGUACAAUUCGCACAAUUGGGGAGGUACGACAUGUCAACGGCCUGAAGAAAAAUCUAUUGUCUUUGGGACAAAUGGAUAGUUAUGGGUACAAAACUCAUAUGGAGAAUGGAAUUAUGAAGAUCAUUAAAGGCGCGCUUAUAUUGAUGAAGGAAGAAAAGAUCGGUGCUAAUUUAUUCAUACUUAAAGGAGAAAUACUACAGGAGGCUGAUGUGUGUGUCGCGUCAAAUGGAGAAGAAUCAAUAAUGAUGUGGCACCUUAAACUUAACCAUAUGUCAGAAUAAGGUUUGAAAAUUCUCUCUGAGUGAAAAUUGCUUCUAGUGCUCAAAUCGGUAAGUUUACCAUUUUGCGAGCAUUGUGUUACAAGUAAGCAUCAUAGAUUAAAAUUUAGUAGAUCUAUUGCUAUAAGUAAAUGCAUUCUAGACUUGAUUCAUUCUGAUGUUUGGGAAUCACCGGAUAUGUCCAUGGGAGGUGCAAAGUACAUGGUGAUUUUCAUUGAUGAUUAUUCCAGGAGAUGUUAGGUGUAUCCAAUUAAGAAAAAGUCAGAUGUGUUUUCAGUGUUUAAAAAAUAUAAAGCGCGGGUGGAACUUGAAUCCGGUAAAAAGAUCAAGUGCUUGAGGACGGAUAAUGGUGAAAAGUAUACAGACGGUGAGUUUCUUGCUUUCUGUAAGUAAGAAGGUAUUCAGAGGCAGUUCAAUGUAGCAUAUACUCCUCAACAAAAUGGAGUGGCAGAGCGGAUGAACAGGACUCUUACAGAACGAAUAAGAGUUAUGUUGAGGACUGCGGCUCUACCUAAUUCAUUCUGAGCAGAAGCAGCCAAAACUGCAUGUUAUAUAGUAAAUCAGUCACCAUCUACAACUAUGAGGCUGAAGACAGCGAUGGAAAUGUGGAUUGGAAAGCCAGCUGAUUACUCAUACCUACAUGCAUUUGGAUGUCCUGUGUAUGUGAUCUACAAUGCCCAAGAAAGAACAAAGUUGGAUCCAAAAUGUAGAAGAUGUAUUUUCUUAGGGUAUGCUAAUGGAGUAAAGGGGCAUCGUCUGUGGGACCCCCACUGUCCACAAGAUCGUCAUCAGCAAAGAUGUUAUCUUUGUAGAAUAUCAACUAAAAAGGAGAGAUGAGGAUGAUAACACUAUAAAAGAAAAGUCAGAAACUGUACCGGUGUAUGUGAAAAAUAAUCUGGAAAAAGAAGAUUUAGAUUCUUCUGAAGUAGCACUAGAGCACGAGGGACAAGAACUAGUUGAGUCCGAGGCUCCAGAAGUUUGUCGGUCAACUGGUGAGAGACGACCGCCAACAUGGCACUCGGAGUAUGUCACAGAGAUCAACGUUGCAUACUGUCUUCUAACAGAGGAUGGAGAGCCAUUAACUUCCCAUGAAUCUUUAAACAGCUCAGAUGUUAUUUUGUGGAUGAUAGUAAUGAAGAAAGAAAUUGAAGCUCUACACAAGAACAAGACAUGGGAACUUGUACCACUACCAUAUGGAAGAAAAGCCAUUGGUAACAAAUGAGUCUACAAGAUCAAGCGUGAUGGCAAUGACUAAGUGGAGCAGUAUCGUGUCAGAUUGGUGGUGAAAAGAUAUGCUCACGAGAUAUUUUCUCCAGUAGUUCAACUCACAACAGUCAGAAUAAUCUUGGCAAUGUGUACUAUAUUUGACUUACAUCUUGAGCAGUUGGAUGUGAAAACUGCAUUUCUUCAUGGAGAACUUAAAGAAGAAAUUUAUAUGCUCUAACCAGAAGCUUUUGCUGAAAAGAAAAAUGAGAACUUGGUUUGUAGGUUGAACAAAUUUUUAUACGGUCUCAAACAAGCGCCGAUGUGUUGGUAUAAGAGAUUUGAUUCCUUCAUCAUGAGCCUUGGAUACAAUAGACUCAGUUCAGACCAUUGUGCAUAUUACAAAAGGUUUGAAGAUAAUGAUUUCAUUAUUUUGUUGUUGUAUGUGGAUGACAUGUUGGCAGCAGGCCCCAACAAAGAUCGAAUCCAAGAAUUGAAGGCAUAAUUGGCUAGGAAAUUUGAAAUAAAGGACUUGGGACCAGCAAACAAGAUUCUAGGGAUGCAAAUUCACCGAGACAGAAAUAACAUGAAGGUUUGACUUUCUCAGAAGAACUACUUGAAGAAAAUCUUGCGACGCUUCAACAUGCAAGAUUGUAAGUGAAUUUCUACCCCACUACCUGUUAAUUUCAAGUUAUCCUCAAGUAUGUGUCCUAGUAAUGAAGCAGAGAUGAAGGAGAUGUCUCGAGUACCGUAUGCAUCAACGGUGGGAAGUUUUGUGUUCGCUAUGAUAUGUAUUAGACCAGACAUUGUACAAGCAGUGGGAGCAGUUAGUCGAUACAUGACGAAUCCUGAUGGAGAGCAUUGGAUAACUGUGAAGAGGAUUCUGAGAUACAUCAAAGGAACCUCCGAUGUUGCAUUAUGUUAUGGAGGAUCAGAGUUUACUGUCAGGGGCUAUGUGAAUUAAGAUUUUACAGGAGAUCUUGAUAAAAGAAAAUCCACUAUUGGCUAUAUGUUUACAUUUGCAGGAGCAGCUGUAAGCUGGGUUUCAAAACUGUAAAUUAUUGUGGCCCUAUCUACAACAGAAGCAUAAUACAUGGCAGCUACACAAGCUUGCAAUGAAGCUAUUUGGAUACAAAGGUUAUUGGAGGAGCUCGGGCACAAACAACAGAAAACUCUUGUAUUUUGUGACAAUUAGAGUGCCUUGCAUAUUGCAAGGAAUCCAGCCUUUCAUUCCAGGACAAAGCACAUAAUGGUACAAUAUCACUUCGUUCGAGAAGUUGUGGAAGAUGGAAGUGUGGAAGAUGGAAGUGUGGAUUUACAGAAAAUCCAUACCAAGGAGAACCUAGCAGAUGUUUUGACCAAGCCAAUCAAUGCUGACAAGUUUAUCUGAAGUAGAUCCUCUUGUGGCCUAGCAGAAACAUAGGCAACAUGAUAAUGGCAAAGAAAAAAGGAUGGUGUGAAGAUUGAUUGGUUCUCAAUCAAAUCUCCAAGUAGGAGAAUGUCAAGAUUGAUAUCUCUUCUAGAUAAUCAAACUUCGAAUAUCAAAUUCAAAAUUCUAGAUAUUCAAAGUUUGAAUAUCAAACUUUGAACUUUGAAUUUUGAAAAAUAAUAAAUAAUUGAAAAAAAUACGUGAAUAGUAGCCAAGAUUUUGGCUAUAAAUAAAGGGGCUCAUUCCCUCGUUUGCUCAUCCAAUUUUGACAAGAGUUUUCUUUUAUUUAGAGAGAGUUUAGAGAGCUUGAAAUUAUAACUUCUUGUUUUAGUGUUUUAAGAGUUUGGGUGUAUUGGGAUUUUGGGAAGUGAACUAAAAUAGUACAAUACUUGUAACUCCUUUUCAUUAGUAAAAUAUUUUCCUUCUGCCUUCGCCCGUGGAUGUAGGCUAAAAGUCGAACCACGUAAUUUCUGGUGUCCUCUUUUAUGUUUGUUCUUUAUUUUCUUCCAAUUUCAUUUUAGCUGUGGCCCUGCUUCACUCAUCAAUUUCCUAACAAACUCGUAUUAAUGUGUACUUACUUCAUUCAAGAUAUUAGUGUUUUUCUCUCUUUUUUUCUAAAAAAAAAAUUGAAAUGCCCCUUUUCGCAUUUUAUAGGUGAAGAAGAAACAUAAUAUCGCAGGACUAGAAUAAAGGAGCCUAUUCUGGUACCUAUUGUCCAAGGAAGCUUCUGUGCAUUGAGUCGGCACUGCCAUGGCAGUCAAAUGUUACCAGAGCCAGGCGGAGUCGUUCCUAAAGGAAUAUAUAUUAGCAUAUCCAUUUGUCCCGUACACUUCAAUUGUCGAUAGCAUUUUUGUUUGCAAGAUGGUAUGUUUUUUGUCGUUACUGCGUGGUGGUAUUUACUAGAAAAUAUUUUGAAUGCAUAGUUUUUAUUUAAUUAGUUAUAAAAUUUGUAUACCCUCUGUUUUCCAUAAGAAUUUGUUCCUUUUCAGGUCUAUUAUCUUGCCAAAUUGAUUAGUGUUGUUCAAUUUAAAUGUUAUUCUAGUUUCUCCAACAUACAGUGGGUCGAGUGGAGUAACAGGUGAUUGAAUAUUUUCAUUUAGUUCAUUUUUCAUUUCCUUUUCAAUCGGUAAAGUUUAAUCAUUUUCUUAAAUCGACAACUGAUGCAGGGCCAUAUCAACCGCCCAUGCCAUUUUUAUAACAGCAAUGUCUUUGUACUUUGUGUUUUGGUGGGAUCUAAGAGUUUCUUGGAUAAACAAUUGUGUAUCCUAUGAUCUAGGCAUGGUCGUUUGGACUGAACUAGUUUUAAAUAAAUAAUUGCCCAAGGAUUUAGUCUCAGUGUUACAGCCCAGUCUUUGUUGUCCAUACUCUUUCGCCCAUCGUGGAUGAGUGCCAUAACAGCUUCUUAAUGUUUUGAAGUGGCUUUUGCACGGUUGCUGUUUCCUUCUGAAGCUAUAGAGUAGCUAUGGAUAUAGCAGAUGCAGAUGCCACCAAUUUUUAUACUGGCCUUAUGAAAAGGAUCAAGCGGGAACUUAAAAGGAGGUGGAUUUGAAUGAAACACCCUUUAUGCAAGCCAAGAGACUCCAAUUAAGCCUGCAAGCUCUGCUUAAAACAGGUAUUUAUAUACGUUAUUAGUUUUUGUACCUUUACAAUUAGUGAUUUUUGUAUCAAAAGAGAGGUUAAUUUUUAGUACACAGGGGCGGCUCUUCCUCUAGACAACUGCCUAGAGCCCCACUAUAGAUGAAGACCCUAAAUUUUUCUCUAACAUUAUAGCUAUUAAAUUAUUCAUUUAUUUUUAUUUUUAUUUUUAUUAUUCUAUAAUAAUCUUUGUUCAAAUAAAUUAUCAAGUCCCUACCAAAUCUCUUUUUAACAUUGGAAUAAGCAAUGUUAAUCCUAUUUACUCCUACAAAAUCUCUACUUAAUGUUAUUUCAUUUAAAACUCCAUAAAAGUCACACAUUUGUUAACUUGUUAUCCAUUAAUAUUUUUAUCCAUAAAAAGAAAAAGCACGAGACAUUCAAUGCUUCAAUUCAUAAGGAAAAAAAGAAGCUUUUUUAAUUUUUACUUAAGAAAAAAAUUAACUAUUUCCAUUGACCGUUGCUGUUUAAAACUUCAAUCCAUCGAAAUUAGAGUUUCAAAUAUCCAAGUUUUUUCUUCCUAUUCUCUUCUUAAUCAGUUGUGUUAUUCAAUUGUUAUUGUUUCUUUUUUAAAUAUUAUUGUUGUUUUCUUUUAAUUAUCCAGCAUAAUUGCUUACUUGUUUUCUCUUCUUUCACUAAAAAAGAAAAAAAUGUCUAAUAGAAAAUGUGCAUCAAGAUACAAAAAACUUGGGAAAACAAAAAGAGAAGAAUAAAAAAGUUAGUUCGAUCUAAAAAAUGAGCUCUUGAUAAGUUUGUCAAAAAUAGUAAAAAAAAGAUAUGAAUUAUAGUGAAGAAUUAGUGAUUGAUGAAAUUUUUCAAAAUUAAAAUUAAUAAAAAUUUAUUUAAGAUCAAAUAAGUCGCAAGAAAAGUUAAUGAUUUAGCUAUAUUGAGAAGAAUGUAUUAGCGAAAUUAGAAAUAAAAAUUUGAGCAAUAAUUUUGCACCUAAGAAAGCUAGAAAAUUUGAUUUUAAAUAAAUAACUUUUUAGUAAAACAAAUACAUAUAUUUGACCUCAAAUUUUUUAAAAAGCCUAAUUAAAGCAAUUCAUCUAAGGCCCCAAAAUUAGUUGAGCCGCCCCUAUUAGUACAUUGAUAUCUCAACAAAAUGUUAGAACCUUUGUAGCACUAGAGACAUUUUCUUAGAGCAUUUACUGACCUUUCUAUGAUUGUAGUGGAGACAGGUCGACGCUACUUCCCUCAUUGCUCAGAAGUGGUUGAUAAGUUUUUGGAUUGUGAUUGGUCCGAUUCUUCCCUCCUAGAAAAGGGUACUCCUGAAGAGCAGAAACUCAAAAGGGCACGCUUCAUGGAACUUAAAGAAGACCUGAAGAAGGCAUUUUACAAGGACAUGGCUGAGAAAAAUCCGUCAGGUCUGUCGUCAUCUUCUCCGAAGGAAGGAGUAAAGUGUAAGGGUAGGCAAAGGUGAUGCUUAGCUGCUUGUCUUUGUUAUUCAUUUAUAGGCAACUAAAAGUGUUUUAGUGAGUUUGAUUGUUACUUGUAGAGAGAUACUCUUAGGGCCUAUGUUAUGGUUAUGUUGUAUAAUAGCAGAGAAACUUUAAGCAUGCAUUGUUGUAUUUUCCCAGAUAUUUGGCUUGUAAUACACCAAAUGACAAAGAAUUUUCUAUUUUUAGAGGGGAAAGUUAUGUCAGUUAAUUAUUUAUUUAUUUUGUCUGUCUAAUUCAGUUUACAUAGCUUUUUUUUUUUUUUUCCUUUCCAAAAGAAUCUGCAUAUCUUCAUCUGCAAUUUAAGUCAUUGGUAACUUCUUUCAAGGAGGAAGGGAAAAAAAAGCAUUUGUAAGUAUAUUUUACAGUACUGAUUUUCCUAAAAAAUUGGUUAAGGUGACAUUAAUGUUCUUUGAAAUAGAUAGAUAUGCAGAAUCUUCAUCGAAAUUGAAAUUAGAAAUGGAUGGAUAUGAGUGACUUAUAUUAAGAAUUUUUUAGUAGAAUGCUUAUACAAAAAUUUGUAGCUCAUUACUCUCUAGAAGGAAAAUAAAUUUUAGAUUGUAAAUAUUAAAUAUUAAAUUUAUAAUAUAAUAAAUGUGUGACUUAAGGUGUACAAUACCCAUAUAAUAAUCAUUAAGAAAAGAAAAAUCAAAUUUUGUAAAUUACCAAUUUUCUCUUGAAAUUUGAUAUUCUAUAUUAACGUAGGUGUUGCAUGGAGUGGGCUAGUACAACUGAAAGAAACUAACUAAAGUAAAACAAAAUAUCAGAAAAAUACGACGAGCUUCUCAUAUUUUUCAAGUAAAAAAAAAACUAAAAUUAAUUAUUUUUACAACCAAAUUCUGAUGCUUGAAGGUUGCUGGAAUUGACCAUUGUAAUUUUGUCAUCCUCGUUAUUCGCUGGCCAUCGUAGCCUUCCUCCAUUAAAAUGAGAGUUGUUUUUCGAACCACGACGUAAUAAAAAUAAUAUCGAUUAAUACUAAUAAAUCUAUUUUGAUUAUUUUGUAGUGUGAUGGUCUAGAAAGUAUCAGGACUUAUCCUAGCAUCCGAACAUGUGAUAAAAUUAUGCGAGUCUCUAUAAAAUACUAUUUAAAUUGUGUAUUAACUAGACAGUUCUAUGUAGAUAUUUCGUAUAUAUUUAUGGUAAUUGUUGAAAAAAAGAACGUAAAAUGAGAUUAAUGAACAUUCAUAAAUGUGGAAAUUAACACAACUAAGAUUUAUGAUGAAAUAAUUUUAUGUCAAAUGAGUGUAAGUGAAUGGAUGUUAAAAUAACUUGUAAUAUAUAUUUUUUGAACUGUUAUUUACACAAGUUUGUCACCAACAGUAAAUUAAAUUAUGAAUAUUUCAAUAAUUCAAGAUCUCAUUCGAUGUUUAUAGUAUUUGUCAGAGUACAAAAUUGUAAAUGGUCUCACCCUUCAUAGUAUAAUGCUAAACCUUUUCAAAAAUUUAUUCUAUUAUAGACGUAUUAGUCAGUUAUAUUAGAUUAUAGACGAAAUUGAAGAUAAAAAUAGUACUCCAUCUAUCAUACAUUACUUUCAAUUUUUUUUGUCAAAUUAUGAGCUGGUGAAAGGAUGCAACAAAUUACGUCAAACAUUGUAAAAUUUAUCAAUCACUAAAUAAAUAUCAUGUUAUAUGUGUGUGUGUGUGUCUCUCUCUCUAUCUAUCGAUAUAUAUAUAUAGGGGUGGGCAUAAACCCACAACCCAUGGGUUUAUCCAAACUCAAACCAAAUUAAAUGGUUUGGGUUGGGUAAAUCAUUAAAAUGGGUUAGAUGUGGGUUUUAUGUAGAAAACCAUUUCAUUAUGGUUUGGGUAUGGUUUACCCAUGGGUUAUGGACAAAACCCCAACACUCAAAUUUUCAAAUGAAAUAAAUGAAAACAAAAUAAAUGAACACAAAUAAGUGAAAAACCACCAUUAAAUUUUUUACAGCGUGAUCAAUUGUCAACAGUUAGAAAAUGAAAAUAACAGUAAAAAUAAAUUUAAAUUAAAUAAAUAUUGUUGUAAAUAACAUAAAUUUUUUUUCUUAUUUACAAAAAUAAUUCCUCCCACAUGGAAGGAUCAUCAUAGAAAGAGCAGGAGACUCUACUAAUGAUCAAUAAUAACUCGGCUUAGACUGGGUCCGAUAUGCUAGAUGGCGGCUAAUUUUUUGUCAAUAAUUGAAUGUAAUGCCCAUAUUAAGUAUUAAAACAAGAAAUAUAUGUUUUGAUAUGAGCAGAAAAAUUAAUAAUAAAAUUUUUUCUUGUAAUUAUUUAUUUUGUGAACAUUUUCUUAUAAUAAAUAUUUUGUAAUAUUUUAAAAUUAAAUGUAAAAAGUAUAGGUAAAAUAUUUUAUUAUUUAUCUUAUAAUAAAUUUUUAUUUGUCAAUCAAGUUUUCUUAUAAUAAUUUUUUUAUCAUUUGACUAAUAAUUUUCUUAUAUAUUUAUUAUAAGAAAAUUUUCACAAAAUAAAUAAGUAUAAAAAAAUUUUAUUAUUAAUUUUUUUGUUCAUAUCAAAACAUAUAUUUCUUAUUUUUAAUGUUUUAUUUUUUAUUUAGUUUCUAUUCAUGUGAUUUAUUUAAUUUAGAAUAAAUAUAAAUAAAAGAGUAGUUGAAAAUAAGGGUAAUAUUGUAAACGUAUACUAUUAGAGGAGUUUUUGGCCAUUAUAAAAGCAGAAGGGGGAAAAAUAAUAUAUAUUGAUUACUGUAGGGGGGAAACUGACAAUCUCCCUAAAAUUAAACAUAUAAGUAGACAAUAUAACGCAAAACUACCAAAACGAUAAAUAAAAACAAAUAUUGCAUAAUUAAAUAAAUAACAAGUGGUAAAAUUUAUUAUUAAAUUGUUAAUGUCAUGUUUGUGAAAGUUUAUUAUUAAAGUGUACUUUCUUAUUUAUUGAGAAAUAAUAAUUUUUGUGAUUAAACUUUAUUUUGAUUUUCUAGUAUUCUUUAAUUUAAGGAUUAAGUUUUUGUAAAAUUUAUAAUUUUUAUCCACUAUAUUUUUUUAUAUUUUAAUAUUAAUUUAAUAAUUAAUAACAAUUAAUAAUUAUUAUAAUUUUGAUAUAAUUAAAUUUUAUUAAAAUAAAAACUAUUUUGAUAAUAAAAUUCAAACCAAACCCAAACCAAACCCAAAUGGUUUGGUUUGGUUUGGGUUAAAAAUAUUUGGGUUGGUUUGGGUUGGAUCCAAAUUUUUAUGGUUUGGUUUGGGUUGACUUAAAAUCCAACCCAAACCAACCCAUGCCCACCCCUAUAUAUAUAUAUAUAUAUAUAUAUAUAUAUAUAUAUAUAUAUAUUAUACAAAAUCUGAUUCUCAUGAACUAAAAGGACAGGCUUUGGAUGAUGUAUCAUACUCAAAAAUCUAUUUUUAUUAAUGAUUAUACUAACAUUUAAAGGUGUCUGUAAGCUAUAUUAUAUAUUUACUAAUUACUGUUAAGCUUACACUGCUUCCUUCUCAGAAAAUCAUCUUUUGGCUUUUUCUAUUUUUAUGCUUUUUAAAAGUUUUUUCAAGAUUUUUUUUUUAUUGCUUUACCAAGUGGGCAGUUAAAAAAUCUUUUUUUUUUUUUUUUUGUGUGUUGCUUUUGAUAGAAACAUAUGAUUCACCUCUGUUUCUUCGAUGCUUGCUUGCUUCAUGAUUGGUCAACUUGGGUCAAACUUUCAUCUUUAAAUCACAUAGGUAGAUCAUGAUUCAAGCUUCAGUUAUAAGCCUUUCAUUGUGACUGAUAUCAUUCUUUCUUGAUGUACAUAUAUAUAUAGAUUCAGUUUGAAUGUGGUCCUUGAUAGUUUCAUGGAAAAUGCAAACGAAAUGUCAGCAUCUUUGAGUUUUGUCUCAUCAUAUCCGUCUAGUUGGUCUACUAAUCAACCAACAGGCUCUGAAACUUGCUCUGAUCUUGAUAAUUUGAACUUAAGGAGGCAAAGCAGCAAUCCUGAAGAGCCAUUGCUUGAUGCUGAGAUUGUUGUUGAGGGCAAAUCAGUGGCAGUUAAUCGCUGCAUAUUGUCUGCACACAGUCAAUUUCUUCAUUGGCUAUUUAAUUUGAGAAAUGAUGGUUCUGUGAGUGAGGGGAAACCCAAGUAUCUUAUGACUGAUUUGGUGCCUUAUGGGAAGGUUGGAUAUGAAGCUUUCAAUGAUAUCUUGCAUUAUCUUUACACUGGGAAGGUUAAGCCAUCUCCUCUAGUAGUGUCCACGUGUGUUGACGAUGCUUGUGCUCAUGAUGCUUGCCCUCCUGCUGUCAAUUAUGCUAUUGAGUUGAUGUAUGCUUCUGCUGCUUUUCAGAUGAAAGAACUCGUUUUGCUUUUGCAGGUAAUUGUGCUUCCCUGCUAUUUGUAUUGCUUAAAUUUAUGCUUCUUGGUAUAGUUUUAACAUUUCGGUAUAGUUUUAACAUUUAUGGAAUUGAAAUCAAUUUCAAUUGUGCGAAAGCAAGUAAAUGUGAAGCAACUUCAGUGAUUCGCAAUAUUAGUCAUCGCAGGAGAUCCAAAAUUUGUAGAUACUGUAGAAUUGUAGAGCCCAAAACUUCAUCUUAUCUUGCAAGAGUUUGUUGUUUUAUUUUCAAAUAGACAAAAAAAAAAUGAUGAUGGGCAGCGAACUCUAGGGAUCAAUGCUUGCUGACCCUGACACCCAAUGCUUGAUGUCUAGCUUGCUUAUUUUUCCAACAAUGACACUACCUUUCUAGUAAAUGAAAUAUUAUUCUACAUCUAUGUAUUGGAACUUUGACAAACUUCGGUUUUCCUUUGUUGAUUCACUGGUCUCACUUUUAUUCAAUUGCCCGAUUAUGAAAUGGUCUAUUGGAGACUAGAAAUGGAAGGUUUCUUGUGGAAAAAGUUUUACUUGACCACCGAUUUUCAUUUUGGUGGGUGUCAGCGCAUGCUCUGGCUUGACUAUUCUGUUAUUUAGGCUGUUUUAUCUGAUCUUCUCACUCACUUGAUAGUUAGUUCUCUCAUGCUUCCAAGCUCAAAGAUUAAUGCAAGAGAUUCUCUUUUUCCCCUCUAGACUAUAACCUAUCAAAUCAUUAAUGCUAUAGAAUAACAUCUUGUGUAGGCGGGCUUAUGUCUCUGAACAUUUGUCCAUCGGCAUUUGCAAUAAGCAUGGCCCUGAUUUUUCGUCUCAUUAUUAUUUUCCUACCCAGAUUGUCCCCUUUAAGUAGCAUAUUGAAGGAGAGCAACAUUCUUAUAUAUGUUUUAUGAUGUUUACCAAUAAUUACCCACCACGGGGUAUUUAAAUUUUGAAUGUAUUAUUCUGACUCAAAACUCUAUCUGUCGGUGUAGCUUCAGCUUCUGAACUUUGUUGAGAAGGCUGUUGUGGAAGAUGUAAUCCCAAUCCUUGUGGCUGCCUUGCAUUGCCACCUGAACCAGCUUCGUUCUCUCUGCAUCCAGAGAGUUGUAAGGUCAAAUCUUGACAAUAUAUAUCUCGAGAAAGAGCUUCCUGAGGAAGUUUCAAGUGAAAUCAAAUCAAUCCGCAUCAAAUUUCACCAGGAGUCCGAAGAUAAUGCAGCAGAAGUAGACCCUGUGCAUGCAAAAAGAGUCAGAAGAAUCCACAAGGCACUGGACUCUUAUGAUUUUGAACUGCUGAAUCUUCUUCUGAAUGAAUAUGAAGUCACUUUAGAUGAUGCUUAUGCUCUGCACUAUGCCGCUGCCUACUGCAGCCCUAAUGUUUUUGUGGAAGUGCUCAGUAUGGGCUUGGCUGAUCUCAAUCUUAAGGAUGCAAGAGGUCAUACGGUGCUUCAUGUGGCUGCACUGCGUAAGGAGCCAGCAGUGCUGCUGGCCCUGCUGAGCAAGGGAGCAUGCGCAUCAGAAACUACAUCAGAUGGACAAACAGCUGUAGCAAUCUGUCGGAGAAUGACAAGGCGAAAGGAUUAUAUUGAAGCUUCGAAGCAGGGGCAGGAAAUUAACAAAGACCGGUUAUGCAUUGAUGUCCUAGACAACUUCAUGUCUGGGAACUUGACAAUGUCAUCCGAGGUGAUGGAUGAUGAUUUCCAAAUGCAGCUGAACAAUCUGGGAAAUAGAGGUGAUAUUCCUUUAUUGGUAUUAGUAAAUCAUCUUCUCAGAGUUUGUGUGUUCCUUCAUCUUAGCAUGUCAAACACACAUGGGCUCAUUGCUUGGGGCCAGUCAUGUGAUUUUUUCCACUUUUUUCGAAUAGACAAUUGUGAAUCCAUUUGAUCUACGUUUGGUGGUUUGCACUGAACUAGUUUUUGAUAAAUAAUUGUACAAGACUUUGUCAUCAAAACUAUUUCAUUUCCAAAAGUAAUGAGGGACAAAAAAAUUUAUGCCUAUCCUGGAUGAGUGCCAUAACAGCUUCUUAAUAUUUUGCAGUGGCUUUUGCACGGUUGUUGUUUCCUUCUGAAGCUAUAAUAGCUAUUCGUAUAGCAGGUGCAGAUACCACCAAUUUUAAUACUGGCCUUUCAGCAUUAAAUCCUAUAGGACUGAGUUGGAACUUGAAGGAGGUUGAUUUGAGUGAAACGCCUUUGCAAACUCUGCUUAAAACAAGUGUUUAUGUACUUUAUUAACUUUUACACCUUUCUAUUUACUGAUUAUCUUUAUAAUUAAAUAAUACAUGUAUCAAGGUUUCUCCUUACAUUUCAUUAGAAGUGAAUUGGAAUCUCUUCAUGGUGCUCUGUUAGGUGUAAUGAGAUGUAGCAAAAGAGAAAGGGUAAUUGUUAGUGCAUUGAUAUCUCAACAGAAUGGUAGAACCUUUCUUUAUAUCACUAGAGACAUUUGUUGUAGGGAUGCCUCCAUAAUCAGUGUGCUUUAAAACUUUCCAGGAGUUAGCUACGCCUACCUCCGGACCUAAGGCGUGACACACAGACCCAAUUAGUGCCUAAAACACAUAUCGAAUCUGAGCAAAACUAAAUGCUUGUAAAUCCAAAUCUCCAAAAUAUCAAAAGCUCAUCUACUUUCUCUUUUCAUGGAUUUCACCAAAUGUUUUUAAAAAUUCAUUCUCAAUCAUAAACUAUGCGCAUCUAAAUAAUCACCAUAUCAAUAUACAACAAUACUUCCUCAUAAGCAAAUAAAUCUUACAUUCCUCUUCUUACAUGAUUUAAAAAAAAAAAAACUUUUAGAAGUCCCCUAAAUACGAACAUAAACAGAAUUCAGCUGCUAAAACUAUGCAAACACAAGCUUCAAUCAGUAAUACAUACGACUAAUUAUUAAAACAUCUAGCUAGAAGCCUUACAGAAGCUCAAUCCUUCCGAAGCUUGUUUCCAAAGAACCUUCAAAUUAAUAAUCGCUACUAUCUGCGAAAAAUAAUUGAUAAUGGGGCAGUUGUUAAUAAGUAAUUAAGUAGAACCAUUCAUAACGAACGAAAAGAAUUCUUUGCGCAAUAUUUUCAGAAAAUUCAUUUAACUUUUCAAAUGAAUCAGAGUAAUUUUUCAAACGCAGUCAGGAUUUGUGUCAACAUAAACGUUUGAGACAGAAGCUUUUUGGAACAUAAAUUUUGCUUUUAAUAUAAAGUUAUACGUUGGUUUGAUUUUAAAGGGAGGUUAUUGGGAAGUUAAAAUGCACAGUUGUGGUAACAGGGUAAUAGCAGUUAUAAAAUCUCUUUUAAAACAAAUUCGAAUCAAGUUUCAAAUUUAGGAAGUAUUUAAUUCAAUAAAAUAAAGAAUAAAUAAAGUUUUCGUUGAAGCGAAACUAAGUAGAUUCAUUUAAAGCAAAACAGGAUGCGAGAAUUACAUAAGGGUUCUUGACCCUACCAUGCAGUCAGAUAUCUGGCACCUUGUUAGCACUUGAUUGUGCCAUGUUCUCCACAGCCAGAUAUCUUGUUCUUCAUUAUUUCCUAGACAUCUUUGGAUAAGGAACCCUAAGCCUAUUGAGAAUAAAUUCUGUAAACCAAGACUCUCUUCAGUUCUUUCAUUUGUGGCUAAUUAGUUAUAAGAUUUGUGAAUUUCCUGCCCCAUGGCCCCUGCAAAAUGCAUUUUAUAUCCUUAAGAUGCCAAUGGUUGAAUUGAAAUACUAAAAACCGGAAAACAGACUUAAUGAGAUGUUUAGAAUUUUCUUAGAGCAUUUGCUGAACUUUUUGUGAUCGCAGUCGAGAGGGGUCGACGCUACUUCCCUCAUUGCUCAGAGGUGGUUGAUAAGUUUUUGGAUUGUGAUUGGCUCGAUGCUUCCCUUCUAGAAUCAGAUGCUCUGGAAGAGCAGAAACUUAAAAGGGCACGCUUAAUAGAACUUGAAGAAGAUGUGCAGGAGGCAUUCUGCAAGGACAUGGCUUAUGACAAUCGUUCAGGGCUGCCAUCCUCCUCGUCGGCAUUUUACGAUUACAUGGCUGAGAACAAUCGUUCAGGCAUGCCGACAUCCUCCGCAUCGAGCAAUUAAGCAUCACCUUUUCCAGGAAGUGAUACUUCGACGCCCGGGAAACUAGAAGAGUUUAGUGAGCUCGACUGGUACUUGAGAGAUGGUCAGAGCCUAUGUUAUGGCUAUGUAUUGUCUAGUAGCAGAGAAUAUAUUAAUGAAUGAUGGAUGACUUUCUUGUGACUCUUUGAUGCAAUCAUGUAACGAUUUGAGUAAUGCUAACAUUAUCUCAUAUAUAUAUAUAUAUAUAUAUAUAUAUAUUUUUUUUUUUUUUUUUUUGAGUGAUCUGACAUUCAUCAAUUAGAUUGUAAAAUUAUUAUAUUGUUUCAAGUCCAGUGAGACACAACUUAUAACAUUGAUGGAAUGAAUCGCAUUAUUCAUAAACUCAUUUCAUAAAAUAUUUUUAUAUAAAAUUGUAUAAUUUAUAGGCUAUGCUUAAAAAGUUAAGAAAAAAAAAAAGGGUGUACUACAAUUGGGAUGAGGCAUGCAUGAGUAGUCACAUUAGUUGCUGAACAAACUUUGCCUUUUUAAUUUUGGAUACAUUACUAUCUCAAAUUUUCUAUUAUCAGUAAAUGAGAUUAAGAUAAUCUUUUUUUUUAAAAAAAAAAAAAGAGAGCUGGAGAUUCUUUUUUCCUUAAAAAAAUGAAGAAAAAUUUAGAAAGUUGUGAGAGGGGGAGAAAUAAAGUAAUUAUAUUCACAAAUAUAAUGUGUUUAAGGUGUAUUUGGCACACUGUAUUGUAUUAUGCCGUAUUGCAUUAUUUUAAUGCAGGUGUAUUGUAUUAUUAUGUAUUGUUUUAGCACUGUAUUAUAAUAAUGUUAUACAACGUUUGGUGCUACACUGUACUGUAUUAAUUUUUUGUGAUUAACUUAAAUAAUAUAUUUAGAAAAUAAUAUUUAUUAGUACCUAGAAAAAUACUAAAUAUAUAAGUCUUAAAUUUUAAAAAUUUAACAUUAUUUUUUAGUAUAGAUGUUAAAAAAUAUCACAAUUUUUUGUAAAGAUCGAAACUUAUAGCCUUAUAUUUUUGACAAUGUAACAUUGAUUUUUCAGUAUUUCCUAAAUAUAUAACAUGUGAAAUAAAGAUCGAAGUAAAUAAUUUAAUCAAAUAAUCUCUAAAUAAUAUCAUAACUUAAUGAUAUUUUAUGUUAUUAUUUUUAUUGGUAUUAAUUUUAAAUUAAUAUUAUUUAAAUUUAUUCAUACAUAAAUAUUUAUUGUUAGUUAUAUUAAAUUUUUAAAUAAUAAUCAAUUUUUAUAUAUUAAUUAUUAUAAAAUUAAAUAAUGCAUUAUUUAGUUAUAUUUUUAAUAUAAUGAAAAUUAAAAUAUGAAUAAUAAAUAAUAAAAUUAUUAAUUUAUUUCAAUAAUUAUGAUGUGAACAGUGUUAUAAUAUACUAUAAUCACAUGCACCAAACACACCCUUAAUGCGGCAAUACAAACUAAUAAAUUAUAAUUUAUAAGAUUAGUUUAUAGAAUCUUACAUAUAAAAUUAUAUCCUCUAAAUAAAAAUAUUCACACCUGUUUUGACUUCUCAUUUAGAUGUUCUUUCUAAAGUCCCUCUAGCGAUAAACACAUUUUUAUAAAACAAAACAGAAAAAAUUAUAUAUAAUUGUUCAUAAGGACUAUUUGUACAUAGUACACAAUUGGCCACUAAAAUUAUUUGAGGAGAAAAGUUAUAUGAGAUGGAUUCAUCAUAUUAUCAGUAUUUAUUAGCAGAUCCAUUUGUCUCGUACACUUCAAUUGUUGGUAGCAUUUUUGUUUGCAAGAUGGUAUGUUUUUCGUCGUUACUGCGAGGUAGUAUUUACUAGAAAAUAUUUUGAAUGCAUAGUUUUUAUUUAAUUAGUUAUAAAAUUUUUAUACCCUCCGUUUUCCAUAAGAAUGUGUUCCUUUUCAGGUAUUCAUAUGCCUUAUUAGUUUUUGUACCUUUACAAUUAGUGAUUUUUUUAUCAAAAGAGAGAGGUUAAAUUUUAGUACAUUGAUAUCUCAGCAAAAUAUUAGAACCUUUGCACCACCAGAGAUAAUUUCUUAGAUCAUUUACUGAGCUUUCUAUGAUUGCAGUUGAGACGGGUCGACGCUACUUCCCUCAUUGCUCGUUUUUGGACUGUGAUUGGUCUGAUGCUUCCCUCCUAGAAAAUGGUACUCCUGAAGAGCAGAGACUCAAAAGGGCACGCUUCAUGGAACUUAAAGAAGACGUACAGAAGGCAUUUUACAAGGACAUGGCUGAGAAAAAUCGUUUAGGUUUGUCGUCUUCUCCAAAGGAAGGAGUAAAGUGUAAGGGUAGGAAAAGGUGAUGCUUAGCUACUUGUCUUUUGUUAUUCAUUGCUAGGAGACUAAGAGAGUUUUACUGAUUUUGAUUGUUACUUGUAGAGAGAUACUCUUAGAGCCUAUGUUAUGGCUUAUGUUGUAUAAUAGCAGAGGAACUUCAAGCUUGCAUUGUUGUAUUUUCCCAGGUAUUUGGCAUGUAAUAUAUACUAAAUGACAAAGAAUUUUCUAAUUUUAGAGGGAAAAAAUAUGUCAGUAAAUUAUUUGUUUAUUUUAUCUGUUUAAUUCAGUGUAUAAUAUAGCUUCUUUUUUAAAAAAAAAAAAUCUCCAUAUCUUCAUCUGCAAACUCAGUCAUGUGCAACUUCUUUCAGGGAGAAAAGAGGGAAAAAAAAAGGCAUUUGUACCUGUAUUUUACAGUAGUGACCCUCAUACAGAAAUUGGUUAAGAUGGCAUUAAUGCUCUUUGAAAUAAAUAGAUAUGCAGAAUUUUCAUCGAAAUUGAAAUUAGAAAUGGAUGGAUAUGAAUGAUAUAUAUGCAGAAUUUUUAACAGAAUUUUUAUACAAAAAUUUGUAGCUAAUUACUCCCCGAAGAAAAAUUUUCAAUUGUAGAUAUUAAAUUUUAAAUUUAUACUAUAAUAAAUGUGACUUAAGUUGCACAGCACCCAUAUAAUAAUAAUAAUUAAGAAAAGAAAAUUUAAAUUUUGUAAAUUACCAAUUUUUUAAAAUUAAUUAUUUUUAUACCCAAAUUCUCAUGCUCGACGGCCGCUGGAAUUGGCUAUUGUAAUUUUGUCAUCCUCAUUAUUCACUGGCCAUUUUUGGACCACGACAUAAUAGAAAUGACAUAGAUUAAUACUAAUAAAUUUCUUUUGAUUAUUUUGUAGUGUGAUGAUCUAGUGAGUAUCAGUGUCCAUCAUAGCACCUGAACAUAUGAUAAAAUUUGUGAUUUUCUGUAAAAUAGUAUUUAAAUUGUGUAUUAACUAGACAACUCUAUGUAGACCACCGCUCACUAAAUCAUUACUUUAUUUUGUAUAUGUUUAUGACAAUUGUUGAAGAAAAAUAUAAAGUGAGAUUAAUGAACAUUCAUGAAUGUGGGAAAUUAACACAACUAGGAUUUAUGAUGAAAUAAUUUUAUGUCAAAUGAGUGUAAGUGAAUGGAUGUUAAAAAAACAUGUAUAUAUUUUUGAAUUGUUAUAUAUACAAGUUUGUCACUAACAGUAAAUUAAAUUACGAAUAUUUUAAUAAUUUAAAAUCUCAUUCAACCAUAGCUAUUUAUAGUGUUAUUUGGAGUACCAAAUUGUAAAUAGUCUCACUCCUAAUAGUAUAAUGCUAAACAUUUUCAAAAAUUUAUUUUAUUAUAAUCGUCUUAGUCGGUUAUAUUUAUAUCCAAAUUGAAGAUUAAAAUAGUACUUUAUAUAUCAUACAUUACUAAAAGAAUUUUUUUUUCUUAAUCACGUCUAAAAUUGUAAAAUUCAUCAAUCAUCAAAUAAAUUAAAUAUCAUGUCUCCUGGGCUUAAAAUAUAGGCUUUGAAUGAUGUAUCGUACUCAAAAAUCUAUUUUUAAUUAAUUAUUAUAGGAACGUUUAAAUGUAUCUCUAAGCUAUAUUAUAUAGUUGCUAAUUACUAUUAAGCUUGCACUUCUUCCUCCUCAGAAAAGCAUCUUUUGGCUUUUUCUAUUUUUAUGCUUUUUUGGAAAUUUUUUUUUCAAGAUAUUUUUUUAUUGCUUUACCUAGUGGGCAAUUAAAAAAUCUAUAUAUAUAUAUAUAUAUAUAUAUAUAUAUAUAUAUUUUUUUUUUUUUUUUUGCUUUUGAUAGAAACAUAUGAUUCCCCUCUGUUUCUUUGAUGCCUGCUUGCUUCAUGACGGGUGAACUUGGGUCAAACUUUCAUCUUUAAAUCACAUAGGUAGAUCACGAUUCAAGCUUCAGUUAUAAGCCUUUCAUUCUUUCUUGAUAUAUAUAUAUAUAUAGAUUCAGUUUGAAUAUGGUUCUUCAUAGUAUCACGGAAAAUGCAAACGAAAAGUCAGCAUCUUUGAGUUUUGCCUCAUCGUAUUCGACUUGUUGGUCUACUAAUCAAUCAACAGGCCCUGAAAUUUGCUCUGAUCUUGAUAAUUUGAACUUAAGGAAGCAAAGCAGCAAUCCUGAAGAGCCAUGGCUUGACGCUGAGAUUGUUGUUGAGGGCAAAUCAGUGGCAGUUAAUCGCAGCAUAUUGUCUGCGCACAGUCAAUUUCUUCAUCGGCUUUUUAAUUUGAGAAAUGAUGGUUCUGUGAGUGAGGGGAAACCCAAGUAUCUUAUGACUGAUUUGGUGCCUUAUGAUCGGAAGUUUGGAUUUGAAGCUUUCAAUGAAAUCUUGUAUUAUCUUUACACUGGAAUGAUUAAGGAAUCUCCUUCAGAAGUGUCCACGUGUGUUCAUGAUGCUUGUGUUCAUAGUACUUGCCCCCCUGCUAUUAAUUAUGCUAUUGAGUUGAUUUAUGCUUCUGUUGCUUUUCAGAUGACAGAGCUCGUUUCGGUUUUUCAGGUAAUUGCGCUUCCCCGCUAUUUGUAUUGCUUAAAUUUAUGCUUCUUCGUAUAGUUUUAACAUAUAUGGGAUUGAAAUCAAUUUCAGUUGUCACUUGCAAAGACCCAAAGAAUCGAAGCAAGUAAAUGCGAAGCAACUUCGAUGGUUCGCAAUAUUAGGCAUUGUAGUAGAUCCAAAAUUAGCUUGUUAAAAGUGUAGAGAGCCCAAAACUUCGUCUUAUCUUGCAAGAGUCUGUUGUUUUAUUUUGACAGAGACAAAAAUGAUGAUGAUGGGCAGCAAACUCUAGGAAUCAAUGCUUGCUGACACUGACACCCAAGAAUGAUAACAACUAACCAAAAAGGUAUAGAUUACAUGAGUCUGAAUUUGAUAGGUGCACCUAUCCUAUCGCAAAAAGCUUUUGCGUUGAGUUUCUAACCAAGGAAAAUUGUCACUUCUGUCUGUAGGCUUCAUAGAUUUGUUCAAGCCUUCAAGGAUGUCUAGCUGUUACUUACUGUCCAACAACGGCGCUACAUUUCUAGUGAAUGAUAUGUUAUUCUACCUCUGCAUAUUGGAACUUUGACAAACUUCGCCUUUCCUUUAGUUGAUUCACUCGUCUCACUUUUAGUAAAUUGCCUGAUUAUGAAAUGGUCUAUUGGAGACUAGCAUUGGAAGGUUUCUUCUAGAAAAAAUUUUACUUGACCACCAAUUUUCAUUUCGGUGGGUGUCAGUUCAUGUUCUGGCUUGACUGUUCUGUUAUUUAGGUUGUUUUAUCCGUAUUUUCUCACUCACUUGACAGUUAGUUCUCUCAAGCUUUCAAGCUCAACAGUGAAUGCGAGAGAUUCUCUUUUUCCUGUCCAGGUUAUAGCCUAGCAAAUCAUUAAUGCUUUAGAAUAACAUGUUGGGUAGGUUAGCUUAUGUCUCUGAACAUUGGUCCAUCGGCAUUUAGGUUUGAUAAGCAUGACACUGAUUUUCCGCCUCAUUAUUAUUUUCCUGCACAGAUUAUCCCCUUUAAGUAUUUGAAUUUUGAAUAUAUUAUUCUGAAUCAAAACUCUAUUUGUCCGUGUAGCAUUUUAUAUAUGCUUUAUUAUGUUUACCAAUAAUUACCCACUAUGGGGCAUUUGAAUUUUGAAUAUGUUAUUCUCAAUCAAAGCUCUAUCUGUCCAUGUAGCUUUGGCUUCUGGAAGUGGUUGAGAAGGCUCUUGUGGAAGAUGUAAUCCCAACUCUUGUGGCUGCCUUGCAUUGCCAACUGAACCAGCUCCGUUCUUACUGGAUCCAGAGAAUUGCAAGGUCAAAUCUUGACAAUGUUUGUCUCGAGAAAGAGCUUCCUGAUGAAGUUUCAAGUGAAAUCAAAUCACUCCGUGUCAAAUCUAACCAGGAGUCUGAAGCUAAUAUAGCAGAAGUGAAUCCUAUAAAUGCAAAAGUAGUUAGAGGAAUCCACAGGGCACUGGACUCUGGUGACGUUGAACUGUUGAAGCUUCUUCUGGAUGUAUCUAAUGUCACUUUGGAUGAUGCUUAUGCUCUGCACUAUGCUGCUGCCUACUGCAACCCUAUGGGUUUUAAGGAAGUGCUCAAUAUGGGCUUGGCUGAUCUCAAUCUUAAGGAUGCAAGAGGACGUACGGUGCUUCAUGUAGCUGCAAGGCAUAAGGAGCCAGCAGUGAUGGUGGCCCUGCUGAGCAAGGGAGCAUGCGCAUCAGAAACUACAUCAGAUGGGCAAACAGCUUUAGCAAUCUGUCGAAGAAUGACAAGGUGAAAGGAUUAUAUUGAAGCUACAAAGCAGGGACAGGAAACUAACAAAGACCGGUUAUGCAUUGAUGUCCUUGAGAGAGAAAUGAGAAGGAACUCCAUGUCUGGGAACUUGGCAAUGUCAGCAGAAGUGAUGGAUGAUGAUUUCCAAAGGAAGCUGGACUAUAUGGAAAGUAUAGGUGAUAUUUCUUUACUGGUAUUAGUUCAUCACCUUCUCAGAGUUUGUGCAUAGCACACUUCUUUCUACUGUUUUUUUGUCCCUUCAUCUGGAAAAUAAAGGUGAUAUUCCUUUGCUGGUAUUAGUAAAUCAUCUUCUCAGAGUUUGUGUGUCCCUUCAUCUUAGGAUCUCAAACACACAUGGGCUCAUUGCUUGGAGCACACUGUUGGCCAGUCGUGUGAUUUGAUCCCUUUUUUGGAAUAGACAACUCUGAAUCCAUCUAAUCUAGGCUUGGCGGUUUGCACUGAACUGGUUUUUGAUGAAUAAUUGCACAAGACUUUGUCAUCAAAACUUUUAUUUUUUGGUUUUUUUGCCCCAAAAGUAAUGAGGUACAAAAAAAUCUAUGCCUAUCCUGGAUGAGUGCCAUAACAGCUUCUUAAUAUUUCGCAGUGACUUGUGUACGGUUGUUUCCUUCUGAAGCUAGAGUAGCUAUGGAAAUAGCAGGUGCAGAUACAACCACUGGCCUUUCAGCAUUUGGUCGGAAAGGACUUAGUGGGAACUUAAAGGAGGUUGAUUUGAAUGAAACGCCCUCUAUGCAAGCCAAAAGAUGCCAAUUGAGACUGCUCACUCUGCUUAAAACAGGUAUUUAUAUACUUUAUUAACUUUUGCACCUUUCUAUUUACUGAUUAUCUUUAUAAUUAAAUAAUACAUGUAUCCAGGUUUCUCCUUCCAUUUCAUUAGAAGUAAAAUUGGAAUCUCUUUAUAGUGCUCUGUUAGGUGUAAUCAGAUGUAUCAAAAGAGAAAGGGUAAUUGUUAGUACAUUGACAUCUCAACAAAAUGGUAGAACCUUUCUUUAUACCACUAAAGACAUUUGUUGCAGGUAUGCCUACAUAAUCGGUGUCCUUUAAAACUUUCAAGGAGUUAGCAAUGCCUAACCCUUGAAACACUAAAUCUCACGGGAUCAACUUUUUACCUCUAGACCGAAGGUGUGCACCCAGACCCAAUUAGGACUUAGAACACAUAUCGAAUCUGAGCGAAACUAAAUGCUUGUAAAUCCAAAUCUCCAAAAUAUCAAAAGGUCGUCUACUUUCUCUUUUCAUGAAUUUCACAAAAUUUUGAAAAAUUUAUUCUCAAUCAUAAACUAUGCGCAGCUAAUUAAUCAGUAUAUCAGUAUACAACAAUACUUCCUCGUAAGCAAAUAAAUCUUACAAUCCUUCUUACAUGAUUUAAAAAAAAAAAAUACUUCUAUAAGUCUUCUAAAUACAAACAUAAACUGAACUCAACUGCUAAAACUAUGCCAAAAUACAAGCUUCAAUCAGUAAUACACGCGACUAAUUAUUAAAAACAUCUAGCUACAAACCUUAUGAAAGCUCAAUCCUUCCGAAGCAUUCUUAGAAUUAAUAAUUUCUACUAUCUGUGAAAAAUAAUUGACAAGGGGUCAGCUGUUAACUCAAUCCGUAGAAACAUUCAUAACGAACAAAAAGAAUUCUUUGUGCAAUAUUUUCAGAAAAUUCAUUUAACCUUUCAAAUGAAACAGAGUAAUUUUUCAAACACAGUCAGGAUUUAUAUAAAACAUAAACGUUUCAGACAAGCUUUUUGGAACGUAAAUUUUACUUCUUUGAACAGAAAGUUAUACAUUAGUUUGAUUUUAAAGGGAGGUUAUUGGCAAGUUAAAAUUGGCAGUUGUGGUAAAAGGGUAAUAGCAGUUAUAAAAUCUCUUUUAAAACAAAUUCAAAUCAGGUUUUAAAUUUUAGGAGUACUUAAUUCAAUAAAAUAUAGAAUAAAUAAAGCUUUCAAUGAAACAAAACUAAGUAAAUUCAUUUAAAGCAAAACAGGAUGCGAGCAUUACCUAAGGGUUCUUGACCAUACUAUGUUUACCCGCAGUCAGAUAUCUGGGACCUUGUUAUUUGGAGACAAGACUUGAUUGUGCCAUGUUUUCCACAGCCAGAUAUCUUUUACUUCAUUAUUUCCUAGACAUCUGUGGAUAACAGAACCCUAAGCCUAUUGAGAAUAAAUUCCGUAAUCCAAGACUCUUCAGUCCUUUCAUUUGUGGCUAAUUAGUUAUAAAAUUUGUGAAUUUCAUGCCCCACGCCCCUUGCAAAAUGUAUUUUAUAUCCUUAAGAUGCCGGUGGAUGAACUGAAAUAAUAAAAAAUGGAAAACAGACUUAAUGUUGAUAGCAUUUCUUAAGAAAAACUUGGGAUGUUUAUAAUUUUCUUAGAGCAUUUGCUGAACUUUCUGUGAUCGCAGUCGAGACGGGUCAACGCUACUUCCCUAAUUGCUCAGAAGUGGUUGAGAAGUUUAUGUUUUUCAACCCCGCUAAUUGCUCAGAAUUGGUUGAUGAGUUUUUGGAUUGUGAUUCGGCCGAUGCUUCCCUCCUAGAAAAGGGUACUCCGGAAGUGCAGAAACUCCAAAGGGCAUGCUUCAUGAAACUUAAAGUAGAGAUGCCGGAGGCAGUCUGCAAGGACAUGGCUUAUCACCAUCGCUGAGGGCUGCCAUCAUCCUGGUCGGCAUUUUACAAGUACAUGGCUGAGAGCAAUCGUUCAGGUAUGCCGGCAUCCUCGGCAUUGAGCAAUUAAGCAUCACCUUUCCCUAAAAGAUGUGUUUGACACCUGGGACACUAAAAGAGUUUAGUGAGCUCGAUUGGUACUUGUGGAGAUACCCAGAGCCUAUGUUACGGCUAUGUAUUGUCAAGUAGCAGAGAAAUUUUAAUGAAUGAUGGAUGAUUUUCUUGUGACUCUUUUGGUAACAAUCAUGUAACGAUUUCAGUAAUGUUAACAUUAUGGCAAUUUUCUUUUUCUUCAAGUAAUCUGGCAUUUAUCAAUUAGGUUGUAGAAUUUAUUAUAUUGUCUGGAGUCACACGAGGGAAAACCUUAGGUGUAACUGUGGUACCGUGUCAUAGUUGCAUUCAGUCGUUCGAUGUCAGUGGACUCUAUCAAUCCAAAUGCAUUCAAUGGCUGGAUGCAAUUGUGGCCGGUGCCACAGUUGCACCGUAGCCUGAUUCGUCACACGAACGCAUAACAUUGAUGGAAUGGAUCACGUUAUCAUGAAUGUAUAAUUAACAUCAGUUGCUGAACAAACUUUGCCUUUCAAUUUUGUAGACAUUACAAUCUCAAAUUUUCUAUUAUCAUUAAUGAGAUUUUAGGUAAUCUUUUUUUAAAAAAAAAACUAGAGAUUUCUUUUAUUUUUCCUUAAAAAAAUAAAGAAAAUUUUAGAAAGUAGUGAGAGAUGGAGAAUUAAAGCAAUUUUAUUCACAAAUGUAAUGUGCUUGGAGUAGCAAUACAAACUAACAAAUUAUAAUUUAUGAGAUUAGUUUACAAAAUCUUAUAUAUAAAAUUAUAUCCUCUAAAUAAAAAUAUUCUCACCUCUUUUGACUUAUCAUUUAUGAUGCGUUUGAGAUUGAGGUGCUGUAAUUUUUAAACUACAGUUGCUGUGAAAAAAAUGUUAUAAUUAUGAAACAAAAGUUAGUAAUAUUUAAUAAAUAUAAAUUUAAAUAGUAAUUUUGACAAAAUUAUUAAAGAUAAAAUAAAUUUUCUAUGAAAAAUCAUAUCAGCAUAGUUUUUAAGUUACAACAGUUAGUGUUUACCAAACACUUUAGUACUGUAAUUUAAAGUUGCCCAACCUCAAUUCCAAACACACCCUUAGAUGCCCUUUCUAGAAUCUCUCCAGCAAUAAACACAUUUUUAUAAAAUAAAACAAAUAUAUAUAUAUAUAUAUAUAUAAUUGUCAAGAGGAAUCUUACUAAAAUGGUCUCUCAUAAAUUUUUCUCUAAUUUGAGAGAUAGUGGGGAGUGGGGUUAAAGUGCAUCAACAUAGAAUUAAAUAAAAAUAAAUUUUAUUUUUUUAACUAUUUUAAUUAAAAGUAGCAGUUAUUCUUUUUAUUAUUGUUAUUCCAAUUAUCUCAAAAUCAAGUAACUGGGGAUCAAAUUAAGUAGUUCAUUAAAUUUUUUAAAUGACGUAUGGGAUGGUGUAUGGAGUUUUUAUACAUCUAUUUAAAUAGUAAAAUAUUUAAUUUUGCUUGUCGUAAAAUUUUAAUUUACGUGAGUUAAAAAAGAAAAAAAGAAAAAAGAAAUUGACUUAACAAUUAUAGAAAGACUAAAUAGAAAAUUGUAGUUGCGUGGGAAAACUCUGGGCAAAAGGGCUCCUGAUUUCCUUUCCCUGGCUUCGUGCGUUUCCUUUUGCCCUUUCGAGCACGAUUGCACGAAUUCGAAUCCAAUUCUUGAUAAUAAAGAUAUAAUAAGGCAAUCCCUAAGUUACGUUUAACGUAACUUACAGUCUGGCUAACCUGAACCGUUAGAUAUCUUUCAUUUCAAUCCAACGGAUGUUGUUAAAUUUAUCAAAAAUAGUAACAAAUGGCAAACCGGCUAAAUUGGUUAAUUCUAAACAAAAAAAUGUUCAAAAUGAAGGAGAAUGAUCGAGAUAAAUAAAAUCGAACUUUGACUGAAAACGAAGCAAUAUCAGUGUAAAGCUUUUGUUCCGAUUUUGAAUCGAGAUUGACAUAUAUCCAUUGAUGAUUGAUUGCUUUGUUGCCGUUGAAUUACAGAACGGCCACGAAAGCCAAAGAAGACGAGAAGAGUGGGAGGGGGAUGCAAUUGCAGGGGUACAAAGUAGAAGGAUUGUCGAUAGCAAUUUGGGGAAACGUCUCAAAUUUCUUCAACCAUUUCCCCAGGUACCGAAUCAAGCUCAUACCAUUCAAGUUACUUAUUGCGGAGGAAAGCAUCACCUCAUCAAUGUUUGAAGAUGCUCACAAAUAACGCAGACAAAGUUCAGAAACUGAAAAUCCAUCAUGUGCAACCAUCAACAGUAUUGAAGCCUCCGUCGCCAAACACAAUUUCUUCCUAGACGGAUUUUCAUCGCUUGCCUUCUCAAUAGCUAACAAGGCUUGGCUCUCCCAUUCCAUCCUCACACUACCCACGCUACCAUAAAGCAUCUUUAAGUGGACAAAGAAAGUACUUCAAAAUGCAAAGUAACUUAGACGAUCCAAGAUCUGGAGAAUAUUUAAACACAAAGACAAAGCCAAUCUGACCUCUUUUUCUGUUGCAAGUCUCAUAACCAAAUUCGAUUAGGAAGGAUGAUCAACUAGCCCAUGAACUAUCAAAGUCUCCACCAAUUCCCAAAUCCUCAAACUGAUGCAUGCUUCCAAUGCCAAAGAUGCCACAUCUCGACCCAUUAAAAAGCCAACCUUUUCAAUCAAACCCCGAGUAUAUCCACUAUCAAAUCUAUUAAUCCUAGUAGAAAUUCCAACUUUCACACUAAUUUUCUCGAGAUAUGAGUUCAAAAUCCCAAUAAAUGGAGGAUUGUGUUGGACGAGAAGAAACUCCUGUUGCUUAAAGUUCAUGGUGUGUUUCUAAUGGUUAAAACGGCGUCGUUACCUUUGUCACAACUGGUUAUAGAAGCUUUUAGUAACCGGCUGGUAACCGCUUAAAACGAUUUUAUUUUAUUGUUGUCAUGUACACCUGGCAUUUGCUUAUUGGUUAAGUAAUCAUAUCACAGGCUGUAACUUACGAUAAAUGUAACUUAGAGAGGUCCAAUAAUACUAAUAAUUAACAUUAAAAUAUUAAAAAAUAAGGAAAAAAAAUCCAAAUUUUUACUGGUAUAUAACGCAGAGCCAAAGCGAUGGCGAAACAUCAAAUUGUUUUUGUUUCAACCUACGCGCAACUUCCGGUGACAUAAUUUCUGUCUGUUUCAGGUACAUACCCAAAACUAAACUUUGCAUGUAUUAUUAUUGUAUUUUUGUUAUUCAUUCACAUAUCCUUCUUUUCUUUUCUUUUUUUCUUUUGCUGUAAGUUUUUAUGAGACACUCUCUUUCAGUUCUGUUUCUGGUUUUGUUUCAGUUUAACAUUAUUGGUUCCGUUCGGUUCUGUUCUGCUCUGCUCUCUGUUGUAUGUAUAUAUGUAUAUAUUUUUGGCCUCGAAUUGCUUUGAUCACCGGUUUUGUUAUUCAUUUAUCCUGAAUUUUAGAUACCCGUAAAGCUUGUUUGGCCAUGUGUUCACUUGAUUGUUACAUUCAGCUGUCAUUUUCAUGGUGGGUUUGUAAGAUAGUCUCUGACUAACAUAUGGCAUUGAUUAUGAAUGACGGUUUUGUGAGAUACAUCACACCGCCGUUAACUCUUUUUAAUGUGUACUUAUGUACUUACUUCAUUCAAAAGAUUAGUGUUUUUCUCUUUUUUUAAAAAAAAUGAAAUGCCCCUUUUCGCAUUUUAUAGGUGAAAGGAAGAAACAUAAUAUCGCAGAACUAGAAUAAAGGAGCCUAUUCCGGUACCUAUUGUCCAAGGAAGCUUCUGUAUAUUCUGUAGGAACUACCGAACUACCAUGGAAGUCAAAUCUUACCAGAGCCAGGCGGAGUCGUUGCUGAAGGAAUAUAUAUUAGCAGAUCCAUUUGUCCCGUACACUUCAAUUGCUGGUAGCAUUUUUGCAUGCAAGACGGUAUGUUUUUCAUCGUUACUGCAUGGUGUUAUUUACUAGAAAAUAUUUUGAAUGCGUAGUUUUUAUGUAAUUAGUUAUAAAUUUUUAUAUACCUUUUUUUUUUCAUAAGAAUGUGCUCCUUUUCAGGUCUAUGAUCUUGCCCAAUUGAUUAGUGUGCUGUUCACUUUAAAUCUGAUUCCAGUUUCUCCAGCAUACAGCGGGUUGAGUGGAGUAACAGGUGAUUGAAUAUUUUCAUUUAGUUCAAUUGUCAUUUCUUUUUCAAUCGGUAAAGUUUAAUCAUUUUUCUUAAAUUGACAACUUAUGCAGGGCCAUAUCAACCGUCCAUGCCAUUUUUGUUUCAGCUAUGUCUUUGUACUUUGUGUUUUGGUCGAAUAUAAGAGUUUGUACAUAGCACACUUGUUGUUUGUUUGUCCCUUCAUAGACAUUUCGAUAAACUGUUAUUUUUGUUUGUUGGAAUUGAAUAUUUUCCACAACUAGAACUCCGAAGCAUCUGGAAUGAUCCAUUUUAUCAUUCUCAAUACCUAUAAAAGAAGGACAUAGAAAACAGUUUCCAAAGCAAGUUGCCUGUGUUUUGAAUUUGUCUUUGGAAGCCACUAAUUGCUUGGAGCACACUGUUAGCUAGUCGUGGUUCCAUCCACUUUUUUGGAUAGACAAUUGUGCAUCCAUAUGAUCUGGACUAAACUAGUUUUUAAUAAAUAAUUGCCCAAGGAUUUAGUCUCAGUGUUACAGCCCAGUCUUUGUUGUCAAUACUCUUUCCCCUGUCGUGGAUGAGCGCCAUAACAGCUUCUUAAUGUGCAGUGGCUUUUGCACGGUUGUUUUUUUUCCUUCUGAAGCUGGAGUAGCUAUGGAUAUAGCAGAUGCAGAUGCCAUCAAUUUUUAUACUGGCCUUUCAGCAUCAAAAUCAAAAGGAUCAAGUGGGAACUUAAAGGAGGUUGAUUUCAAUGAAACACCCUCUAAGCAAGCCAAGAGACUCCAAUUAAGCCUGCAAGCUCUGCUUAAAACAGGUAUUUAUAUACCUUAUUAGUUUUUGUACCUUUACAAUUAGCGAUUUUUAUAUCAAACGAGAGAGGUUAAUCUUAGUACAUUGAUAUCUCAACAAAAUUUUAGAACCUUUGGAGCACUAGAGACAUUUUCUUAGAGCAUUUACUGAAGUUUCUAUGAUUGCAGUGGAGACAGGUCGACGCUACUUCCCUCAUUGCUCAGAAGUGGUUGAUAAGUUUUAGGAUUGUGAUUGGUCCGACGCUUCCCUCCUAGAAAAUGGUACUCCUGAAGAGCAGAAAUUCAAAAGGGCACGCUACAUGGUUGAGAAAAAUCGCUCAGAUUUGUCGUCAUCCUCGUCGUCGUCAUCUUCUCCAAAGGAAGGAGUAAAGUGUAAGGGUAGGAAAAUGUGUUGCUUAGCUGCCUGUCUUUUGUUAUUCAUAUCUAGGAAACUAAAAGAGUUUUAGUGAGUUUGAUUGUUACUUGUAGAGAGAUACUCUUCGAGCCUAUGUUAUGGCUAUGUUGUAUAAUAGCAGAGGAACUCCAAGCUUGCGUUGUUGUAUUUUCCCAGAUAUUUGGCAUGUAAUACACUAAAUGACAAAUAAUUUUCUAAUUUUAGAGGGGAAAGUUAUGUCAGUUAAUUAUUUAUUUAUUUUUUCUGUUUACAUAGCUUUUUUUUUCUCCAAAAAAAUCUUCAUAUCUCCAUCUGCAAUUUAAGUCAUUUGUAACUUCUUUCAGGGAGGAAGGAAAAGGGGAAAAAAAAAAAAAAAAAAACAUUUUACAGUACUGAUUUUCCUACAGAAAUUGGUUAAGUUGACAUUAAUGUUCUUAGUAACAGACGGAUAUGCAGAAUUUUCGUCGAAAUUGAAAUUAGAAAUGGAUGGAUAUGAAUGACAUAUAUUCAGAAUUUUUUAGUAGAAUGUUUAAAUAAAAAUUUUUAGCUCAUUACUCUCUAGAAGGAAAAUAAUUUUUUUAUUGUAAAUAUUAAAUAUUAAAUUUAUAAUAUAAUAAAUGUGUGACUUAAGGUGCACAAUACCUAUAUAGUAAUAAUAAUUGAGACAAGAAAAAUCAAAUUUUGUAAAUUACCAAAUUUCCCUUGGAAUUUGAUAUUCUAUAUCAACGUAGGUGUUGCAUCCACUGGGUUAGUACAACUGAAAGAAACUAACUAACGUAAAACAAAAUAUCAGAAAAAUAUGGCGAGCUUCUCAUUUUUUUUAAGUGAAAAAAAAAAAGAAAACUGAAAUUAAUUAUUUUUAUACUCAAAUUCUCAUGCUCGAAGGCCGCUGGAAUUGGCCAUUGUAAUUUUGUCAUCCUCGUUAUUCACUGGCCAUCGCAGCUUGCCUCCCUUAAAAUGAGAGUCGUUUUUUGGACGACGACAUAAUAAAAAUAGUAUUGAUUAAUACUAAUAAAUUUCUUUUUGAUUAUUUUGCAGUGUGAUAGUCUAGUGCGUGCCAGUGCCCAUCAUAUCACUUGAACAUGUGGUAAAAUUCGGCGAGUCUUUGUAAAAUAAUUUUUAAAUUGUGUAUUAACCAAAUAGCUCAACGAAGACUAUCGCUCAUUAUUUUAUUUUGUAUAUAUUUAUGAUAAUUGUUGAAAAGAAAAUUGUAAAGUGAGAUUAAUGAACAUUUAUGAAUGUGGAAAUUAACACAACCAGAAUUUAUGAUGAAAUAAUUUUAAGUCAAACAAGUGUAAGUUUGUAUAUAUAUUUUUUGAAUUGUCAUAUAUAUACAAGUUUGUCGCUAACAGUAAAUUAAAUUAUGAAUAUUUUAAUAAUUCAAAAUCUCAUUUAACCAUCAGUGUUUAUAAGGUGCGUUUGGCACAUUGUAUUGUAUUAUAUUGUAUUAUAUUAUUUUAAUGCAUGUGUAUUAUAUUAUAUUGUAUUACAUUAACAUUGUAUUAAUUUUUAAUAAAUAUAUAAUAUUACACUGUAUUAUAUUAAUUUUUUAAUAAAUACUUUAAAUUAUAUAUUUAGAAAAUAACAUUUAUUAGUUGUUAAAAAAUACUAAAUAUAAAAUUCUUAAAUUUUAGAAAUUUAAUAUUAUCUUUCUGGUAUAAACGUUGAAAAAAAAUCAUAAUUUUUCGUAAAGAUCGAAAUAAAUAAUUCAAUCAAAUAACCUUCAAAUAAUAUUAUAACAUAAAUAAAUAAUUAAAAUGUACAAGAUCAAGUUAAAAAUCAUUUUAAGAUAAUAAAAUAAAAAUUUAUACAUAGUAUAAAAUAAUAUAGUAGCGGUAGUAUAAUAACUAACAAAAUAGACUGUACUAAAUAAUUCAAGUAAUACAACAAUAUUUACAAGUACCGUUUUUGCUAUCUUUCUCUUUUAAAGGCCCCUUUUUUUUGUUUUAUUCUUAGAACUUCAUAGUUCUUUUGUUUUUUCUAUUUUCUUUUUCUUUGCCCCUUUUUUGUUUUCUUCAUAGUUCUUUUGGCUUCAUAAGUUUCUUUUAACUGAGUUAAUAGCGUUGUUAGGUUAAACUAAGUUUGGCUUCAUAAGAUUCAUAGUAGAGUGUAGAACUGGGUACAAUGUUGGGUUAGACAAGGUCAAAAGUCUUAUCAAGUAAUUGUUCUGCUUACUGAUCCAGCCAUUCGGGUGCUCGCCAGUCCUAGAUGAGAAAACUUUCAACGCGGCGAAUAAAUUGUUGUUGAUCUGCUUUAUAUAUUUUGACCUUUGUGAUUUGCGAAUACCCGGUUUGAUUCCAGUGUUUCCAACUUUGAAAUUCAAUUAAAAGUUGAGCUGUCAUUGAUUGAUGACAAGAUUGUGUUGUAUAUAUUUAUUUUUUUAAUUUAUCUAUCUAUCUAUUUAUUUUUUGUUUGGAAAUGUAACAAUUUAUAGCUGGCAAAGUAAUAGAGUUGUAUACUUACUUGUAUUUAAUUUAUUAUUAUUAAUUUUUUUUUUUAAUGACUCGGUAAUGUCAUUAUCCAUGGUGUUUUGUCAUUUCGAAAGUACUUGACCCUUUCACGCUAAGACACACUCCAGCGGCCGAAACUUUGAGCUUUCAGUUCUUGAUUUUAGCGUGAGGGGUAUCUUUGUCUUUUCAGUAGUCAACACACGGUCAACACACGGUCAACAAAACAGUCUACAAACAAUCGACCUGUGAACUUGGGUCAAAGCUUUCAUCUUUAAAUCACAUAGGUAGAUCAUGAUUCAAGCUUCAGUUAUAAGCCUUUCAUUGUGAUUGAUAGUAUUCUUUCUUUGAUAUAUAUAUAUAUAUAUAGAUUCAGUUUGAAUAUGGUUCUUGAUGGUAUCAUGGAAAAUGCGAACGAAAAGUCAGCAUCUUUGAGUUUUGUCUCAUCAUAUCCGACUUGUUGGUCCACUAAUCAAUCAACAGACACUUGUGAUCUUGAUGAUUUGAAUAUGGUUCUUGAUGGUAUCAUGGAAAAUGCGAACGAAAAGUCAGCAUCUUUGAGUUUUGUCUCAUCAAAUCCGACUUGUUGGUCCACUAAUCAAUCAACAGACACUUGUGAUCUUGAUGAUUUGAACUUAAGGAUGCAAAGCAGCAAUCCCAAAGAGACAUGGCAUGACGCUGAGAUUGUUGUUGAGGGCAAAUCAGUGGCGGUUAAUCGCAGCAUAUUGUCUGAGCGCAGUCAAUUUUUUCGUCGGCUUUUUAAUUUGAGAAAUGAUGGUUCUGUCAGUGAGGGGAAACCCAAGUAUCUUUUGACUGAUUUGGUGCCUCAUGGGAAGGUUGGAUAUGAAGCUUUCAAUGAUACCUUGCAUUAUAUUUACACUGGGAAGACAAAGGCACCUCCUCCAGAAGUGUCCACGUGUGUUGAUGAUGCUUGUGUUCAUGUUUCUUGCCCUCCUACUAUUAAUUAUGUUAUUGAGUUGAUGUAUGCUUCUGCUGCUCUUCAGAUGAAAAAACUCGUUAUUCGUUUAGAGGUAAUUGUGUUUCACUGCUAUUUGUAUUGCUUAAAUUUAUGCUUCUUGGUAUAGUUUUAACAUAUAUGGGAUUGAAAUCAAUUUCAGUUGUGAAGCAACUCCGGUGGUUCCCAAUAUUAGGCAUUGUAGUAGAUCCAAAAUUAGCUUGUUAAGAAGUGUAGAUACCGUAGAGCCCAAAACUUCAUCUUAUCUUGCAAGAGUCUGUUGUUUUAUUUUGAAAGAGACAAAAGUGAUGAUGAUGGGCAGCAAACUCUAGGAAUCAAUGCUUGCUGACACUGACCCCCAAGAAUCAAUGAGUCUGAAUUUGAUAAGUGCACCUAUCCUAUCACAAAAGCUUUUGCGUUGAGUUUCUAACCAAUUUUCAUUUGGGUAGGUGUCAGUUCAUGCUCUGGCUUGACUGUUCUGUUAUUUAGGUUGUUUUAUCCGUAUUUUCUUCACUCACUUGAUGGUUAGUUCUCUCAUGCUUUCAAGCUCUCAACAGUGAAUGCGAGAGAUUCUAUUUUUCCCGUCCAGUCUAUAACCUAGCAAAUCAUUAAUGCUGUAGAAUAACAUCUUGUGUAGCCGAGUUUAUGUCUCUGAACAUUGGUCCAUCGGCAUUUAGGUUCAAUAAGCAUGGCACUGAUUUUCCCCCUUAUUAUUAUUUUCCUCCACAGAUUAUCCCCUUUGAGUAUUUGAAUUUUGAAUAUAUUAUUCUGAAUCAAAACUCUAUCUGUCCGUGUAGCAUUUUUUAUAUGCUUUACGAUGUUUACCAAUAAUUACCCACUAUGGGGUAUUUGAAUUUUGAAUAUAUUAUUCUGAAUCAAAACUCUAUCUGUCCGUGUAGCUUUGGCUUCUGAACUUGGUUGAGAAGGCUCUUGUGGAAGAUGUAAUCCCAAUUCUCGUGGCUGCCUUGCAUUGCCAACUGAACCACCUCCGUUCUUUCUGCAUCCAGAGAAUUGCAAAGUCAAAUCUUGACAAUGUUUGUCUCGAGAAAGAGCUUCCUGAUGAAGUUUCAAGUGAAAUCAAAUCACUCCGUGUCAAAUCUAACCAGGAGUCUGAAGCUAAUAUAGCAGAAGUGGACCCUAUGCAUGCAAAAAUAGUCAGAAGAAUCCACAAGGCGCUGGACUCUGAUGACGUUGAACUGUUGAAGCUUCUUCUGGAUGUAUCUAAUGUCACUCUGGAUGAUGCUUACGCCCUGCACUAUGCUGCUGCCUACUGCAGCCCUAAGGUUUUCAAGGAAGUGCUCAAUAUGGACUUGGCUUGUCUCAAUCUUAAGGAUGCAAGAGGACGUACGGUGCUUCAUGUGGCUGCAAGGCGUAAUGAGCCAGAAGUGAUGGUGACUCUGCUGAGCAAGGGAGCAUGCGCAUCAGAAACUACAUCAGAUGGGCAAACAGCUGUAGCAAUCUGUCGGAGAAUGACAAGGCUAAAGGAUUAUCUUGAAGCUACAAAGCAGGGGCAGGGAACUAACAAAGACCGGUUAUGCAUUGAUGUCCUUGAGAGAGAGAUGAGAAGGAACUCCAUGUCUGAGAACUUGGCAAUGCCAUCAGAGGUGAUGGAUGAUGAUUUCCAAGCAAAGCUGGACUAUCUAGAAAAUACAGGUGAUAUUUCUUUACUGGUAUUAGUUCAUCACCUUCUCAGAGUUUGUGCAUAGCACACUUCUUUCUACUGUUUGUUUGUCCCUUCAUAUGGAAAAUAGAGGUGAUAUUCCUUUACUGGUAUUAGUAAAUCAUCUUCUCAAGAGUUUGUGAGUCCCUUCAUUUUAGCAUCUCAAACACACAUGGGCUCAUUGCUUGGGGCACACUGUUGGCCAGUCAUGUGAUUUGAUCCCCUUUUUUGGAAUGGAGAAUUCUGAAUCCAUCUGAUCUAGGCUUUGUGGUUUGCACUGAACUGGUUUUUGAUGAAUAAUUGUACAAGACUUUGUAAUAAAAAACUUUUUUUUUUUUCCCAAAAAGUAAUGAGGUACCAAAAAAUUUAUGCCUAUCCUGGAUGACUGCCAUAACAGCUUCUUAAUAUUUUGCAGUGGCUUUUGUACGGUUGUUUCCUUCUGAAGCGAGAGUAGCUAUGGAAAUAGCAGGUGCAGAUACCGCCACUGGCCUUUCAGCAUUAGGUCAGAAAGGACUAAGUGGGAACUUAAAGGAGAUUGAUUUGAAUGAAACGCCCUCUAUGCAAGCCAAGAGCCGCCAAUUGAGACUGCUAACUCUGCUUAAAACAGGUAUUUAUAUACUUUAUUAACUUUUGCACCUUUCUAUUUACUGAUUAUCUUUAUAAUUAACUAAUACAUGUAUCCAGGUUUCUCCUUCCAAUUGGAAUUUCUUUAUAAUGCUAUGUUAGGUGUAAUCAGAUGUAUCAAAAGAGAAAGGGUAAUUGUUAGUACAUUGAUAUCUCAACAAAAUGGUAGAACCUUUCUUUAUACCAGUUAAGACAUUUGUUGCAGGUAUGCCUACAUAAUCAGUGUCCUUCAAAACUUUCAAAGAGUUAGCAAUGCCUAACCCCUGAAACACUAAAUCUCACGGGAUCAACUCUUUACCUCUAGACCGAAGGUGUGACACCCAGACCCAAUUAGGGCUUAGAACACAUAUCGAAUCUGAGUGAAACUAAAUGCCUGUAAAUCCAAAUCUCCAAAAUAUCAAAAAGUCAUCUACUUUCUCUUUUCAUGUAUUUCACAAAAUUUUGAAAAAUUCAUUCUCAAUCAUAAACUAUGCACAGCUAAUUAUUCAGCAUAUCAGUAUAGAGCAAUACUUCCUCAUAAGCAAAUAAAUCUUACAAUCCUUCUUACAUGAUUUGAAACAAAUACUAAUAGAAGUCUUCUAGAUACAAACAUAAACAGAAUUCAACUGUUUAAAACUAUGCCAAAACACAAGCUUCAAUCAGUAAUACAUACGACUAAUUAUUAAAAACAUCUAGCCAGAAACCUUACGAAAGCUCAAUCCUUCCGAAGCAUUCUUCAAAUUAAUAAUUGCUACCAUCUGUGAAAAAUAAUUGAUAAGGAGUCAACUGUGAACUCAAUCAGUAGAAACAUUCGUAACGAACAAAAAGAAUUCUUUGUGCAAUAUUUUCAGAAAAUUCAUUUAACCUUUCAAAUGAAACAAAGUAAUUUUUCUAACGCAGUCAGGAUUUAUAUAAAACACAAACGUUUCAGACAGAAGCUGUGUGGAACGUAAAUUUUGCUUCUUUAAACAGAAAGUUAUAUAUUAGUUUGAUUCUAAAGGGAGGUUAUUGGGAAGUUAAAAUUGGCAGUUGUGGGAAAAGGGUAAUAGCAGUUAUAAAAUCUCUUUUAAAGCAAAUUCAAAUCAAGUUUCAAAUUUUAGGAGUACUUAAUUCAAUAAAAUAAGGAAUAAAUAAAGCUUUCAUUGAAACAAAACUAAGUAUAUUCAUUAAAGCAAAAAAGGAUGGGAGCAUUACAUAAGGGUUCUUAUGUUUACCCGCAGUCAGACAUCUGGGACCUUGUUAUUUGGAGACAGGACUUGAUUGUGCCAUGUUUUCCGCAGCUAGACAUCUGUGGAUAAGAGAACCCUAAGCCUAUUGAGAAUAAAUUCCGUAAUCCAAGACUCUUCAGUUCUUUCAUUUUUGGCUAAUUAGUUAUAAAAUUUGUGAAUUUCAUGCUCCAUGCCCGUUGCAAAAUGUAUUUUAUAUCCUUAAGUUGCCAGUUGUUGAACUGAAAUAACAAAAAAUGGAAAACUGACUUAAUGCCGAUAGCAUUUCUUAAGAAAAACUUGGGAUGUUUAUAAUUUUCUUAGAGCAUUUGCUGAACUUUCUGUGAUCGCAGUCGAGACAGGUCACCUCUACUUCCCUCAUUGCUCAGAAGUGGUUGUUAAGUUUAUUGAUUGCUACUCCCCUCAUUGCUCAGAAGUGGUUGAUGAGUUUUUGGAUUGUGAUUGGUCCGAUGCUUCCCUCCUAGAAAAGGGUACUCCUGAAGAGCAGAUACUCAGAAGGGCAUACUUCAUGAAACUUAAAGAAGACAUGCAGGAGGCACUCUGCAAGGACGUGGCUUAUCACCGUCAUUCAGGGCUGCCAUCAUCCUGGUCGGCAUUUUACAAGUACUUGGCGGCUGAGAGCAAUCGUUCAGGUAUGUCGAUUGGUAUAUUUGGCACCUGGGAAACUAAAAGAAUUUAGUGAGCUCGAUUGGUAUUUGUAGUUCUUUUUCCUCUAGUGAUUGGCAUGUAUCAAUUAGUUAAAUUAUUGUAUUGUCUCAUGUCCAGUGGGACACGCAAACGUUAGUAUGGAUCAAAAACUCAUUUCAUAUAAUAUUAGAGAAAAAGAAUUGUAUUACAAUUGGUAUGAGGCAUGCAUGUGUAUGUCAAUAUCAGCUGCUGAACAAACUUUGCCUUUUAAUUUUGUAGGCAUUACUAUCUCAAAUUUUCUAUUAUCAUAAAUGAGUUUUUUUUUCUUUUUUUUAAGAAAAUCAUAAAUGAGAUUAAGAUAAUCUUUUUAAAAAAAAAAAAAAAAAAGAAAACUGGAGAUUUUUUUUUCCUUAAAAAAAUGAAGAAAAGUUUAGAAAGUAUUGAGAGAUGGAGAAAUAAAGCAAUUAUAUUCAUAAAUAUAAUGUGUUUGGUGCAGUAACAGAAACUAAUAAAUUAUAAUUUAUGAGAUUAGUUUACAGACUCUUACAUAUGAAAUUAUAUCCCUUAAUUAAAAAUCUUCACACCUCUUUUUGCUUCUCAUUUAGAUGCCCUUUCUAGAACUUCUCCAACGGUAAACACAUUUUUAUUAAACAAAACAGAAAAAAUUAUAUAUAAUUGUUCAUAAGGACCAUUUCUUUUGUACAUAAUACAUAAUUGGCCAUUAAAGUUAUUUGAGAAGAAAAUUUACAUGAGAUGGGUACAUCACAUUAUCAGUAUUUUUGUCUAAUUUUGAACAUACGUUCCUUGUACGAGUUUUCCUAGAAUGGUCUCUCAUAAAUUUUUCUCCAAUUUGAGAGAUAGUGGGAAUUGGGUUAAAGUGCAUUUACAUAGAAUUAAUUUAAAAUAAAAUUUAUUUUUUAACUAUUUUAACUAAAAGUAGCUGUUAUUCUUUUUAUUAGUGUUAUUCCAAUUAUAUCAAAAUCAAGUGACUGGUGAUCAAAUUAAGUAGUUCAUUAAUUUUUUUAAGCGACGUAUGGUAUGGAGUUUUUAUAAAUCUAUUUAAAUAGUAUAAUAUUUAAUUUUGCUUGUCCUAAAAUUUUAGUUUACGUGGGUUAAAAAAGAAAAAAAGAAAAAAGAAAUUGACUUAUUAAUUAAUUAACAAUUAUACAAAGAAUAAAUAGAAAGUUAUAGUUGGCAAUGGCAUUAUUUUUCUCCUUGUUAAGUUUUUCUUUCCCACAUUAUCCCCCUUGAAGCAGCAUAUUGAAGGAAAGGAGCAUUCUUAUAUAUGCUUUAUGAUGUUCUUAAUGUAUUCUAACUCAAAACUCUUAUCUAUCCGUGCAGCGUCGCCUUCUGAACUUUGUUGAGAAGGCCCUUGUGGAAGAUGAAAUUCCAAUUCUUGUGGCUGCCUUCCAUUGCCAACUCAACCCGCUCCGCUCUCACCGUGUCCAGAGAGUAGUAAGGUCAAAUCUUGAUGAUGUCUGUCUCCUGAAAGAGCUUCCUGAUGAAGUUUCAUGUGAAAUCAAGUCACUCAGUGUCAAAUCUAGCCAGGAGUGUGAAGCUAAUAUAGCAGAAGUGGAUCCUAUGCAUGCAAAAAAGAGUCAGAAGAAUCCACAAGGCACUGGACUCUGAUGACGUUGAACUGUUGAAGCUUCUUCUGGAUGAAUCUAAUGUCACUUUAGAUGAUGCCUACGCUCUGCACUAUGCUGCUGCCUACUGAAACCCUAAGGUUUUUAAGGAAGUGCUCAAUAUGGGCUUGGCUGAUCUCAAUCUUAAGGAUGCAAGAGGUCAUACGGUGCUUCAUGUGGCUGCAAGGCGUAAGGAGCCAGGAGUGCUGGUGACUCUGCUAAGCAAGGGAGCAUGCGCCUCAGAAACUACAUCAGAUGGGCAAACAGCUGUAGCAAUCUGUCGGAGAAUGACAAGGCGAAAGGAUUAUAUUGAAGCUACAAAGCAGAGGCAGGAAACUAACAAAGACCGGUUAUGCAUUGAUGUCCUUGAGAGAGAGAUGAGAAGGAACCCCAUGUCUUGGAACGUGGCACUGUCACCAGAGGUGAUGGCUGAUGAUUUCCAAAUGAAGCUGAACUAUCUAGAAAAUAGAGGUGAUAUUUCUUUACUGGUAUUAGUUCAUCACCUUCUCAGAGUUCCUGCAUAGCACACUUCUUUCUACCGUUUGUUUGUCCCUUCAUCUUAGCAUCUCAGACAUUGCUGUAAACGGGAUAACCACACAGUCUACACUUGUGCUAUCAUCAAAGAAUUUUUCAUGAACUGUUAUUUUUGUUAUUUGGAAGUGAAUAUUUUCAGCAACUAGAACUCGGAAGCAUCCGGAAUGAUCCAUUUUUUUUUUUUUUUUAUGUCAAAACAUGAAGUAAUUAAAGGAGGUCAAACAACAAUAAACUCAUUCAUCUUGUCCAAAAUUGAAAAAGACUACAUAGUAAUCAUAAUUGAAAACAACUAAGCACAAAAACAAAUAACAUCCUUUUUCAAAAUUAUGUUCCCAUGAAUCUUGUCUCCACACAUUAAAGAAGACUAAAUCUAUAAUGAGGUGCUGAUUCACGCCCAAAAUUACCCUUCAACUCCUUAAGCAGAGGCAGCUGCUCCCUUCUUCCUUGGUGCUGCCUGAGUACCUUCUCUGAAGCCGCUCUUGAACCUGCGAGGGACAUGGCGCAGAUACCUCAUCCUGCCGGUUCCAGUGGUCUUUCUUCGGAUUGCCUUCACACUCCAGUUAUACGACUCUUCUGAAGAUGGAAGCUGCGACGGCCACAUCGCACACACAAAGUGUGCGUCUUGUUUCUCCUCUUACCAAAACUCCCUGUGCCCUUACCCAUUGAAGCGUAUGCGAAGUAGAGGAAAGCCUUCUGAUGAGUUCCGGAAUGAUCCAUUUUAUCAUUCUCAAUUCCUAUAAAAGAAUGUCAUAGAAAACAGUUUCCAAAGCAAGUUGCAUGUGUUUUGAAUUUGUCUUUGGAAGCCACUAAUUGCUUGGAGCACACUGUUAGCCAAUCGUGAUUCCAUCCACUUUCUUGGAUGGACAAUUGUGCAUCCAUAUGAUCUAGGCAUGUUGGUUUGGACUGAACUAGUUUUAAUAAAUAAUUGCCUUCAGGAUUUAGUCUGUGUGUUACAGUCCAGUCUUUGUUGUGAGUAGUUCUUUUUUCCCCCUCCCGAGGAAAGAAUUGAGAUAAAAAAUAAUUUAUUCCUGCCACGGAUGAGUGCCAUAACAGCUUCUUAAUGCUUUGCGGUGGCUUUUGCGCGGUUGUUGUUGCCUUCUGAAGCUAGAGUAGCUAUGGCUAUAGCAGAUGCAGAUGCCACCAAUUUUUAUGAUGGCCUUUCAGCAUCAAAAUCAAAAGGAUCAAUUGGGAACUUAAAGGAGGUUGAUUUGAAUGAAACACCCUCUAUGCAAGCCAAGAGACUCCAAUUAAGACUGCAAGCUUUGCUUAAAACAGGUAUUUAUAUACCUUAUUAGUUUUUGUAUGUUUAUAAUUACUGAUUUUUAUAUCAAAAGAGAGAGGUUAAUUUUUAGUACAUUGAUAUCUCAACAAAAUGGUAGAUCCUUUAUACCACUAAAGACAUUUUCUUAGUGCACUUACUGAGCUUUCUAUGAUUGCAGUUGAGACGGGCCGACGCUACUUCCCUCAUUGCUCAGAAGUGGUUGAUAAGUUUUUGGACUGUGAUUGGUCUGAUGCUUCCCUCCUAGAAAAUGGUACUCCUGAAGAGCAGAGACUCAAAAGGGCACGCUUCAUGGAACUUAAAGAAGACGUACAGAAGGCAUUUUACAAGGACAUGGCUGAGAAAAAUCGUUUAGGUUUGUCGUCAUCCUCGUCGUCGUCAUCUUCUCCAAAGGAAGGAGUAAAGUGUAAGGGUAGGAAAAGGUGAUGCUUAGCUACUUGUCUUUUAUUAUUCAUUGCUAGGAGACUAAGAGAGUUUUACUGAGUUUGAUUGUUACUUGUAGAGAGAUACUCUUAGAGCCUAUGUUAUGGCUUAUGUUGUAUAAUAGCAGAGGAACUUCAAGCUUGCAUUGUUGUAUUUUCCCAGGUAUUUGGCAUGUAAUAUAUACUAAAUGACAAAGAAUUUUCUAAUUUUAGAGGGAAAAAAUAUGUCAGUUAAUUAUUUUUUUAUUUUAUCUGUUUAAUUCAGUUUAUAAUAUAGCUUUUUUUAUAUAUAAAAAAAAAUCUCCAUAUCUUCAUCUGCAAACUCAGUCAUGUGCAACUUCUUUCGGGGAGAAAAGAAGGGGAAAAAAAAAGGGCAUUUGUACCUGUAUUUUACGGUACUGACCCUCAUACAGAAAUUGGUUAAGAUGACAUUAAUGCUCUUCGAAAUAAAUAGAUAUGCAGAAUUUUCAUCGAAAUUGAAAUUAGAAAUGGAUGGACACGAAUGAUAUAUAUGCAGAACUUUUUAACAGAAUUUUUAUGUAAAAAUUUGUAGCUAAUUACUCCCCCGAAGUAAAAUAAAUUUUCAAUUGUAGAUAAUUAAAUUUUAAAUUUAUAAUAUAAUAAAUGUGACUUAAGUCGCACAGCACCCAUAUAAUAAUAAUAAUUAAGAAAAGAAAAUUUAAAUUUUGUAAAUUAUCAAUUUUUUAAAAUUAAUUAUUUUUAUACCCAAAUUCUCAUGCUCGACGGCCGCUGGAAUUGGCUAUUGUAAUUUUGUCAUCCUCAUUAUUCACUAGCCAUUUUUGGACCACGACAUAAUAGAAAUAGCAUAGAUUAUACUAAUAAAUUUCCUUUAAUUAUUUUGUAGUGUGAUGAUCUAGUGAGUACCAGUGGCCAUCAUAGCACCUGAACAUGUAAAUUUCUGAUAUUUUUUGUAAAAUAGUAUUUAAAUUGUGUAUUAACUAGACAGCUCUAUGUAGACCACAACUCAUUAAAUCAUUACUUUACUUUGUAUAUAUUUAUGACAAUUGAUGAAGAAAAAUAUAAAGUGAGAUUAAUGAACAUUCAUGAAUGUGGGAAAUUAACACAACUAGGAUUUAUGAUGAAAUAAUUUUAAGUCAAACGAGUGUAAGUUUGUAUAUAUAUUUUUUGAAUUGUCAUAUAUGUACAAGUUUGUCACUAACAGUAAAUUAAAUUAUGAAUAUUUUAAUAAUUCAAAAUCUCAUUUAACCAUAAGUGUUUAUAUGGUGCGUUUGGCACAUUGUAUUGUAUUAUAUUAUUUUAAUGCAUGUGUAUUAUAUUAUAUUGUAUUAUAUUAAUAUUGUAUUAUAAUAAUACUAUACAAUGUUUGGUACUACAUUGUAUUAAUUUUUAAUAAAGAUAUAAUAUUACACUGUAUUAUAUUAAUUUUUUAAUAAGUACUUUAAAUUAUAAAUUUAGAAAAUAACAUUUAUUAGUCGUUAAAAAAUACUAAAUAUAAAAAACCAAGACACAGUGGCUCAUAAAUUGUUGUUGGUGAUUGAUCCCAGCCAUUCGGGUGCUCGCCAGUCCUAGAUGAGAAAACUUUCAACGCGGCGCAUAAAUUGCUGUUGAUCUGCUUUAUAUAUUUUGACGUUUGUGAUUUGUGAAUACAUGGUCUGAUUCCAGUGUUUACAAUUUUGAAAUUCAAUUAAAAGUUGAGCUGUGAAAUAGUGUGUUGUAUAACUUGAGAAGCAAAUGAAACAAACAGGAAAUGUGUUUUUUUGUUUUUUUAAUCUAUCUAUGUAACAAUUUAUAGCUGGCAAAGUAAUAGAGUUGUAUACUUCUACUAUUUAAUUAUUUAUUAUUAUUAUUAUUAAUUUUUUUGUAUCCAUGGUGUUUUGUCAUUUCGAAAGUACUUGACCCUUUCACGCUAAGGCACACUCCAGCAGCCGAAACUCUGAGCUUUCAGUUCUUGAUUUUAGCGUGAGGGGUAUCUUUGUCUUUUCAGUAGUCAACACACGGUCAACACACGGUCAACAAAACAGUCUACAAACAAUCGACCUGUGAACUUGGGUCAAAGCUUUCAUCUUUAAAUCACAUAGGUAGAUCAUGAUUCAAGCUUCAGUUAUAAGCCUUUCAUUGUGAUUGAUAGUAUUCUUUCUUUGAUAUAUAUAUAUAUAUAGAUUCAGUUUGAAUAUGGUUCUUGAUGGUAUCAUGGAAAAUGCGAACGAAAAGUCAGCAUCUUUGAGUUUUGUCUCAUCAUAUCUGACUUGUUGGUCCACUAAUCAAUCAACAGACACUUGUGAUCUUGAUAAUUUGAACUUAAGGGGGCAAAGCAGCAAUCCUGAAGAGACAUGGCAUGACGCUGAGAUUGUUGUUGAGGGCAAAUCAGUGGCGGUUAAUCGCAGCGUAUUGUCUGAGCUCAGUCAAUUUUUUCGUCGGCUUUUUAAUUUGAGAAAUGAUGGUUCUGUCAGUGGGGGGAAACCCAAGUAUCUUUUGACUGAUUUGGUGCCUCAUGGGAAGGUUGGAUAUGAAGCUUUCAAUGAUACCUUGCAUUAUAUUUACACUGGGAAGACAAAGGCACCUCCUCCAGAAGUGUCCACGUGUGUUGAUGAUGCUUGUGUUCAUGUUUCUUGCCCUCCUACUAUUAAUUAUGUUAUUGAGUUGAUGUAUGCUUCUGCUGCUCUUCAGAUGAAAAAACUCGUUAUUCGUUUAGAGGUAAUUGUGUUUCACUGCUAUUUGUAUUGCUUAAAUUUAUGCUUCUUGGUAUAGUUUUAACAUAUAUGGGAUUGAAAUCAAUUUCAGUUGUGAAGCAACUCCGGUGGUUCCCAAUAUUAGGCAUUGUAGUAGAUCCAAAAUUAGCUUGUUAAGAAGUGUAGAUACCGUAGAGCCCAAAACUUCAUCUUAUCUUGCAAGAGUCUGUUGUUUUAUUUUGAAAGAGACAAAAGUGAUGAUGAUGGGCAGCAAACUCUAGGAAUCAAUGCUUGCUGACACUGACCCCCAAGAAUCAAUGAGUCUGAAUUUGAUAAGUGCACCUAUCCUAUCACAAAAGCUUUUGCGUUGAGUUUCUAACCAAUUUUCAUUUGGGUAGGUGUCAGUUCAUGCUCUGGCUUGACUGUUCUGUUAUUUAGGUUGUUUUAUCCGUAUUUUCUUCACUCACUUGAUGGUUAGUUCUCUCAUGCUUUCAAGCUCUCAACAGUGAAUGCGAGAGAUUCUAUUUUUCCCGUCCAGUCUAUAACCUAGCAAAUCAUUAAUGCUGUAGAAUAACAUCUUGUGUAGCCGAGUUUAUGUCUCUGAACAUUGGUCCAUCGGCAUUUAGGUUCAAUAAGCAUGGCACUGAUUUUCCCCCUUAUUAUUAUUUUCCUCCACAGAUUAUCCCCUUUGAGUAUUUGAAUUUUGAAUAUAUUAUUCUGAAUCAAAACUCUAUCUGUCCGUGUAGCAUUUUUUAUAUGCUUUACGAUGUUUACCAAUAAUUACCCACUAUGGGGUAUUUGAAUUUUGAAUAUAUUAUUCUGAAUCAAAACUCUAUCUGUCCGUGUAGCUUUGGCUUCUGAACUUGGUUGAGAAGGCUCUUGUGGAAGAUGUAAUCCCAAUUCUCGUGGCUGCCUUGCAUUGCCAACUGAACCACCUCCGUUCUUUCUGCAUCCAGAGAAUUGCAAAGUCAAAUCUUGACAAUGUUUGUCUCGAGAAAGAGCUUCCUGAUGAAGUUUCAAGUGAAAUCAAAUCACUCCGUGUCAAAUCUAACCAGGAGUCUGAAGCUAAUAUAGCAGAAGUGGACCCUAUGCAUGCAAAAAUAGUCAGAAGAAUCCACAAGGCGCUGGACUCUGAUGACGUUGAACUGUUGAAGCUUCUUCUGGAUGUAUCUAAUGUCACUCUGGAUGAUGCUUACGCCCUGCACUAUGCUGCUGCCUACUGCAGCCCUAAGGUUUUCAAGGAAGUGCUCAAUAUGGACUUGGCUUGUCUCAAUCUUAAGGAUGCAAGAGGACGUACGGUGCUUCAUGUGGCUGCAAGGCGUAAUGAGCCAGAAGUGAUGGUGACUCUGCUGAGCAAGGGAGCAUGCGCAUCAGAAACUACAUCAGAUGGGCAAACAGCUGUAGCAAUCUGUCGGAGAAUGACAAGGCGAAAGGAUUAUCUUGAAGCUACAAAGCAGGGGCAGGGAACUAACAAAGACCGGUUAUGCAUUGAUGUCCUUGAGAGAGAGAUGAGAAGGAACUCCAUGUCUGAGAACUUGGCAAUGCCAACAGAGGUGAUGGAUGAUCAUUUCCAAGCGGAGCUGGACUAUCUAGAAAAUAGAGGUGAUAUUUCUUUACUGGUAUUAGUUCAUCACCUUCUCAGAGUUUGUGCAUAGCACACUUCUUUCUACUGUUUGUUUGUCCCUUCAUAUGGAAAAUAGAGGUGAUAUUCCUUUACUGGUAUUAGUAAAUCAUCUUCUCAAGAGUUUGUGAGUCCCUUCAUUUUAGCAUCUCAAACACACAUGGGCUCAUUGCUUGGGGCACACUGUUGGCCAGUCAUGUGAUUUGAUCCCCUUUUUUGGAAUAGAGAAUUAUGAAUCCAUCUGAUCUAGGCUUGUUGGUUUGCACCGAACUGGUUUUUGAUAAAUAAUUGUACAAGACUUUGUCAUCAAAAACUUUUUUUUUUGUUUUUUUGUUUUUUGUUUUCCAAAAGUAAUGAGGUACAAAAAUAUUUAUGCCUAUCCUGGAUGAGUGCCAUAACAGCUUCUUAAUAUUUUGCAGUGGCUUUUGUACGGUUUUUUCCUUCUGAAGCUAGAGUAGCUAUGGAAAUAGCAGGUGCAGAUACCGCCACUGGCCUUUCAGCAUUAGGUCAGAAAGGACUAAGUGGGAACUUAAAGGAGAUUGAUUUGAAUGAAACGCCCUCUAUGCAAGCCAAGAGACGCCAAUUGAGACUGCUAACUCUGCUCAAAACAGGUAUUUAUAUACUUUAUUAACUUUUGCACCCUUCUAUUUACUGAUUAUCUUUAUGAUUAACUAAUACAUGUAUCCAGGUUUCUCCUUCCAAUUGGAAUUUCUUUAUAGUGCUAUGUUAGGUGUAAUCAGAUGUAUCAAAAGAGAAAGGGUAAUUAUUAGUACAUUGAUAUCUCAACAAAAUGGCAGAACCUUUCUUUAUACCACAAAGACAUUUGUCGCAGGUAUGCCUACAUAAUCAGUGUCCUUCAAAACUUUCAAGGAGUUAGCAAUGCCUAACCCCUGAAACACUAAAUCUCACGGGAUCAACUCUUUACCUCUAGACCGAAGGUGUGACACCCAGACCCAAUUAGGGCUUAGAAAACAUAUCGAAUCUGAGUGAAACUAAAUGCCUAUAAAUCCAAAUCUCCAAAAUAUCAAAAAGUCAUCUAAUUUCUCUUUUCAUGUAUUUUACAAAAUUUUGAAAAAUUCAUUCUCAAUCAUAAACUAUGCACAACUAAUUAUUCAGCAUAUCAGCAUAGAGCAAUACUUCCUCAUAAGCAAAUAAAUCUUACAAUUCUUCUUGCAUGAUUUAAAAAAAAUACUAAUAGAGUCUUCUAGAUACAAACAUAAACAUAAUUCAACUGUUUAAAACUAUGCCAAAACACAAGCUUCAAUCAGUAAUACAUACGACUAAUUAUUAAAAACAUCUAGGCAGAAACCUUACGAAAGCUCAAUCCUUCCGAAGCAUUCUUCAAAUUAAUAAUUGCAACCAUCUGUGAAAAAUAAUUGACAAGGAGUCAGCUGUGAAUUCAAUCAGUAGAAACAUUCGUAACGAACAAAAAGAAUUCUUUGUGCAAUAUUUUCAGAAAAUUCAUUUAACCUUUCAAAUGAAACAGAGUAAUUUUUCUAACGCAUCAGGAUUUAUAUAAAACACAAACGUUUCAGACAGAAGCUGUGUGGAAUGUAAAUUUUGCUUCUUUAAACAGAAAGUUAUAUAUUAGUUUGAUUUUAAAGGGAGGUUAUUGGGAAGUUAAAAUUGGCAGUUGUGGGAAAAGGGUAAUAGCAGUUAUAAAAUCUGUUUUAAAGCAAAUUCAAAUCAAGUUUCAAAUUUUAGGAGUACUUAAUUCAAUAAAAUAAGGAAUAAAUAAAGCUUUCAUUGAAACAAAACUAAGUAAAUUCAUUUAAAGCAAAACAGGAUGCGAGCAUUACAUAAGGGUUCUUGGCCAUACCAUGGUUACCCGCAGUCAGACAUCUGGGACCUUGUUAUUUGGAGACAAGACUUGAUUGUGCCAUGUUUUCCGCAGCUAGACACCUAUGGAUAAGAGAAGCCUAAGCCUAUUGAGAAUAAAUUCUGUAAUCCAAGACUCUUCAGUUCUUUCAUUUGUGGCUAAUUAGUUAUAAAAUUUGUGAAUUACAUGCCCCAUGCCCCUUGCAAAAUGUUGUUUAUAUCCUUAAGAUGCCCGUGGAUGAACUGAAAUAAUAAAAUAUAGAAGACAGACUUAAUGCCGAUAGCAUUUCUUAAGAAAAACUUGGGAUGUUUAUAAUUUUCUUAGAGCAUUUGCUGAACUUUCUGUGAUUGCAGUCGAGACGGGUGACCGCUACUUCCCUCAUUGCUCACAAGUGGUUAAUGACUUUUUGGAUGCUUCCCUCCUAGAAAAGAGUACUCUUGAAGAGGAGAAACUUAAAUUAUACGUGCAGGAGGCACUCCGCAAGGACGUGGCUUAUCACCGUCGUUCAGGGCUGCCAUCAUCCUGGUCGGCAUUUUACAAGUACAUGGCUGAGAGCAAUCAGUCGGCAUUUUACAAGUACCUGGCUGAGAGCAAUCGUUCAGGAAUGUCGACAUCCUCGGCAGCGGAAAACUAAAGGAGUUGAGUGAGCUCUGCUCGAUUGGUUUUUGUAGUUUCUUUUUUUUUUUUCCUCAAGUGAUCUGGCAUGUAUCAAUUAGUUUGUAAAGUUAUUGUAUUGUCUCAAGUCCGGUAAGAUGCGCGAACGUAUAGCAUGGAUCACAAACUCAUUUCAUAGAUUAUUUUUUUGUAUAAUUAUAUAAUUUAUAGGCUUUGCUUAAAAAAUUAAAAAAGAAAAAAAGAAUUGUAUUACAAUUGGUAUGAGGCAUGCUUGUGUGUGUCAUAUCAGUUGCUGAACAAACUUUGCCUUUUAGUUUUGUAGGCACUACCAUCUCAAAUUCUUUGUUAUCAUGAAUGAGUAUUUUUUUUCUUUUUUUUCUUUUUUAACAAAUCAUAAAUGAGAUUAAGAUAAUCUUUUUUUAAAAAAGAAAAAAAAUGGAGAUUUCUUUUAUUUUUCCUUAAAAAACUGAAGACAAAUUUAGAAGGAAGUGAGAGACGGAGAAUUAAAGCAAUUUUAUUCACAAAUGUAAUGUAUUUGGUGCAGCAAUACAAACUAAUAAAUUAUAAUUUAUGAGACUAGUUUACAGAAUCUUAUAUAUAAAAUUAUAUCCUCUGAAUAAAAAUCUUCUCACCUCUUUUGACUUCUCAUCUAAUUUACAGAAUCUUAUAUAUAUAACACAUUUUUAUAAAACAAAACAGAAAAAAAAAUUAUAUAUAAUUGUCACAAGGACUAUUUCAUUUGCACAUAGUACGCAAUUGGUCACUAAAGUUAUUUGAGGAGAAAAUUUACAUGAGAUGGGUACAUCAUAUUAUCAGUAUUUUAGUUUAAAUUUGAACAUACUAGAAUGGUCUCUCAUAAAUUUUUCUCCAAUUUGAGAGAUGGUGGGGGAGUGGGGUUAAAGUGCAUCUACAUAGAAUAGAAUUAAUUAUAAUUAAAUUUACUUUUUAAAACUAUUUUAACUAGAAGUAGUAGUAAUUCUUUUUAUUAUUGUUAUUCCAAUUAUAUCAAAAUCUCGUGACUCGUGAUCAAAUUAAGUGCUUCAUUAAAUUGUUUUAGGUGACGUACGGUAUGGAGUUGUUAUAAAUCUAUAUAGAUAGUAAAAUAUUUAAUUUUGCUUGUCGUAAACUUUUAAUUUGCAUGGGUUAAAAAAGAAAAAAAGAAAAAAGAAAUUGACUUAUUAAUUAAUUAACAAUUAUAGAAAGACUAAAUAGAAAAUUAUUGAAGUUGCGUGAGAAAGCUCUCGGGAAAAGGGGCUCCAGAUUUCCUUUCCCUGGCUUCGUGCGUUUCCUGUUUGCCCUUUCGAGCACGACAUUCGAAUCCAAUACUUAAUAAUAAAGAUAUAAUAUUAUUAUAAUACUAAUAAUUAACAUUAAAAUAUUAAAAAUAGGGAAAAAAAAAUCCAAAUUUUUACUGGUAUGUAACGCAGGGCCAAAACGAUAGCGAAACAUCAAAUUGUUUUUAUUUCAACCUUCGCGCAACUUCCGGUGACAUAAUUUUUCUCUGUUUCAGGUACAUACAUACCCAAAACUAGACUUUGCAUGUAUCAUUCUUGUAUUUUUGUAAUUCAUUCACAUAUUCUUCUUUUCUUUUCUUUUUCUUUUCUUUUUUGCUGUAUUUUUUUUAUGAAACACUCUGUUUCAGUUCUGUUUCUGGUUUUGUUUCAGUUUGAUAUUAUUGGUUCCGUUCGGUUCUACUCUGUUCUCUGUUGUAUGUAUAUAUGUAUGUAUUUUUGGCCUUGAAUUGCUUUGAUCACCGGUUUUGUUAUUCUUUUAUCGUGAAUUUUAGACACCCGUUAAACUUGUUUGGCCAUGUAUUCACUUGAUUGUUACAUUCAGCUGCCAUCUUCAUGGUGGGUUUGUAAGAUAGUCUCUGACUAACAUAUGGCAUUGAUUAUGAAUGAUGGUUUUGUGAGAUACAUCAUACAGACGUUAACUUGUAUUAACAUGUACUUCCUUUAUUUAAAAGAUUAUUGUUUUUCUGGCUUUUUUUUUUUUGUUUGAAAUGCCCCUUUUUGCAUUUUAUAGGUGAAAGGAAAAAAACAUAAUAUCGCAGCACUAGAACAAAGGAGCCUAUUCUGGUACCUAUUGUCCAAGGAAGCUUCUGUAUAUUCGGUAGGCACUACCAUGGAAGUGAAAUCUUACCAGAGCCAGGUGGAGUCAUUGCUGAAGGAAUAUAUAUUAGCAGAUCCAUUUAUCCCGUACACUUCAAUUGUUGGUAGCAUUUUUGCUUGCAAGAUGGUAUGUUUUUCAUCGUUACUGCAUGGUGGUAUUUACUAGAAAAUAUUUUGAAUGCAUAGUUUUUAUUUAAUUAGUUAUAAAUUUUUAUACCCUUUUUUUCAUAAGAAUGCGUUCCUUUUCAGGUGUAUGAUCUUGCCCAAUUGAUUAGUGCUGUUCACUUUAAAAGUUAUUCCAGUUUCUCUAACGUACAGCGGGUUGAGUGGAGUAACAGGUGAUUGAAUAUUUUCAUUUAGUUCAAUUGACAUUUCUUUUUCAAUCGGUAAAGUUUAAUCAUUUCUCUUAAAUUGACAACUUAAGCAGGGCCAUAGCAACCGUCCAUGCCAUUUUUAUUACAGCUAUGUCUUUGUACUUCGUGUUUUGGUCGGAUCUCUUUUCGGACAACCAACUUGCUAGCCUUAUUACAUUCCGUAGCUCUUUUCUGUCUACAUUCACAUUGGGGGUGAGUUCACCAUUUCCUGUUAGUUUUUAGUUAAAUUACAAAUUUUACCAGGUUUUAAGUUCUGGCAUUCCCAUCUGUUAUCUUGCCCUGAGAAUAUAUAUAGGAUAUUGUCUUAUUGAAGCCUGAAUCUUCCCAGUAGUGGAAAGUAUAAAUAACAAUUUGAAAUUAUUUUAGCCAUCAAUGUAACAGCUGGCAAAUUUCUUCUAGCUUGUUUCUUAAAUCUAAGGUUAAUUUUCCCGUGGUGACAGACAAACCAGUCAUGGUUUAUCUAGAUAUUUUAAUACAUGAUUUCAGUAUCAGGUAAAGAAGGAAUCCGUAUCUAUUUCUUUCCAGUUGGUGUUGAUAAAAAGGAAAAGUCAUAGUACUCUCCUUUUCAUUCCUUGUGAUUCCAUUUUACUUAGUAAUAUGAUUAGAAAUGAGUGGAAAUAGGUUGUGGAGGGCUGCAUUAUUAUGGCUUCUUUCAAUAGAACACUAAAUAUUCCCUAUUCAAGGGAAACUUUUUGCAAGGGAAAUUUUCUAAAGGAUAAUAAACUUUUUUUCUUUUCAAAAGAGAAAGGGUAAUUAUUAGUACAUUGAUAUCUCAACAAAAUGGUAGAACCUUUCUUUAUACCACUAAGACAUUUGUCGCAGGUAUGCCUACAUAAUCAGUGUCCUUCAAAACUUUCAAGGAGUUAGCAAUGCCGAACCCCUGAAACACUAAGGUGGCGUUUGUUUUUUAACUUAAUGACUUAAAGUGAAUUAACUUAAUUAAUUAAGUUAAUUAGAGGUGUUUGUUUUUAUAACUUAAUGAGACUUUUUAGAUGAUUUUGACUUAAGAAAAUAAGCCAAUUUUUUUAGCUUUUUACUUAAUGGAGAAAUCUGAAUUAAGUCAAUUACUUGCUAAUGUCAAAACUAUCCAUGUUUUAUAAUUUAUUUUUCAUGUCUAUCCCAAAAUUCACCCAUAGACAUUUAUCCCACAUAAAAAUAUCCAUAUUUUUUAUUUCUUAUAUUAUAUACGAUAAAAUUUAAAAUUUAUGGUAUUUUAUAUAUUAAAAUUUCAAAAUAAUUAUGUAUUCACUUGAAUAUAGUUUUACUUAUAAAUGUUAAAAUAUUGUGGUAUUUAAUAUAUUAUUUAUUUGGCAUUCAAAUUUAAUAAGGAUACAAAUGUAAAAGUACAUAUUUUCAACUUUUUAAGUUGAAAAAAACAAACAACUUAAUACUUAUUUUCCGAGAUUCAGACGAAAAAAACAAACAUAUUAUUCAGAUUCAGACAUUCAGAUCUAUUAAAAAUUCAGUCUAAUUUAAGUCUAUUUAGAUUUUAGAUAAAAAAACAAACGCCACCUAAAUCUCAUAGGAUCAACUCUUUACCUCUAGACCGAAGGUGUGACACCCAGACCCAAUUAGGGCUUAGAAAACAUAUCGAAUCUGAGUGAAACUAAAUGCCUGUAAAUCCAAAUCUCCAAAAUAUCAAAAAGUCAUCUAAUUUCUCUUUUCAUGUAUUUCACAAAAUUUUGAAAAAUUCAUUCUCAAUCAUAAACUAUGCACAACUAAUUAUUCAGCAUAUCAGCAUAGAGCAAUACUUCCUCAUAAGCAAAUAAAUCUUACAAUCCUUCUUCCAUGAUUUAAAAAAAAUACUAAUAGAAGUCUUCUAGAUACAAACAUAAACAUAAUUCAACUGUUUAAAACUAUGCCAAAACACAAGCUUCAAUCAGUAAUACAUACGACUAAUUAUUAAAAACAUCUAGGCAGAAACCUUACGAAAGCUCAAUCCUUCCGAAGCAUUCUUCAAAUUAAUAAUUGCAACCAUCUGUGAAAAAUAAUUGACAAGGAGUCAGCUGUGAAUUCAAUCAGUAGAAACAUUCGUAACGAACAAAAAGAAUUCUUUGUGCAAUAUUUUCAGAAAAUUCAUUUAACCUUUCAAAUGAAACAGAGUAAUUUUUCUAACGCAUCAGGAUUUAUAUAAAACACAAACGUUUCAGACAGAAGCUGUGUGGAAUGUAAAUUUUGCUUCUUUAAACAGAAAGUUAUAUAUUAGUUUGAUUUUAAAGGGAGGUUAUUGGGAAGUUAAAAUUGGCAGUUGUGGGAAAAGGGUAAUAGCAGUUAUAAAAUCUGUUUUAAAGCAAAUUCAAAUCAAGUUUCAAAUUUUAGGAGUACUUAAUUCAAUAAAAUAAGGAAUAAAUAAAGCUUUCAUUGAAACAAAACUAAGUAAAUUCAUUUAAAGCAAAACAGGAUGCGAGCAUUACAUAAGGGUUCUUGGCCAUACCAUGGUUACCCGCAGUCAGACAUCUGGGACCUUGUUAUUUGGAGACAAGACUUGAUUGUGCCAUGUUUUCCGCAGCUAGACACCUAUGGAUAAGAGAAGCCUAAGCCUAUUGAGAAUAAAUUCUGUAAUCCAAGACUCUUCAGUUCUUUCAUUUGUGGCUAAUUAGUUAUAAAAUUUGUGAAUUACAUGCCCCAUGCCCCUUGCAAAAUGUUGUUUAUAUCCUUAAGAUGCCCGUGGAUGAACUGAAAUAAUAAAAUAUAGAAGACAGACUUAAUGCCGAUAGCAUUUCUUAAGAAAAACUUGGGAUGUUUAUAAUUUUCUUAGAGCAUUUGCUGAACUUUCUGUGAUUGCAGUCGAGACGGGUGACCGCUACUUCCCUCAUUGCUCACAAGUGGUUAAUGACUUUUUGGAUGCUUCCCUCCUAGAAAAGAGUACUCUUGAAGAGCAGAAACUUAAAGUAGACAUGCAAGAGGCACUCCCCAAGGACGUGGCUUAUCACCGUCGUUCAGGGCUGCCAUCAUCCUGGUCGGCAUUUUACAAGUACAUGGCUGAGAGCAAUCAGUCGGCAUUUUACAAGUACCUGGCUGAGAGCAAUCGUUCAGGAAGAUAUUUGACAUUUGGAAAACUAAAGGAGUUGAGUGAGCUCGAUUGGUAUUUGUAGUUUCUUUUUUUUUUUUUUGCCUCAAGUGAUCUGGCAUGUAUCAAUUAGUUUGUAAAGUUAUUGUAUUGUCUCAAGUCCGGUGAGAUGCGCGAACGUAUAGCAUGGAUCACAAACUCAUUUCAUAGAAUAUUUUUGUGUAUAAUUAUAUAAUUUAUAGGCUAUGCUUAAAAAAUUAGAAAAAGGGAAUUGUAUUGCAGUUGGUAUGAGGCAUGCAUGCGUAUGUCAUAUCAGUUGCUGAACAAACUUUGCCUUUUAAUUUUGUAGGCAUUACUAUCUCAAAUUUUCUAUUAUCAUAAAUGAGUUUUUUUUUUUUUUAACAAAUCAUAAACGAGAUUAAGAUAAUCUUUUUUAAAAAAAAAAGAAGACAAAUUUAGAAAGUAGUGAGAGAUGGAGAAAUAAAGUAAUUAUAUUCAUAAAUAUAAUGUUUUUGGUGCAGCGACACAAACUAAUAAAUUAUAGUUUAUGAGAUUAGUUUACAAAAUCUUACACUCUCUAGACUUCUCAUUUAGGUGCCUUUUCUGGAACCUCUCCAGCCAUAAACACAUUUUUAUUAAACAAAACAGAAAAAAAAAAUUAUAUAUAGCUGUUCAUAAGGACUAUUUCUUUUGUACAGAAUACACAAUUGGCCACUAAAAUUAGUUGAGGAGAAAAUUUACACGAGAUGAGUACAUUACAUUAUCAGUAUUUUUGUCUAAUUUGAACGCACGUUUGUUUUAGGAAUCUUACUAGAAUGGUCUCUCAUAAAUUUUUCUCCAAUUUGAGAGAGAGUGGGGACUAGGUUAAAGUGCAUAUACGUAGAAUUAAUUAAAAUUAAAUUUAUUUUUUAAAACUAUUUUAACUAGAAGUAGUAGCAAUUCUUUUUAUUAUUGUUAUUCCAAUUAUAUCAAAAUCUCGUGACUCGUGAUCAAAUUAAGUAGUUCAUUAAAUUUUUUUAGGUGACGUACGGUAUGGAGUUUUUAUAAAGCUAUAUAAAUAGCAAAAUAUUUAAUUUUGUUUGUCGUAAACUUUUAAUUUGCCUGGGUUAAAAAAAAGAAAAAAAAAUGAAAAAAGAAAUUGACUUAUGAAUUAAUUAACAAUUAUAGAAAGAAUAAAUAGAAAACUAUAGUUGCGUGAGAAAACUCUCGCGAAAAGGGGCUCCAGAUUUCCUUUCCCUGGCUUCGUGCGUUUCCUGUUUGCCCUUUCGAGCACGAAUUCGAAUCCAAUACUUAAUAAUAAGGAUAUAAUAUUAUUAUAAUACUAAUAAUUAACAUUAAAAUAUUAAAAAUAAGGAAAAAAAAUCCAAAUUUUUAGUGGUAUAUAAGAUAACGCAGGGCCAAAGCGAUAGCGAAACAUCAAAUUGUUUUUAUUUCAACCUUCGCGCAACUUCCGGUGACAUAAUUUUUCUCUGUUUCAGGUACAUACAUACCCAAAACUAAACUUUGCAUGUAUCAAUCUUGUAUUUUUGUUAUUCAUUCACACAUCCUUCUUUUCUUUCUUUUCUCUUUUGCUGUAAUUUUUUAUGAAACACUCUUCUGUUUCAGUUCUGUUUCUGGUUUUGUUUCAGUUUAAUAUUAUUGGUUCCGUUCGGGUCUGUUCUGCUCUGUUCUCUGUUGUAUGUAUAUGUGUAUAUGUUUUUGGCCUCGAAUUGCUUUGAUCACCGGUUUUGUUAUUCAUUUAUCGUGAAUUUUAGAUACCCGUUAAACUUGUUUGGCCAUGUAUUCACUUGAUUGUUACAUUCAGCUGCCAUUUUCAUGGUGGGUUUGUAAGAUAGUCUCUGACUAGCAUACGGCAUUGAUUAUGAAUGAUGGUUUUGUGAGAUACAUCAUACAGACGUUAACUUGUAUUAACAUUGUUGUGCGCGGAAUGCGGAAUCAAGCGCACCAAAUAAUUAUAGAAAAAUAAAAGACACAAGAAUUACAUGGUUCAGUAAUUAAACCUACAUCCACGGAGGCAAGAAAGAAUAAUUGUAUUAUUAACAAUUAAUAGAGUAUAAAUAUUUGAGUAACGAAUCUCACUUCCCAGAAACUCAAAUAUACCCAGUACUCUCACACUCUGCAGGAAAGAUAAAUUCCCCAGACACACUUCUCUCACUUCUCUCACUUCUCUCAAAAGCUUAAAAACUUAUAAGCUUAACAAUUUUGGGAUGAUAUGGAAUGAAGAAAUGUUCUCUAUUUAUAGGCUUGAAGCUAGUACUAUUCCACCUAACCCAAUCACUAUUCCACCUAACCCAUGCAAAUAUGUCAAUGGUGUCCAUUUGGCAAAUUUGACAAAUUUGCCAACUUUUCAUUUUUUCUUCAAUUGUUUGGUAGCUCUUUGAAAAAUUGCAUGCUUUCUUGAAUUUGCAUGCCACGUGCAUGAUUUUUCAACAAUUCUCCACCUCGGCGAAAAUUUGUCCAAAUCUAAGCCGACUACCAAUGAACCAUCAUCCCUAAGGUGGCUGCAUCUCUGUGACUGCUUACGUACCCAAAAUUUGGGAUCAAGCCAACUGUAGUUCAAAAUUCCCGAAGGACAUAUCUUAACACAAGCGAAGGAUUUGAAUUAGUUUCAAGCAAUGUUGAAACUUAACUCCAGAAACUACCUUCGUCAACAUAUCUUAUGGAUUAUCUUUUGUAUCGAUCUUCUUCAACAACACAUCACCACCUUCGAUAAUCUCCCUCACAUAAUGAUAUUUCACAUCUAUGUGCUUCGUCCGAGCGUGAUAUGUUUGAUUCUUCGCUAGGAAUAUCGCACUUUGGUUAUCACAAAAGACCACAAUGUUUUCUUGGAUUACUCUCAAAUCACCUAACAAGCCUUUCAACCAGAUAGCUUCUUUUACAGCUUCAGUUGCUGCCAUAUACUCUGCUUCCGUAGUGGACAAAGCAAUUGUCGAUUGUAGAAUCGACCUCCAGCUAAUCGAUCCUCCACCCAAUGUGAAUACGUAGCCCAUUGUUGAUCUUCGCUUGUCAAGGUCUCCAGCGAAAUCAGAAUCACAAUACCCAACACAUUGUUGACCACAAUCCUUCUUGAACAAUAACCCAACAUCAAUUGUCCCAUACAGAUAUUGGAGAAUCCACUUUACCGCAAGCCAGUGAUUUUUACCCGGAUUGUGCAUGUAUCUACUAACCAUGCUCACUGCUUGAGAUAUAUCGGGCCUUGUGCAUACCAUAGCAUACAUAAGACUACCCACAACACUAGCAUAUGGAACACGAGCCAUGUAAUCGCACUCCUCUUGAGAUCUAGGACAUGAAGAAGAGCUUAAUUUGAAAUGAGGAGCUAGAGGUGUACAUACCGGUUUAGUUUUGUCAUCCAUACCAAAUCUUUCUAGCACUUUCUUCAAAUAAGACUUUUGAGUCAACCAUACGCUCCCAUUCUUCUUGUCUCUACGAAUCUCCAUCCCAAGUAUUCUCUGUGCAUCACUCAAGUCUUUCAUCUCGAACUCAGAAGCCAACUGCUUUUUUAAUCUUUUGAUCUCAUCUCCAUUCUUUGAAGCUAUAAGCAUAUCGUCGACAUAGAGUAACAAAUAGAUGAAAGCUCCAUCUAGUAGUUUUCUAAAGUAAACACAAUGAUCGUGUUCACUUCUAGUGAAUUCUGCCCUUGUAUAAAUUGAUCAAAUCUUUUGUACCACUGCCUUGGCGAUUGCUUCAGUCCGUACAAAGAUUUAAUCAACCUACAUACAUGAUUCUCCUUUCCAGCAACUCUGAAACCACAAGGCUGAAUCAUAUACAUUUCUUCCUCCAAAUCUCCAUAUAAGAACACCGUCUUAACAUCCAAUUGAGCCAACUCUAACUCAUAUUCUGCAACUAAGGCAAGUAGGAUACGAAUGGAAGUAUGUUUUACAACUGAAGAGAAAACUUCAUUGUAGUCAAUAUCUUCCUUCUGAGCAAAACAUUUUGCCACGAGCUUUGCCUUGUAUCGAGGAGUUGAUUGAUUUAGAGAUCCUUGUUUUUUGGUGUAGACCUAUUUAUUACCAAUAACCUUUUUCCCCUUUGGUAACUUUACAAGUUCCCAAGUCUGGUUUUGAUGGAGAGAUUUCAUCUCUUCCUCCAUGGCUAACUUCCACUGAUCACUUGCACUGAUGCGUAAUGCUUCACCGAAAGUGUUGGGGAUGUCAUCAUCAAUAACUGGAAGUGCAUAGGCUACCACCAUAUCUUUAGUAACCUAUCCGAAUUUCUUUAUCUCUCUUCUUGGCCUCCUUGUUGCUAUAAAAUCAUCAUUAUCUACAUCAUCAAUUGUUUCUUCAUUUUGUGGGACAUCAGAAGAAACAACCUCUUCUUCAACUCUAGGUGUCACCUCCAUAAUUGAACUGAAACAACCCGCCCCGAACCCCCAGGGCGAGUCUAUCUAAACUCGUAUAAUCAAAUCGAUAUUAUUUAUGAUAUCUAAGAAUUCUAUUAAAAAUUCGGCAGAAUCUCCCUUAUAAAUAAAACAUCCCCAAACCUGCAAUUUACAAAACCAUACUCCCAAAAAUAAUUCAAUAUCCAUCCAACUCUCAUAACCAACUUCUCAAGUUAACAUAUCAAAUUUCAUCAAAAUCAUUCUAAUAUUAAAAUACAUGGGUUAUCCUUAAUUACAAAAUAUAAUAAAUCAAAAUUGUUAAAUCUACGACUCUUAGCACCAUCACGUGGCCACAAUUUCAAAACUAACAUUCGUUACUGGGUCAACUGAUGUACCUGCAAAUCUCCUGUGGGGGGAAAAAUAUAAUAAAAACGGGGUGAGUAUAAAACUCAGUGAGCUCAGUGAUUGGAUAAUAGUUUUUGGAAAAAUAAAUAAAUUUAUUUAAAAUGACUUAAUCUUUCCCAAAUCAAUUUCUCAAAUCAAUUUCAUCAAAAUAUCAUAAGAACUUACAUAAACUUAUUUAAUUCAAAUCAAUCACUGAAAUUCUAUAUUACAUAAAUCUACAUAGAAUCGAUGGAAUCAUAAUACUUAUCAUAUCAAAUACUGAAUACCAAAAACUAUCAUCAAACAAGUACCCAGAGGAAUGAUCUCAUCAUAUCCGGACCUCGACGGACGGGCAAUCAGGGAACCAUCAUGCCCCGGAGCUACAACAGAUAGAUGGGGAAAAUCUCAUCUCAUAUCUCAUGUAUCUCAACAUCUGUAUCUUUGUAAUCAUCAUACUGCAUGCAUAAGCCCCCAAAAGGCAAAAGCGCCCAAACACACGGUCCAAAGCCUCUAUGUGUGUUCAGACGGGCCCCAAAGGCGUCUAUCUCAUCUCAUCUGUAUCUCUGUAUUCAUCUCAUAUUAUCUGUAUCUCUGUAUCUAGAGGGGAAGGGUACUGUCCAAUGAUUUUCCAAACAACAUUUAUACUCAUGUACAUAAACAUAUAAUCACAUCUGAAAUCUCAUUUUCUUUCUAUGCAACAUAUCUCAAAUCUGCUCAAUUCUAAUAUCAUGCAUAAAAUCACUAAUCAAACUCAUUCUUAGUAACAAUAAAUAUCAACACAUAGAUAAAAAUCAAUUUUCUAGAAAAUCAUUAAAUCGAAGCAUCAAAUACUUAUUUAUCAAAACAUAAUGCACUGUAUCAUAAAAUCAGCAUAUACUAUGAAAAUAGAUUUUGCAUAUUCCACUCACAGUGAUGAUGUCCAGACUCGGUAUCAACAACGUUUGCGGUUUGAUUCUCGUUCGCAGAUCCUCCUAAUCAAGGAAACGCCAUAAUCAUUCUCCGUAAACUUGAAAUACAACUAAUUUUAUAUAAUAAAUCUGGAAACGAAUAUCUAUCAAAUACCCCCAACAUCAUUAUUUUACCAAAUUAUCCUCAGAAUCUUCAAUUACUAAAUGGUCCUCAAUUUAGAUCACAUAAAUAACCACAAUGUCAGAAAUUACGAAAUUACCCUCGGAGCAUAAAUUUACCAAAAUGUCCUUAACGACUUAAAUUACCGAAUUACCCUCGAAAUCUCAAAUUACCUCACUGCCCUAACUUAAAAUUACCAAAUUAUCCACUGAUUCCAUAAAUUAUAAAUUCACCCUAAAGUUUUAUGAAUUUACCGAAUUGCCCCUGCCGGUAAACGGUGACCGGACUUCAGUCAACGACGACGGGAAGCUUAGGUCUGAUAGUUUAGACCUCGGUGAGUCCAAUGGUGGUGGCCGUGAGUCCCCACGAGCGGUGCCGGCGGCGGAUCAAGCUUCCUAGGCCGUGAGCUUUCAAAGUGGCUGAUCGGCGGUAAUCCGGCCGUUUCGGGUGACGAGGUUGGUCGGAAAAUGAUGCUGGUAACGUGAGGAGUAGAAACCAACUGGAAGUGUGCCCAAACUCUGGCAAAAUCGACGGCGGCGAAAACGGGCCUUGGCCGCGAGUUUUCGAGCUUAAUCGCCAGCGUUUUGGUCGGUUUCCGGUGACGAGGACGGCGGGGUUAUGACGGUCGGCUUCCAAGCUUCAGAUCGGUACCAAGCUCGGCCGGUGAGGUGGCCAGAAUCGGGAGAUCCGUCCGGGUCAAUGUCGCGAGUCGGGUCGGGUUUGCGGGUCAAAAAUCGGGUCAAACACUCACUCUCUCUCUCUCUCGUGCCUCCUCUCUCUCCUUCCUUUCUAAAAAUAGUUUCCCCCCCUUUCCAUAUAAAAAAAAAACCGACUUCUUCUUCCUUUUUUUUUUCUUAAGCUUAAUACAAAUUAAACUAAUACCGGACCCGUGACGAAAAUAAAAUCCAACUAUUCGAACUUUUAAUCGCACUCAAAUUAUCUCGAUUUAAUGUCGUGACAAAUUUUAAAAUUAAUAACGAAGAGGAAAAAUUAAAUCAUACACUUAAUUAAGAAAAAUCAAAGUGCAUAUGUUACAUGAACCCUUAUUUAAUGUAGAACUAACUGGUACAUAUGGAGUUGCAUCAAACUCCACCCACUGUAAUACCUCUUUGGUCUUAUUCUCCACCUGUUGAGAAUUUGAAGCUUUCAUCAUUGAAGCUUCAUCAAAUGUGACAUCUCUUUUACACACAAACUUUUUGUCUUCGAGAUCCCAAAGCUUAAAGCUCUUUACUCCACCUUUGAAUCCUACAAAGAUAGCUUUACUAGCACGAGGAUCCACUUUACCAUCUUUGACAUGAUAAUAAGCUGAACACUCGAAUAUACGAAGGGAAUCAUAGUCUUGUGCAUGCUUUCCAGACCACAUUUUCAUAGGAGUUUUACCUCCAAUUGUAGCAGAAGGCAACCGGUUUACCAAGUGACUUGCGUAACUCACAGCUUCAACCCAAAACUUUUUAUCUAAACCAGCAUUAGAUAACAUACACCGUACUUUCUCCAGUAAAGUACGAUUCAUACGCUCAGCCACACCGUUCUGUUGCGGAGUAUGUCUCACCGUGAAAUAUCUUUUAAUACCCUCGUUCUGGCAUACUUGCAAGAAUGGAUCAGAAGUAUAUUCACCCCUAUUAUCAGAUCGUAAUACUUUGAUCUUUCUGCCAGUUUGAGUCUCCACCAAUUUCUUCCAUUUCACGAAAAUCUCUAGAACUUCAUCCUUUGCUCGCAUGGUGUACACCCACACACGUCUAGAGAAAUCAUCAACAAAUGUAACAAAAUAAUGGCUUCCACCAAUUGAUGCAGUCUUGGUUGGUCCCCAUACAUCACUAUGAACAUAUUCAAGGAUCUCACGAGUAUCGUGAUUAACUGUACCAAACUUGACCCUUGUUUUCUUGCCUACUACACAAUGCUCACAGAAAUUUAAUUUACAGGUUUUGGUACCUUUUAAGAGUCAGUGCCUCAUCAGAGUUUGCAAAGAUUUCUCGCCAGCAUCUCCCGAUCGUAAAUGCCAUAGCUUGGUGGUGUCACUGUGCGCCUCAACAAUAUUUGCUUCAUCAGUUGUACCUCCCUUUAUAUAGUACAAACUGUGACGUCGAACCCCUUGUAGACUCACCAUAGCCCCAUGUGUAAACUUCAUUGUGCCAUCUUCAAUGGUAACCUUGUAGCCUUUAGCUUCCAAAGCACCCACAUAAAUUAGAUUUUUCUUUAAAGCUGGAACAAAUCUAACCUCUUUGAGUUCUCUGACCAUUCCAUCAAACAUUUUGAGCCGAAUUGUUCCUAUCCCCAUUGUGCGACAAGGUUGAUCAUUCCCCAUCACAACUGCACCGGAUUCCAGAUCAUGAAAAUCCGUAAACCAUUCCUUAAUAGGACACAAAUGAUAGGUUGCUCCAAUAUCAAGUAUCCACUCGCUCGAACUAGCCACGUAUGCUGCAGGAGUAAUACUUAGUGAAUAAUCAAAGUCCUCAUCUUUCCGUGCCAUAUUUAUUGCUGCUGGUUUCUUCCCAUCUCUCUUUUGAGCCUUUGGACAAGCUUUCCUCCAAUGGCCCUUUUCAUGACAAAAGGCACACUCGUCUCGAGCUAUAUUUCUACUUCUCGAUUUGGAUCGAGAAUUCUUUCCACCACGCUUUUUCUUUUUCUCCAUCGCCCAAUCUCUGCUCACCAAAGCUUCAGACGAUGCUCGUUCAGAAUUUUUAUUAUUAUUCCGAAUCUCCAAGUUAGUCAAUGCUGUGCAAACAUCUUUGAAGAUGAUCACACUUUUCUCAUAUAUCAAGGUAGUCACAAAAUGGCUAUAUUCCUCUGGUAGUGAGUGUAACAGAAUCAUAGCCUUGACUUCAUCCUUAAUAUCUUCAUCAAGAUUCUUCAAAUCAGCAAGUAACUUUUCAAAUCUUGAGACAUGAUCGUAAAUUGACACCCCAUGCUUCAUUCGAAAGCCAUAUACUUGGCUCAUUGCAUGAAGGCGAUUUUUAGGACUUUUUAGCAAGUACUUCUCCUCCAAUGUACGCCACAAAGUCAUCGCACACUCCUCAUCCUUCACCAAGUAUUUCACCUCCUUAGUCAAACAAGAUCUGAUAUGACCACAUGCUUUUUUAUUCAUACAAUCCCAAAUUUCUUCAUCAUACAAGUGUCUUUUAUUUUUCAGAACAACAUCCAGAUCGAUUUGAAUAAGGGCGUCCAUAACUUCGCGCCUCCACAUGCCGAAGUUGAUUUUCCCAUCAAACUUUUCAACAUCGAUUUUCUGGCCUCCUAUAACAGGCGUUGAAUAGCGAUUUGACAAAUCUCGCCUCCCACCUGAAGUGUCUCCUGAAAUAGUCUCGGUAGAUCUCUCCCCAAUUCUGGAAGUUUCACCUUCUACCAUUUUCUCAACGAACUAUUUCCACUUGAAAAACAGUCUCUAUGAUGUUAAUUUCGCGUGAAUAAAUGCACUAGGAAAGUUCCCAGGAGACUGGACGGGAACUCAGUCCUAAUUAAAAACCAGAAUCCUUAGACUCUUAUCGCCUUUGUUGACAGAACUUUUCUAGACAUGCAAAAAUACACACUACUUACAAUAGACUGUCUCCCAAGUACAAAUGGUCGUCUCCACCGUAUUCGUGAACAGUACCAUAUACGUGAAUAGUACCGUAUACGUAAACAAUACCGUAUCCCCCAAGUACGAACCGUCGGCUCUGAUACCACUUGUUCUACCCGGAAUGCGGAAUCAAGCACACCAAAUAAUUAUAGAAAAAUAAAGGACACAAGAAUUACGUGGUUCAGUAAUUAAACCUACAUCCACGGAGGCAAAAAAUAAUAAUUGUAUUAUUAAUAAUUAAUAUAGUACAAAUAUUUGAGUAACGAAUCUCACUUCCCAGAAACUCAAAUAUACCCAGUACUCUCACACUCUGCAGGAAAGAUAAAUUCCCCAGACAUACUUCUCUCACUUCUCUCAAAAGCUUAGAAACUUAUAAGCUUAACAAUUUUGGGAUGAUAUGGAAUGAAGAAAUGCUCUCUAUUUAUAGGCUUGAAGCUAGUACUAUUCCACCUAACCCAAGUACUAUUUCACCUAACCCAAGCACUAUUCCACCUAACCCAUGCAAAUAUGUCAAUGGUGUCCAUUUGGCAAAUUUGAGAAAUUUACCAACUUUUUAUUUUUUCUUCAAUUGUUUGGUAGCUCUUUGAAAAAUUGCAUGCUUUCUUGAAUUUGCAUGCCACGUGCAUGAUUUUUCAACAAACAUGUACUUCCUUCAUUUAAAAGAUUAGUGUUUCUCUCUCUCUCAAUUUUUUUAAGAAAAAAAAUGAAAUGCCCCUUUUCGCAUUUUCCAGUUUCUCCAACAUACAGCGGGUCGAUGUGGAGUAACAGAUGAUUGAAUAUUUUCAUUUUAGUUCAAUUGUCAUUUCUUUUUUAAUCGGUAAAGUUUAAUCAUUUCUCUUAAAUCGACAACUUAUGCAGGGCCAUAUCAACCGUCCAUGACAUUUUUAUUACAGCGAUGUCUUUGUACUUUGUGUUUUGGUCGGAUCUCAGAGUUUGUGCAUAGCACACUUGGUUCUACUGUUUGUUUGUCCCUUCACAGGCAUUUCGAUAAACUGUUAUUUUUGUUCUUUGGAAGUGAAUAUUUUCAGCAACUAGAACUCCGAAGCAUCUUGAAUGAUCCAUUUUAUGAUUCUCAAUACCUAUAAAAGAAUGUCAUAGAAAACAGUUUCCAAAGCAAGUUGCAUGUGUUUUGAAUUUGUCUUUGCAAGCCACUAGUUGCUUGGAGCACACUGUUAGCCUAUCGUGAUCCCAACCACUUUUUUGGAUAGACAAUUGUGCAUCCAUAUGAUCUGGACUAAACUAGUUUCUAAUAAAUAAUUGCCCAAGGAUUUAGUCUCAGUGUUACAGCCUAGUCUUUGUUGUCAAUACUCUUUCCCCUGUCGUGGAUGAGCGCCAUAACAGCUUCUUAAUGUUUUCCAGUGGCUUUUGCACGGUUGUUGUUUCCUUCUGAAGCUAGAGUAGCUACGGAUAGAGCGGAUGCAGAUGCCACCAAUUUUUAUGAUGGCCUUUCAGCAUCAAAAUCAAAAGGAUCAAGUGGGAACUUAAAGGAGGUUUAUUAGAAUGAAACACCCUCUAUGCAAGCCAAGAGACUCCAAUUAAGACUGCAAGCUCUGCUUAAAACAGGUAUUUAUCUCAACAAAAUGUUAGAACCUUUGCACCACUGGAGACAUUUUCUUCGAGCAUUUACCGGACUUUCUAUGAUUGCAGUGUAGACGGGUCGACGCUACUUCCCUCGUACUCGUUGCUCGGAAGUGGUUGAUAAGUUUCUGGAUUGUGAUUGGUCCGAUGCUUCCUUCCUCGAAAAGGGUACUCCUGAAGAGCAGAAACUCAAAAGGACACGCUUCAUGGAACUCAAAGAAGACGUGAAGAAGGCAUUUUACAAGGACAUGGCUGAGAAAAAUCGUUCAGGUUUGUCGUCAUCCACGUCAUCGUCAUCUUCUCCAAAGGAAGGAGUAAAGUGUAAGGGUAGGAAAAGGUGAUGCUUAGCUGCUUGUCUUUGUAUUCAUUUAUAGGAAACUAAGAGAGUUUUACUGAGUUUGAUUGUUACUUGUGGAGAGAUACUCUUAGAGCCUAUGUUAUGGCUAUGUUGUAAAAUAGCAGAGGAACUUCAAGCUUGCAUUGUUGUAUUUUCCCAGGUAUUUGGAAUGUAAUAUACUAAAUGACAGAAUUUUCUAAUUUUAGAGGGGAAAAAUAUGUCAGUGAAUUAUUUGUUUAUUUUAUCUGUUUAAAUCACUUUAUAAUAUAGCUUUUUUUUUCAAAAAAAAAAAAUCUCCAUAUCUUCAUCUGAAAACUCGAGUCAUGUGUAACUUCUUUCAGGGAGAAAAAGGGGGGAAAGAAAAGGCAUUUGUACCUGUAUUUUACAGUACUGACUCUCAUACAGAAAUUGGUUGAGAUGACAUUAAUGUUCUUCGAAAUAGAUGAAUAUGCAGAAUUUUCAUCGAAAUUGAAAUUAGAAAUGGAUGGAUAUGAAUUAUAUAUAUGUAGAACUUUUUAACAGAAUUUUUAUCUAAAAAUUUGUUGCUCAUUACCCUCCCGAAGAAAUAUAAAAUUUUCAAUUGUAGAUAUUAAAUUUUAAAUUUAUAAUAUAAUAAAUGUGACUUGAGGUGCACAUCACCCAUAUAAUAAUAAUUAAGAAAAGAAAAUACAAAAUUUGUAAAUUACCAAUUUUUUAAAUUUAAUUAAUUUUAUACCCAAAUUCUCAUGCUCAACGGCCGCUAGAAUUGGCUAUUGUAAUUUUGCCAUCCUCAUUAUUCACUGGCCAUUUUUGGACCACAACAUAAUAAAAAUAGCAUUGAUUAAUACUAAUAAAUUUCUUUUGAUUAUUUUGUUGUGUGAUGAUCUAGUGAGUACAAGUGUCCAUCAUAGCACCUGAACUGCUGAACAUGUGGUAACAUUCUGCGAUUCUCUAUAAAAUAGUAUUUAAAUUGUGUAUUAACUAGACAGUUCUAUAUAGACAAUUGUCCACUAAAUCAUUACUUUAUUUUGUAUAUAUUUAUGAUAAUUGUUGAAGAAAAAUGUAAAGUGAGAUUAAUGAACAUUAAUGAAUGUGGGAAAUUAACACAACUAGGAUUUAUGAUGAAAUAAUUUUAUGUCAAAUGAGUGAGUGAAUGGAUGUUAAAAAACUUGUAAUAUAUAUUUUUUGAAUUGUUAUAUAAACAAGUUCAUCACUAACAAUAAAUUGAAUUAUGAAUUGUUUAAUAAUUCAAAAUCUCAUUCACCCUUCAGUGUUUAUAGUAUUUUUUAGAAUACAAAAUUGUAAACAACCUCACCCUUAAAUGAUAUAAUGAUAAAAUAAUUUUAUGUCAAAUGAGUGUAAGUGAAUGGAUGUUAAAAAACUUGUAACAUAUAUUUUCUGAAUUGUUAUAUAUGCAAGUUUGUCACUAACAGGAAAUUGAAUUAUUAAUAUUUUAAUAAUUCAAAAUCUCAUUCAACCAUCGGUGUUUAUAAUUUUUUUGAGAGUACAAAAUUAUAAACAACCUCAUCUUUAAUAAUAUAAUGUUAAACCUUUUCAAAAAUUUAUUCCAUUAUAGUUGUCUUAGUCAGUUAUACUUAUUCCAAAUUGAAGAUAAAAAUAGUACUUCAUAUGUCAUACAUUACUUAAAGAAAUUUUUUUAUCAACUUAUGAGCUAGAGAAAGAAUGCAAUAAAUUACGUCUAAAAUUGUAAAAUUAAUCAAUCACUAAAUAAAUAUAAUGUUAUAUGUGUAUGUGUAUAUAUUACACAAACUCUGAAUCUCAUGAGCUAUCUUCGGAUGAUGUAUCAUACUCAAAAAUCUAUUUUUGCUAAUGAUUAUACUAACAUUUAAAGGUCUCUCUAAGCUACAUUGUAAUUCCAAUUCUUGUGGCUGCCUUCCAUUGCCAACUGAACCAGCUCCGCUCUCCCUGCAUCCAGAGAGUGGUAAGGUAAAAUCUUGAUAAUGUCUGUCUCGAGAAAGAGCUUCCUGAUGAAGUUUCAAGUGAAAUCAAAUCACUCCGUGUCAAAUCUAACCAGGAGUGUGAAGCGAAUAUAGCAGAAGUGGAUCCUAUGCAUGCAACAAGAGUCAGAGGAAUCCACGAGGCACUGGACUCUUAUGACUUUGAACUGUUGAAGCUUCUUCUGGAUGAAUCUAAUGUCACUUUGGAUGAUGCUUAUGCUCUGCACUAUGCUGCUGCCUACUGCAGCCCUAAGGUUUUUAAGGAAGUGCUCAAUAUGGACUCGGCUGGUCUCAAUCUUAAGGAUGCAAGAGGACAUACGGUGCUUCAUGUGGCUGCAAGGCGUAAGGAGCCAGCAGUGCUGGUGACUCUGCUGAGCAAGGGAGGAUGCGCAUCAGAAACUACAUCAGAUGGGCAAACAGCUGUGGCAAUCUGUCGGAGAAUGACAAGGAGAAAGGAUUAUAUUGAAGCUACAAAGCAAGGGCAGGAAACUAACAAAGACCGGUUAUGCAUUGAUGUCCUUGAGAGAGAGAUGAGAAGGAACUCCAUGUCUGGGAACUUGGCACUGUCAUCAGAGGUGAUGGCUGAUGAUUUCCAAAUGAAGCUGAACUAUCUGGAAAAUAGAGGUGAUAUUUCUUUACUGGUAUUAGUUCAUCACCUUCUCAGAGUUUGUGCUAUGCACACUUCUUUCUACUGUUUGUUUGUUCCUUCAUCUUAGCAUCUCAAACAUUGCUGUAAAUGGGAUAACUACACAGUCUACACUUGUGCUAGCAUCAUGACUUUUUGAUGAACUGUUAUUUUUGUUAUUUGGAAGUGAAUAUUUUCAGCAACUAGAACUCCGAAGCAUCUGGAAUGAUCCAUUUUAUCAUUCUCGGUACCUAUAGCAGAAUGUAAUGGAAAACAGUUUCCAGAACAAAUCGCAUUUGUUUUUGGAAGCCAGUAAUUGCUUGUGGCAAACUGUUAGCCAGCCAUAAUUCCAUCCACUAUCUUGGAUAGGCAAUUGUGUAUCCGUAUGUUCUGGGCAUGGGGGUUUCGACUGAACUAGUUUUAAUAAAUAAUUGCACAAUGAUUUAGUCUCAGUGUUACAGCCCAGUCUUUGUUGUCAAUACUCCCCCCCCCCCCCCCCCCCCCCCAAAAAAAAAAAAAAAAUUGAGUUACGAAUAAAUUUUUCCUAUUAUGUAGGAGGGCCAUAAAAGUUUUUAAAUUUUAUCCAGUUUUUUUUGAGCGGUGGCUGUUUCCUUCUGAAGCUAUAAUAGCUAUGGACAUAGCAGAUGCAGAUGCCACCAAUUUUUGUACUGGCCUUUCAGCAUCAAAAUCAAAAGGAUCAAGUGGGAACUUAAAGGAGGUUGAUUUGAAUGAAACACCCUCUAUGCAAGCCAAGAGACUGUAGGCUCUGCUUAAAACAGGUAUUUAUAUACCUUAUUAGUUUUUGUAUCCAAAGAGAGAGGUUAAUUUUUAUUACAUUGAUAUCUCAACAAAAUGGUCUUUUCUUAGAGCAUUUACUGAACUUUCUAUGAUUGCAGUCGAGACGGGUCGACGCUACUUCCCUCACUCCUCCAAAGUCAUUGAGGAGUUUAUGAAUUGUGAUUGGUCUGAUGCUUCUCUUCUGGAAUUUGGUACUCCGGAAGCGCAGAAACUUAAAAGGGCUUGCUUCCACGUGCGGAAGGCAUUUUGCCAGGACAUGGCUUCUGACAAUCGUUCAGGGCCGUCAUCAUCGUCAUCGGCAUUCUUCGUUCCUUAAAAAAAUCAAGAAAAAUUUAGAAAGUAGUGAGAGAUGGAGAAAUAGAGUGAUUAUAUUCACAAAUAUAAUGUGUUUAGUGCAACAAUACAAACUAAUAAAUAAUAAUUUAUGAGAUUAGUUUAUAGAAUCUUACAUAUAAAAUUAUAUCCUCUGAAUAAAAAUCUUCACAGCUCUUUUGACUUCUCAUUUAGAUGCCCUUUCUAAGAUCACUCCAUUUUCUAGGAUCACUCCAUUUUAAUAGGAAGAAUUAGCGUAUCUCCACUUUUCUCCCCCGCCGUUUGUAUACCGUUUGUUACUGUUAAUGGACGAAGCUACAAGUCUUCUCUUUCAUCAAAUCGAUCCAUCACAAAUACAAGUCUGCUGCACCCCACCAAAAACACACAUACUCCAUCUCUAAAUACUUUGAAGAUAAACAAAUCAACCGUAAUCCUGCAACUUUAUCUCAGAGAAUCGGAUAAGAAAAGAACAGGCAAUGAAUCAACGGUAUUGGCGCCGAGUGAGUGUCGCCUGCGGUCGGCGUUAGAGGCGACUGUCACUCAAUCGCGUACAAGGUUAGUCUUUGAAAAAACUCUUUGCAUGUUAGAAAUCAGUGAUUAGGCAUUAUUUUGAUAUUUAAAAAUGAAAAUGGGUUUAUUAGUUUGUCGAAGAAUCUGCUUUGUUGCCGGUGUUGUUUGUCGAUUAAAAUGAAAAUGGGUUUGUUGAUGUGUUGAAGAAGUUGCUCUACUGCUGGUGGUUUUUUUAUUAAUUAAAAUGAAAAUGGGUUUGUUAAUUUAUUUAAGCAGCUGCUGGCAUUGAUGAACUUAUGAGCUAAUAGUAUUGUUUGAUCAAGCUUGUGUUCUUAAUAGUGGAGUUGAUAUUCUUAAAAUGAAUUUAUGAUUAUGAGAAUAUGAAAAUUGAACGGCAUCGUAGAGAUCUGGAUUAAUCACCAUCGCGUAUGUUUCUAAAUAAAGGAAUGAGCAGCAAUCGAUUUGAAAGUUAAGACUUUAGGAAUAUGUAUGUGCAACUGAAUGAAUUAUCAGUUGCUAUCUUGUAAGUCAAUACUAGCAUAUUCCUUAAUGGCAAGUGAAGCUAUUUUAUGUGUAUUGCUGCCUAUCAAAAUGUUUAUGUUUGAAGCUAUCUCCUUUUAGGAAAUUGAAUGCUUCUGUGAGUUCUCUGAUAAGGGCUAUACAACCAGCUCUAACAGAUUCCUUCAUGUGCAUUAAUUAGCUUAAUGAUUUAUUGACCUAUAUCCAAUGUCUAUUCUCCUUUUCUGUAGCUGUCUAGCUUUAUGAGGGUGUGAAGUGAACUUUUGUUUUAUGUUUCAGGACUUGGGAUUAGAGUGUAUAACAUUCAAUAUCUUUUUAUCAAAGAACUGAUAUAUGUUAAUGUAGUGCGAUCUGGUCUUUAUUAGCUUCUUGAUUUGCCAGGAUGUUUGACAACCAUCUUUGACUACGAUUGCCAACAUAUAAGCUGCUACAUAUUGUGUCUCAGGAAUCACAACAAAUUAUUAUCAUAAUAUGGUGAUUUUGAAUCCAAAACUUGGUAGUGUCAAGAAAAUAGACCCCAUGUUUAUUUAUCUUCAUGUUUUGUAUGCGGCUGCAAUAGACUAUUAUAAGUUACUUUUAGUUUUAUCAAGUUUUUUUUCCCCUUAAAUUUCAGUUAUUUCAGCGGCUUCUUUUAAGUGAGUUAAUAGUGUUGUUAGGUUAAACUAAGUUUGGCUUCAUAAGAUUCAUAGUAGAGUGUAAAACUGGGUACAAUUUUGGGUUAAGACAAGUCAAAAGUCUUCUCAAGUAAUUGUUCUGCUUACUGAUUUGGUAAUUGCAACAUUGCUAAAUAGUUCAAUUUGUCCUUUUUUUUUGUUGAAUUUAUUGUAUGUCAUAUUACUUCAUUUAAUUAUUUUCUCAGAUCUUGUAGGUGAAAAUUUCAGCUUCAAAGGCCAAGCUAAUCAUCCAGCAAUUCAGUGAAACCAAGACACAGUGGCUCAUAAAUUGUUGUUGGCGAUCCAGCCAUUCGGGUGCUUGCCAGUCCUAGACGAGAGAACUUUCAACGCGGCGCAUAAAUUGUUGUUGAUCUGUUUUAUAUAUUUUGACCUUUGUGAUUUGUGAAUACAUGGUUUGAUUCCAGUGUUUACAACUUUGAUACUGUGUAUAACUUGAGAAGCAAAUGAAACAAAUAGGAAAUGUGUUUUUAUUUUUUUUAUUCUAUCUAUCUAUUUAUUUUUUGUUUGGAAAUGUAACAAUUUAUAGCUGGCAAAGUAAUAGAGUUGUAUACUUGUAUUUAAUUUAUUAUUAUUAAUUUUAAUGAAUCGGUAAUGUCAUUGUCCAUGGUGUUUUGUCAUUUCGAAAGUACUUAACCCUUCCACGCCAAGGCACAUCACAGCAGCCGAAAAUUUGAGCUUUCAGUUCUUGAUUUUAGCGUGAGGGGUAUCUUUGUCUUUUCAGUAGUCAACAUACGGUCAACAAAACAGUCUACAAACAAUCGGGGGUAAAAUCGGAUAUACGGUGAUACUUUCUAUCAUAGUGGCGAUACGCCAAACCUCAGGGGAGGAAACUGUAAAUUACCCCUUCGCGACCUGUGAACUUGGGUCAAAGCUUUCAUCUUUAAAGCUAAUAGGUAGAUCGCGAUUCAAGCUUCAGUUAUAACUUAUAAGCAUUUCAUUGUGAUUGAUAGUAUUCUCUCUUGAUAUAUAUAUAUAUAUAUUCACUUAAGCCGCUUACCAAUCCUUCUAAAAGCUUAAGCUGUUAGGCGAAGCACUACUUUAUACUUAAAAACACCCGAACCACGAGUAACGUCUACACAUUUAGUGCCACAUCACCCACGUGCGUGGGAUAGAGCCACCACAAGGGUGCGGGCCCCUAACACACGUAGUCUGGAUAUACCUUAAGCCCUGGUUUUAUAUAUAUAUAUAUAUAUAUAUAUAUAUAUAGAUUCAGUUUGAAUAUGGUUCUUGAUGGUAUCAUGGAAAAUGCGAACGAAAAGUCAGCAUCUUUGAGUUUUGUCUCAUCAUAUCUGACUUGUUGGUCCACUAAUCAAUCAACAGGCACUUGUGAUCUUGAUAAUUUGAACUUAAGGAUGCAAAGCACCAAUCCCGAAGAGACAUGGCUUGAAGCUGAGAUUGUUGUUGAGGGCAAAUCAGUGGCGGUUAAUCGCAGCGUAUUGUCUGAGCUCAGUCAAUUUUUUCGUCGGCUUUUUAAUUUGAGAAAUGAUGGUUCUGUCAGUGAGGGGAAACCCAAGUAUCUUUUGACUGAUUUGGUGCCUCAUGGGAAGGUUGGGUAUGAAGCUUUCAAUGAUAUCCUGCAUCGUCUUUACACUGGGAAGCUUAAGGCACCUCCUCCAGAAGUGUCCGCGUGUGUUGAUGAUGCUUGUUCUCAUGAUGCUUGCCCUCCUGCUAUUAAUUAUGCUAUUGAGUUGAUGUAUGCUUCCGCUGCUUUUCAGAUGAAAGAACUCGUUUUUCUUUUGCAGGUAAUUGUGCUUCCCUGCUAUUUGUAUUGCUUAAAUUUAUGCUUCUUGGUAUAGUUUUAACAUAUAUGGGAUUGAAAUCAAUUUCAGUUGUGAAGCAACUUCGGUGGUUCCCAAUAUUAGGCAUUGUAGUAGAUCCAAAAUUAGCUUGUUAAGAAGUGUAGAUACCGUAGAGCCCAAAACUUAGUCUUAUCUUGCAAGAGUCUGUUGUUUUAUUUUGAAAGAGACAAAAGUGAUGAUGAUGGGCAGCGAACUAAAGGAAUCAAUGCUUGCUGACACUGACUCCCAAGAAUGAUAAAAACUAACCAAAAAGGUAUAUAGAUUACAUGAGUCUGAAUUUGAUAAGUGCACCUAUCCUAUCACAAAAGCUUUUGCGUUGAGUUUCUAACCAAUGAAAAUUGUCACUUCUGUCUGUAGGCUUCAUAGAUUUGUUCAAGCCUUCAAGGAUGUCUGGCUGUUACUUACCGUCCAACAAUGGUGCUACAUUUCUAGUGAAUGAUAUGUUAUUCUACAUCUGUAAAUUGCAACUUUGACAAACUUCGCCUUUCCUUUGUUGAUUCACUCGUCUCACUUUUAUUAAAUUGCCCGAUUAUGAAAUGGUCUAUUGGAGACUAGCAUUGGAAGGUUUCUUCUGGAAAAAAUUUUACUUGACCACCAAUUUUCAUUUGGGUGGGUGUCAGUUCAUGCUCUGGCUUGACUGUUCUGUUAUUUAGGUUGUUUUAUCCGUAUUUUCUUCACUCACUUGAUGGUUAGUUCUCUCAUGCUUUCAAGCUCUCAACAGUGAAUGCGAGAGAUUCUCUUUUUUCCCGUCCAGGCUAUAACCUAGCAAAUUGUUAAUGCUGUAGAAUAACAUCUUGUGCAGGCGAGCUUAUGUCUCUGAACAUUGGUCCAUCGGCAUUAAGGUUUAAUAAGCAUGACACUGAACUUCCCCCUCAUUAUUAUUUUCCUGCACAGAUUAUCCUCUUUAAGUAUUUGAAUUUUGAAUAUCUUAUUCUGAAUCAAAACCCUAUCUGUGCUUGUAGCAUUUUAUAUAUGCUUUAUGAUGUUUACCAAUAAUUACCCACUAUGGGGUAUUUGAAUUUUGAAUAUAUUAUUCUGAAUCAAAACUCUAUCUGUCCGUGUAUCUUUGGCUUCGGAGCAUGGUUGAGAAGGCUCUCGUGGAAGAUGUAAUCCCAAUUCUCGUGGCUGCCUUGCAUUGCCAACUGAACCAACUCCGUUCUGUCUGCAUCCAGAGAAUUGCAAAGUCAAAUCUUGACAAUGUUUGUCUCGAGAAAGAGCUUCCUGAUGAAGUUUCAAGUGAAAUCAAAUCACUCCGUGUCAAAUCUAACCAGGAGUCUGAAGCUAACACAAAAGAAGUGGAUCCUUUGCGUGAAAAAACAGUCAGAAGAAUCCACAAGGCUCUGGACACUGAUGAUUUUGAACUGUUGACGCUUCUUCUGGAUGUAUCUAAUGUCACUCUGGAUGAUGCUUACGCUCUGCACUAUGCUGCUGCCUACUGCAACCCUAAGGUUUUUAAGGAAGUGCUCAAUAUGGACUUGGCUGGUCUCAAUCUUAAGGAUGCAAGAGGACGUACGGUGCUUCAUGUGGCUGCAAGGCGUAAUGAGCCAGAAGUGAUGGUGACUCUGCUGAGCAAGGGAGCAUGCGCAUCAGAAACUACAUCAGAUUGGCAAACAGCUGUAGCAAUCUGUCGGAGAGUGACAAGGCGAAAGGAUUGUAUUGAAGCUACAAAGCAGGGGCAGGAAACUAACAAAGACCAGUUAUGCAUUGACGUCCUUGAGAGAGAGAUGAGAAGGCACUCCAUGUCUGAGAACUUGGCAAUGUCAUCAGAGGUGAUGGAUGAUGAUUUCCAAAGGAAGCUGAACUACCUGGAAAAAAAAGGUGAUAUUUCUUUACUGGUAUUAGUUCAUCACCUUCUCAGAGUUUGUGCAUAGCACACUUCUUUCUACUGUUUGUUUGUCCCUUCAUAUGGAAAAUAGAGGUGAUAUUCCUUUACUGGUAUUAGUAAAUCAUCUUCUCAAGAGUUUGUGAGUCCCUUCAUUUUAACAUCUCAAACACACAUGCGCUCAUUGCUUGGGGCACACUGUUGGCCAGUCAUGUGAUUUGAUCCCCUUUUUUGGAAUGGAGAAUUCUGAAUCCAUCUGAUCUAGGCUUCGUGGUUUGCACUGAACUGGUUUUUGAUGAAUAAUUGCACAAGACUUUGUCAUCAAAACUUUCUUGUUUUUUGCCCCAAAAGUAAUGAGGUACAAAAAAAUUUAUGCCUAUCCUGGAUGAGUGCCAUAACAGCUUCUUAAUAUUUUGCAGUGGCAUUUGUACGGUUGUUUCCUUCAGAAGCUAGAGUAGCUAUGGAAAUAGCAGGUGCAGAUACCGCGACUGGCCUUUCAGCAUUAGGUCAGAAAGGACGCCAAUUGAGACUGCUAACUUUGCUUAAAACAGGUAUUUAUAUACUUUAUUAACUUUUGCACCUUUCUAUUUACUGAUUAUCUUUAUAAUUAACUAAUACAUGUAUCCAGGUUUCUCCUUCCAAUUGGAAUUUCUUUAUAGUGCUCUGUUAGGUGUAAUCAGAUGUAUCAAAAGAGAACGGGUAAUUGUUAGUACAUUGAUGUCUCAACAAAAUGGUAGAACCUUUCUUUAUACCACUAAGACAUUUGUUGCAGGUAUGCCUACAUAAUCAGUGUCCUUCAAAACUUUCAAAGAGUUAGCAAUGUCUAACCCCUGAAACACUAAAUCUCACGGGAUCAACUCUUUACCUCUAGACCGAAGGUGUGACACCCAGACCCAAUUAGGGCUUAGAACACGUAUCGAAUCUGAGUGAAACUAAACGCCUGUAAAUCCAAAUCUCCAAAAUAUCAAAAAGUCAUCUACUUUCUCUUUUCAUGUAUUUCACAAAAUUUUGAAAAAUUCAUUCUCAAUCAAAAACUAUGCACAGCUAAUUAUUCAGCAUAUCAGCAUAGAGCAAUACUUCCUCAUAAGCAAAUAAAUCUUACAAUCCUUCUUACAUGAUUUGAAAAAAAUACUAAUAGAAGUCUUCUAGAUACAAACAUAAACAGGAUUCAACUGUUUAAAACUAUGCCAAAACACAAGCUUCAAUCAGUAAUACAUACAACUAAUUAUUAAAGACAUCUAGCCAGAAACCUUACGAAAGCUCAAUCCUUCCGAAGCAUUCUUCAAAUUAAUAAUUGCUACCAUCUGUGAAAAAUAAUUGAUAAGGAGUCAGCUGUGAACUCAAUCAGUAGAAACAUUCGUAACGAACAAAAAGAAUUCUUUGUGCAAUAUUUUCAGAAAAUUCAUUUAACCUUUCAAAUAAAACAGAGUAAUUUUUCUAAGGCAGUCAGGAUUUAUAUAAAACAUAAACGUUUCAGACAGAAGCUUUUUGGAAUGUAAAUUUUGCUUCUUUAAACAGUAAGUUAUACAUUAGUUUGAUUUUAAAGGGAGGUUAUUGGGAAGUUAAAAUUGGCAGUUGUGGGAAAAGGGUAAUAGCAGUUAUAAAAUCUCUUUUAAAGCAAAUUCAAAUCAGGUUUCAAAUUUUAGGAGUACUUAAUUCAAUAAAAUAAGGAAUAAAUAAAGCUUUCAUUGAAACAAAACUAAGUAAAUUCAUUUAAAGCAAAAAAAGGAUGCGAGCAUUACGAUGGGUUCUUAUGUUUACCCGCAGUCAGACAUCUGGGACCUUGUUAUUUGGAGACAAGACUUGAUUGUGCCAUGUUUUCUGCAGCUAGACAUCUGUGGAUAAGAGAACCCUAAGCCUAUUGAGAAUAAAUUCCGUAAUCCAAGACUCUUCAGUUCUUUCAUUUGUGGCUAAUUAUUUAUAAAAUUUGCGAAUUUCAUGCCCCAUGCCCCUUGCAAAAUGUAUUUUAUAUCCUUAAGUUGCCAGUUGUUGAACUGAAAUAAUAAAAAGUGGAAAACAGACUUAAUGCCGAUAGCAUUUCUUAAGAAAAACUUGGGAUGUUUAUAAUUUUCUUAGAGCAUUUGCUGAACUUUAUGUGAUUGCAGUCGAGACGGGUGACCGCUACUUCCCUCAUUGCUCACAAGUGGUUGAUGACUUUUUGGGUGUUUAUGACUUUUUGGGUGUUAAUGACUUUUUGGAUGCGUCCCUCCUAGAAAAGAGUACUCUUGAAGAGCAGAAACUUAAAAUAGACAUGCAGAAGGCACUCUGCAUGGACGUGGCUUAUCACCGUCGUUUAGGGCUGCCAUCAUCCUGGCCGGCAUUUUACCAGUACAUGGCUGGGAGCAAUCAGUCGGCAUUUUACAAGUACGUGGCUGAGAGCAAUCGUUCAGGAAUGUCGACAUCCUCGGCAGCGAGCAAUUAAGCAUAACCUUUCCCUAAAAGCUAUAUUUGACUCCUGGAAAACUAAAGGAGUUGAGUGAGCUCGAUUGGUAUUUGUAGUUUCUUUU